rnacentral:lncRNA from 1 species
CUUCUCGCCGUUGAGCGAGUUCAGGCGAGUUAAAGACCUUCUCGCUUACGUGCGAGCAUAGGCAAGAUAAAAUCCUUCUCGUCUCGAACGAGUUCAGGUAUGGCGCAGAGGGUGGAAGAAGCUUGGAAGGUGGCUAAGGUAGGUUCGAAGAGAACGCCUAGUCAGCCGGUCUUUUGCUCUGAAGUUCAGGGGGGCAAAGGAAGAUCCCAAAGGGCGCUUCUACCCCAGAUAAAGAAACGAUUGCCAAAGCAUGAGGCUAGGAAAAGCUGAUGUUACCAAGAGGUCUUGGCGAUCGGGAAGAGUUUAAACGGCGGCGAGAAGGUUAAAAUACCUGUUUGAUGAAGCAGGUCGAGUGGGACGGUGUUUUGAGCCAAUAAUUGAGUUACAAUUCGUUGCUUGAAAGGUAUUCUUAUGAUAAGGUUAGUGCCUUAAGAGUACAAGUUGUUUAAAGUGAUUAUUGCUUAAGUUUGAAGUGGCUCGAAGCAGUUAAGUCAAAAGUCGCGUUUGCAAAAUCACUAAGUUAAAUCCGACAAAGUUAAACAUGCAAAGAAGGUUAAAGCGCUUAAAGAAGUCAGGAGAGAGAAUAUCCAAGCUUUGUCAUUAAAAUAAGUAUCUGUUAAAAAUACAUAUGCGCGAGUUUAUUACAAGAUAUAUACAAGGGAAAUCAUAAAGUAGCAGAUGAGGUGGAGUUGAUUAGUCUUCAGCAGGAACGACCUUUCCAUCUACUACUUCGUUGUUCAGCGACACCAUGCUGAGGUCGAGAUCGGGGAAUAGGCAUGCGAAUUGUUCCCGAGCGGCUUCGAAUCCAGCGGCCAGAAUCUGAGCAGAGUUUAGCUUAAGUUCUUCAAUUUGCCCUUGAAGUUCUUCAACCUGCUUCUUGAGCUCUUUGUUCUGCUGCUCCAGCUCUUCAACCUGUUUUCUGAGUUGUUCGUUGGUCUCUUGAGCAUGGAGAAGGUCUUCAGNNNNNNNNNNNNNNNNNNNNNNNNNNNNNNNNNNNNNNNNNNNNNNNNNNNNNNNNNNNNNNNNNNNNNNNNNNNNNNNNNNNNNNNNNNNNNNNNNNNNNNNNNNNNNNNNNNNNNNNNNNNNNNNNNNNNNNNNNNNNNNNNNNNNNNNNNNNNNNNNNNNNNNNNNNNNNNNNNNNNNNNNNNNNNNNNNNNNGACCGCCUUGGCGCGAAGAGGCACAAUUUUGCUUUCCAGCUCGAUCUUCUCUUGGGCAAGCUGGUGAACUUUGUGGCGAAGGUCAGCAGCUUCCUUGCGCGCCAGCCUGAGCUCGGUAUUCAUGGCAUCCUCCACUCGGGAGUGUUCGAUUUCUGCGAGCGUCAGGCUGAAUGACAAUUUCUCCACCUCGACCUUCAUAGUGCUAUUUUCAGUCUUGAGGUUGAAGAGAUCGUCUUGAAGCCUCCUGGUGGAGCUAUCCACAGCCCUCGUUAUGAUCGCGGGGAUAUCCUUUGCUAUGGUUUUCAACUUGGCAGUUAGAGGCUCCCACAUCCUUGUGACUUCAAGGGAAAGGUUUGCUGCUUGGAGAGGCGCCAGGGGGGCUUGUUGAGGGUUCUCGCCGCCACCUUCCUUAGCAAUAUCUUCAGCGGUUGCUUCCUGGCGUGGCGACGCAAUCGGGGAUUCGGUAAUCAGGAUUGGAGAGGUAUGAGCCACCUCAUCCCCGAUUGGAGCAUUUUCUGCAGUUGAAGCGUUUGAAGGGGGGCCCCCUCCAGCUGACAUGUAUGGCGUAGACGCGCUUGGGGGGUCCUCCAGGAAGUUUGGCUCUUGGGCCUCAGCUGCAGGUGGCGCAGUGGCCAGUGGAACCGCCUGGACUGGAGAGGGAGGAGCCUGCGGCGUUGGCGAUGAUGGAGGAGGAGCAGGCGUCGAUGGUGGUGUUGAAGUUGGAAGAGGGGGUGGAGCAGGUGGAGAAGAAGGUGCCACCCUCUUCCUUUUCGUAACGAGGCCAUCCUCUGUGACCUCGUCAUCCUCUUCUUCCUCCUCAUGGACGAUUUGAGGGGCUUUUCGCUUAGGUCUCUUAAGGACCAGUUUCUUGCGCUGGGUGGGUUCCUUGGGCGGUGAUCGCCCAUGAACGAUGGCCUUCUCGACCGCCGAGUUGGGCACCGUUUGGGAACCGGUCGCCAACCCGUGGUUUCGGGCGAGCGCCUUCAAUUCGGCGAGCAUGCCUCUGCCCAACAUGUUGUCUGCAUGAAACGAAAAUGCAUGGGUUAGCUCAAAGAAGAAAAAGAUAAGUGUAUAAGGUAAUAAGCAGCAGAGCAGAUGGUAUGUGCAGGAAAGGUAAAACCAAAGUCUUGUGCAUAUCGCACAAGACGCCCAGAAGCAGUAUCAGAAGCAGUAUCAAAGCAACAGUUUGGAUGUCCUAACCUAUUUGAAAUUCUAGCUGAUCCUCAAAGAAUUCGAAGGAGAUCAAGGUGGUGGUCAGGAAUGUUAUAUUGGCGUCCGCCACCCUCUUCCAGAAAAGACAGAGGUCUCUGUCCAAUGCUCCCAUGCUAUCAGGACUUCUGGGCCUCCUGAAGCAGCUCUUGGACUCCUUUUUCCCCUUGUCCACCCAGUACAAGGGGAAGCCAUCAAGAAGGGAGGUGUCCUUGUCGUUUGCACGUACUUGGACGAAUUUCCCCUUCCAGUCUUUGUACGAUUGCUGGAAGAUGGUAAAAAUGGAUCUCCCAGCAAUCGCAUUCAAGCUGACCUACAGGCGGUCUCCUGGGUGCUUGGCUUCGAAAAGGAACAAAAACACGUCCACCGACGCGGGCAACCCCAGGUGGUCGCAUGUUAUUUGAAAGGCUCGAACAAACGCCCAGCUGUUGGGGUGAAGCUGGGCGGCAGCAAUGUUGAGCUCGGUCAGAAGUUCCCUCUCGAAUCGGGUGAGAGGGAACCUGAGCUUGACCUUCUUGAAGAAAGUUGUAUAGACAAAGCAGAAGGGCCCGUCGGCGCUUACUCUGUCAUCAGCGCACACUGGCAGAUCGGCGGGGCAAGGCAGCACCAUCAUCUUCUCGUUGUGCUCCUUGUGAAACGAUUGAUGGACCUCGUCCCCCUUAUUCAGCCGCAAAACUGCUCCCGCAGUGUUCACCGACGAGGUCUCCUUCAAAAGGGUUGAGUUAGCCCAGGGGUAUAAAGUUUUGAAGUCUGGCAGAGGGACGGGGGCUCCUCCAGCGUUAGAUGGAGUCGCCUGGGCCAGGACAGGUUGGGAAGACGCAGGCCUGACAGCCUGCGAAGACGAAGCGCCACGAACUUGUGUUGGGUCGUGUGCUUGUGAAGGAAGGUUUCGUGCUGAAGGAGGUGGGUUCGGGGUAAUCUUUGUGCGAGUCAUGAUAGCAGCUGCAAAGGAAGAAGAAAGGAAAAAUGGUCAGGGGGUUACAGAGGCUGACUCGAUCAUAGAAGGAAGGAGAAGAAUGAACGAAUGAAGGUUCGUUGCGACGAUUGACGAAGCCCUAAGUUGCGCAGAAUGAGAAAUGGAAAAAACAACCCACAGCGUAUGCACCAGGCAGUUACAGGAUGAUGCAAAUCGGUGAAAAUGCAAGGAAACCUAGCAGAUGAAGGAAAGUAGUUACCUUUCGAUGAUCAGGAAGACGGUGGAGGAAGAUGGUGAUCUAAAGCGUUGAAGAGCGUUGAGAGUUUUCGCAGAAGGAAGUUAGAGCGUUUGCAAGCACGAAGAAAGUGAUGGAACAGUGGAGCGUAAUGGGUUUAAGGGUUUUCGAAAUGGUUUUAGGAAGCGCAAACGGCAAAUAAAGAGAGCCGUUGAUGAAGCCACGUGUCGAACGAUGAGUGAAGGGUUUGGUGGAGCGUCAGAGCAGCAGAAGGUACAACCGCUUGGAAUUCUGCGUCAGUGCCACGUAGAUCGGUGUUAACGAAGGCUCUUUCAGUCUUUUCGCUAGACAAGUCUUCGCUUAAGACUGGGGGGCUUGUGUACCGCCCUGGAGGUCGGGGAUGAUGACGUGGCAUCCUCCUACAGUAUAAGCGUGUUGACAAGGCGCCAGGUUGGCAGAAGGGAAGGAAGUCGGGGGGCACGUGUAGUCGCCGGUUGUUAAGUUGGCGUGUUCCGAUUUCCAGAUUACCAGAAUAGGCGAUCGCCAGGUUGAAGAUGAAGUCGCCCGAUGUAGAUUCAGGCGACCUGGUCAUUGGAGAUCGCCAGAGAAAGCACAUCGCCGGAGAUGAAGGAGAAGCAGAUUGUGAAGGCGGCCGGCGAGACCACAGGGAAGGUGUAUGAAGGCCCUAAACUCGCCAGUUCCAGCAGAGAUCGCACUCCCAAGUUAGCUAUGCACUGGGCAGUACCAUGCAUAAGUAACUUAGCCAAAAUGAGAGUAGAAGCAGCGCCAAGUCAGGGAGCCUCCAGAUGAUGGCACGUGUACAGUUGGAUGCGAGCCACGUGUCCAAGUCUGUAACUGCCAGGAGAGAGAAAGCCACCAGGUAUAUAAGAGUUCUUAACAAACUUUCUGAGGUACGCACGUUCAGUUCAUACACUUUACGCUUGCGAGUGAUAGAGCUGAUUGUGAGAGAGGAUUUGCACGGUUCUUGUUCUUAGUAUUUGGUGAUACCGUCACUGACUUGAGCGUCGGAGUGCGAUCGGCCGCAGCGGCGCCGUAUUGUUUCUUUGCAGGUUCUUGAAGUAGAUCCCGGAAAGGAACGGAGGUGAGAAGCGGUGCGCACGUCGAUCCUUUGACGAGGCAUUCUCCAGCGUUCCGGUCAACAGGCAGGAUCACCGUUGAAGGCAGAUUUGAACAACAAAAUCAGUUAAAACUGGUUUUCAAAAAAUUGUUAUGAAAACACACAUUUAAUCGGUUAAAACUACGAUUUAACCGGUUGAAUGGUUUUGACAGUUAUAUAACUGAGUCAAAAAACAGUUUCAAAACACCUUUGCCAGCUAAGUGACAAACAACCGAUUAUCUCGAAACUUUAAUUGGUUGUUUUUCCCUUUGCAUGGAAAAACACUUAAAACUUUAAAACUGAUUGGAAUAAGCUUUGUUUGAGAAUUAAGACUGAUCUUACAAAGAUUAUAAACCUCAAACCAAAACCUAAACCUAAAACACAACACAACUUUAGGCUUCAAAGAGGAUUUGAUACAUCAAAGCUUAUCAUCUUCAACACAUACUGUUUGUUCCACACAAUGUUUUGUAUCUACAUUUGAUUACAAGUUUUUGGCUAGACUCAAGUACUAUGUGUAGGUAUGCAGGAAAAAAGAAGGAUUUCAAAGAUAUUCAACUAAUGCAAACGAAUCUCUACUUGACAGUGAAUCAAAAGUUUGUGGGUUUGGAAUGAAAAGAUAAGUGAUUCUCUUUACACAAGGAGGGACACUUUGAAGGCACACCUUACUGAGUCAUAUUAACCUCUUGGUGCAACCUAGCACCAUUCCAUAAGCACACAUUAGUUUACUUUUUUCUUUGUGUUGAAGGAUACCUCCACUUCUUCCAUCUUUUGUGUUUCCUACUAUAACAAUGAGAGGUAAGAGCUUGUGGACAUGUGGACAUGUUGGGGUUGUUGGGGUACAUGCAAAGAACUAGUUUACAUAAGAAUAUUCUUUUUUCUGUAAGGUAGCUUGGUGUACCAAGGUUAAGAAUGUAUGUGUUGGGUUGGUAGACCAAAAUGCUCUAAAAAGUAUUGCGCUACAAUAUGUAGCUUUUCAUGUAAUAGAGUUGGGGCAUCCCUAAAUUUUAUUCUUUAAUUUUUGCUAAUUAAAAAACACUACAUCACUUAGCGAUCAACACAUUCUCUAAACAACACAAAGCCAUUAAUACAAUUAAUGCAUAACACUUAAAUGUUACCUAAGAGACUACAUGUUGCAUCGAUAAUAAUGGCCUAAAAGCACCCUUAACUGAAAUUUCUCAACAUUUUCACCCAAUAUCAACAUCUCUAAUUUUUUUUCUCCACGUCAUUCAUAAAGUUGAUUUUAUACUUACAACAACUCAAUUACAAAUAUAUCAAUUCACAACUUUAUGAUUGAUAUUUAUCAAACUUUAUAUAAUUCAGACAUCCAAAUUAACCAUCACAUUUGCAUAGAAGUACUAUUAUCACACUUUAAAAAUAUAAUGUCUUAAUUACGCUUGUAAUGAGUAAAACAAACUAAUAGCACGUGUUUGUUUUUGUAUUGAAACAUCAUUCUACCAAGUUUUUUCAUUUUUCAAUAGAUAAAAAAAAAGUUACUUGAAUUGAAUUUAAGCUACAUUUAGCUAAUACUUGAUGGCUUUUUAUGGCAAGUGCACCGCAUUUGUCAGAAGUAAUAAUUGUCCUUGAGGACGGAUAUCGAUCCCACAAGGAACAAUGAAUUAUCGGGUACAAUAUUCGCUAAAUAUAACAACAGAACAAAAGAGUUUUGAAGUGAUUGUGUUGGCAUUGAUCUAUAAGAAAACAAACAAAGAAUUAAUUGCUUCAAUUGGAAAAAUAGGGAUUAAGUUUCAUCUCUCCCACUCUCAUGUAUUUUGAUUAGCAUAUUAAUAUUGAGUUCUUUGAUUGAAAUUGAUGCCCGUAGAAAAUUCAUUUAUAUCGAACCCUCGUAUAUGAAAUCCUUAAGAAUGUUUCCUCAAUAUCAAUCCCUCGCAUAUCUAUAAAAACAACAAUUUGUCACGAAAAGUUAAAAGUAAAACAACAAUACCAAUAAUCAAUCAAGAACUGAAUAUUAAUAUAUAAGAUAUCACCUCAAUACAUAAGAGUUUGAGCAUAUUACUCUCAAUCCCAAAGGGUAGAAUUAGCCACGCAUACUUCUAGCACCUUCCAUUCUCCCAAUUGGGUUACAAUUCACUCUAUGGUGUUUUCCUCUCAAUCUAGCACACUAGGGUUGAACCUCUAGCCCCCUAUUUAUCUUAAUUUUCUAGGGUUAGGUGGCUUCCUAUGUCGCUCUAAUGUGCUAAGUGAUAAAACAUGAAAAAGACCCAACCUUCCAGCUUUCUCUUUUUAGCUCAAAUUAUUCUCCUUCACUCCAAAUCUUCAAUCCUCCUUAAAAACCUGCAAUUAAUACCAAAUUUGGAAAUAAAAUGCUCUUAUUCAAAUAAAGCUCAUAAAAAUGUAAAAAGGUAUCAAUUCAUAAAUUAGGAAUUAUUUUAUAUGUAAAUUAACAAUAAAUUCUCAUAAGUGCCUAUAUUUUAAUAUGAAAUAUUACUGAAAUUAGACACUUAUCACUAAUAAGCAAACACAUUAAUGUACUAACAAAACAAAGUCGGUAUUUGAAUUUUAAUAUCCUAUAGAAUGAAAACAUAUUCAAUUCAACCAACCCAAUUUUUAUAAAGCUAUUGUUUUACUAGUCCUAACUGACCAUGAUUUGUGAAAGUAAUAAAUGCUAAAUAUACAAAUUAAAAAUCAUUAAAUUAAUUAUAAAUACUAAAUUAUAGAAAUCUGUUUACAAUAUAAUAAUUUAAUAAUUUUAUUCUAACCUUAAAACUAACAUAAUAUAAAUUUAAAUUAAAAAAAUACAAAUUAUAAUAAAUACAAAGUAUACAAAUUAAUAACACUAAAAAAAUAUUAAAAAAAAUUAAAACACCACCAAUCUUGUGCGUGAAGGCAACGGUGGUGGUGAAGAUUUGCAGUGGCGAAAGGCAGUGGCAGCGACGGUGAACGGUAGCAACGAAGAACCAAAUGGAGGCAUAGAGAAAACCAAAGAAGAAACCAUGCAAGGCAAUGAAACAAUACUAUAUGAAAACCUUCACGAACAAAGGACAUAAACGAAUAAGAGAAGGAAAAAAAAGUUGGCAGCAAUGGUGAAGAAGAAGCAAAGAGCUCGAAAGAAACUUACACAAUGGCUCGAAGAUGACAAUGACUCGAAGCUGAAGAAGAAGAGAAGAGAGAGCAAUGAAGGAUAACGAAGCACGAGAAGACAAGGAAAUACAAAAGCAUAACUGACACGCUACAAAUUAGGGUAAUAAAAUGACUAUAAAACGACGACUAUGGGGUAAAGUCGCAGUUUUAGACCAAAGCGUUUGGUCUAAAACGGCGGCUACUACUCAUAGCAGCCGUUUUAGACCAAGCGUUUUUGUCUAAAACGUCGACUUUACCCCAUAAUGACUGUUUUAUAGUCAUUUAAUAUCGAAAACGCCAUCGCGUUUUGAUGGACAGUACUUGACAGUAAAAGCGAUGUAAAUGUAUUGUCGUAAAUAAAUAUUUUUGCACUAGUGACGAUAACUAUUCUUAUUUUUUUAUUGGAUUUAAUGUGUGGGCUUAGUGUUUAAAGUUCAUUAAUGCUUAAUCAUAGUAAACUUAUAUUCUCUUCGUAGAUGGUUGAUAAAUAUAUAAGCUUAGAAUGAAAUUAAUGUUGAUUUUAAUUAGUAGAAUAAUUUAUUUCGAGAAGUUGAGACUCGUGUAUACUAAGAUAAUUUGGAAUUCUAAACUUAUAUGAAAUUGGAAAAAAUAUUAUUUGAUUAACGUUUGUUUGUUGUUUUCAAACAUUUUUUAUUGGAAAAAUGGUACCAUACUUUUCAUGUGGUACUUCAUUUAUGCGUAGUUUUUUUUUUCUCUCUUUUAAUUUUGGCAUUAAUUUUAAUAUCCCUUUUACCUUUUCCUAAUAUUUUUAUUGUCUUUUCUAUUUUUUCUUUGAUUUUAUUGGUAAAGAAAUCAAUUUCAUGAAAAAGAUUGUAUUGAAAUAGAGUGGAGGGCCAGUCAUUCAACGGGCAAAGGAAGAAGCAAAUGAAAAGGCAUUGCAAAUGCCGCCCAAAACAAGUCACUCCCAUUCUAGAAAAUGUGACUUUUCUACUACUUCUCUUUUAUGUUCUAUUUUAAAUCUAUUAUAAAGAUAUUACAAAAGAGACACUAAUUGAUGUUUAUCCCCUAAUCCUUGUGCCUUGCUUCUAGUAAUUCUACGAGGCAUGGUGGAAAAUGUAAUCAUAGGUUGGGCUUGGGCCUCAGAUUGGGCUUGGGUUUGUUGGGCUUGAACCUCAGGUAUCUUCUCUCCUUGGUCUACAUCAGUGGUAGAAUUUACUACUCUAUUAUAAGCAAAUUCAAUAUGAGGUAGUAAAUUUUCCCAUACCCUUGGGUUCCCGAAAAUAAGACAUGUUAACAUUUGACCCAAAGUUCUAUUAACCACCUUAGUUUGACAAUCAGUUUGGGGGUGGCAAGCAGUAGAAAACAAAAGUUUAGUGUCAAUUUUCCCACAAAGUUUUCCAAAAAUGGCUUAGGAACUUUGAAUCUCUGUCGAACACAAUACUUCUAGGAAGCUCAUGCAAAUGAAGUACUUCCUUAAAGAAGAGAUUUGCAAUAAAACAAGCAUCAUAUACUUUGUGGCAUGGAAUAAAGUAAGCCAUUUUAGAAAAUCGGUCCACUACCACAAAGAUAGAAUCCAUACCCUUCGAUGUCUUGGGAAGAUCUAAAAUGAAAUCCAUAGAAAUAUCUACCCAAGGCAUUGUGGGGAUAGGAAGAGGGGUAUACAAAUCAUGGGGUUGUACUUUAGAUUUAGCCUUCUUACAUGCUAUGCAUUUAGCACAAAAGCUAUGUACGGAUUUGCGCAUUUGUGGCCAAAAGAAAUGUUCAUGCAAUGUAUUUUAAGUUUUAGCUACCCCAAAAUGUCCCAUAAGUCCUCCCUCAUGUGCUUCUCUAACAAGAGAUUGUCUUAAAGAUCCUUGGGGAACACAAAGUCUUUUUUCUUUGAAAGGAAACCAUUAUGUAAGAAAAAGUCUUUGUGUCCUCCUUUGGAACACUCUUGAUAGAUAAGAGAGAAAUUAAUGUCAUCAUUAUAAAGUUCUUUUGUGUGAUCAAAACCUAAGUAUUGAACAUCCAAAACAUUUAACAAGGUAUAGCGUCUAAAAAGAGCAUUCACAACCACAUUUAUUUUACCCUGCUUAUGUUUGAUCACAUAAGGAAAUUGCUCAAGGAACUCCACCCACUUGGCAUGUCUCUUGUUAAGCUUGCUUUGGCUUUUCAAAUAUUUAAGGGAUUCAUGAUCACUAUGUAUAACAAACUCCUUUGGAAAAAGAUAAUGUUGCCAAUUUUGCAAGGCUCUUACAAGAGCAUAAAGUUCUUUAUCAUAGGUGGAGUAGUUGAGAUGACUCACCUUGAGUUUCUCACUAAAAUAAGCUAUGGGGUGGCCCUCUUGAAGGAGAACAACCCCAAUGCCUAUAUUAGAAGCAUCACAUUCUAUUUCAAAUGUUUUAGUAAAUUUAGGAAGGGCUAAAAUGAGGGCCUUAGUCAAUUUUUCCUUUAAAGUUUCAAAAGCUUGAAUUUGGUCUUGUCCCCACUUGAAUACCACAUCCUUUUUUACUAUAGCAUUUAGAGGUGCAACAAUGGUACUAAAGUUUUGCACAAACCUCCUAUGAAAGCUAGCAAGACCAUGAAAACUUCGUACCUCAUUAACAUUGAUGGGUGUUGGCCAAUGUUGAAUUGCUGCAACCUUUUCUUUGUCUACAUACACCCCUUUCAAACUUACCACAAACCCUAGGAAGUUUAUAUGAUCUAAUGCAAACAUACACUUAGCAUGAUUAGCAUACAAACUUUCCUUCAUAAGAGUUUAUAAGACUUGCCUAACAUGUGACUCAUGAUCUUCUAAAGACAAGCAAUAGAUAAGUAUGUCAUCCAAAUAAACUACUACAAACUUUCCAAUUAAAGGCUAAGAACAUGGUGCAUGAGUCGCAUGAAGGUACUAGAAGCAUUAGUCAAGCCAAAAGACAUGACCAACCACUCAUAUAAACCAAAUUUGGUCUUAAAAGCGGUUUUCCAUUCAUCCCCCGGUUUAAUACGAAUUUGAUUGUAACCACUCUUAAUAUCAAUCAUGGAAAAUAUUUUAGACCCAUGUAAUUCAUUCAACAAGUCAUCUAAUCUUGGAAUGGGAUGCCUAUACUUGGUGGUUAUAUUAUUUAUAGCGCGACAAUCCGUACCCAUCCUCCAUGUCCCAUCCUUUUUAAGAACAAGAAUUACAGGCAUAACACAUGGGCUCAUGCUAUCUUGUACCCACCCCUUAGCAAUUAAACCCUCUAGUUGUUGUUGAAUUUAUUUUGCCUCGGUUGGAUUGGUCCUAUAGGCAGGCCUAUUUGGUAAAGAAGCACUAGUUACAAAUUCUAUUUGGUGCUCAAUGCCUCUUAGAGGAGGCAAUCCCUUUGGAGGGUCUUGAAAAACAUCAUUAAAUUCCUUUACCAAUUUUUCCAAACAAUGAGGACUAUCUAACUCUAACUCAUUCUCAAGGGUCCUAGGUAUAGCUAUAAACAUAUUCUUUUGGGCUAACAUUACCUUUUUGACCUCUUGGUAGGAAAUGAGAAGGCUUCUCUUUGAACUCUUUUUUUCUUUUUCAAUCUCUCUCUUUUCUUUCAUACAAUUUAGUCCUCAUGGGCUUCCUUUGGUGAAAGAGACUUGAGUGUGACCUUAUGCCCAUGGAAGUUAAAAGAAAUUUUGUUGGUAAGCCCAUCAUGAAUAGUUUUUCUAUCAAAUUGUCAUGGCCUACCUAAAAUAAUGUGAGUGGCUUCCAUAGGUACAACAUCACAUAAGACCUCAUCCUUAUAUUUGCCAAUGGAAAAGGCUAUGAGAACUUGUUUCUUUACUAUGAUCUCCCCAUCUUCACUUAGCCAUUGGAGCUUAUAGGGCUUGGCAUAAGAGAUAGUAGACAAACCAAGUUUAUCUACUACUCUUGUGCUAGCCACAUUUGCACAAUUACCCCCAUCCACUAUUAGAGAACACAACUUAUCAUUGAUGAGACAUCUAGUAUCAAAAAUAUUUUCUCUUUGACUUUCAUCAAAGGGUUUCAAAACUUGGCCUAGCAUUCGUCUCACCACCAAUAAGUCGCCUUCACAAGGUAUUUCACUCUCAUUUUCACUUGAGGAUCUAGAGGUAUUGUGAGACUUAGAGUGUUGGGAACUAUGAUCACUAACAACUACCCCUUCAUGCACCAUCAUGUUACGCUUAGAAGGAUUUGCGAUUUGAAGUUUUAGUUGGAGAUUUAGGACUAGAAGGUGAAGGUUUAAAAUCUCUAGUUUUGUAAGUGGACUCUUUAAAAUUUUAAGGAAAAUUUGAAGAAGUUUUGUUUUUGUUUUUCAAGAAGAGUGGUAAAAGCCAUCAUUGUGAGAUUUUUGAAAAGAAGUUUUCUUUAAAAGUUUGGAUUCUACCUUCAUGGCAAGGUGAACCAAUUUUUCUAAAGAAGAAUAUUCAUACAAUUCUACCACAUCUUGGAUAUCUCUUCUUAAGCCACUUACAAACCUAGCUAUCUUUGACUCUUCACUUUCAUGCAUAUCAAUCUUAAGCAACAUUGUUUCAAGCUCUUUAAAAUAAGCAUCCACACUAAGCGUGCCUUGAUGAAACCUUUGGAGUUUCAACAAAAGGUCUUUCCUAUAGUGUGGAGGCACAAAUCUAGCGUGCUUGCAUUCUUUUAAAUCCUGCUAAGAAACCACGGGUGAGUCUCUUGUUUAGGCCAAUGUCCAUGAGAGUUUUGUGCCACCAUUGCAUGGCAUAGUCCAUAAAUUCUAAGGAGGCUAAUCUAACUUUUUGGUCAUUUUGGAUCUCAUGUACAUUAAAAAUUUGUUCUACUUUAGCCUCCCAACCUAAAUACACAUUAGGAUCACCCUCUCCAGUAAAACUAGGUAAUUUUACAAAUGGAAAAUAAGGCUUAGCCACAUCUUGGCGCCUAUCUUCAUAAUGUUGGUGCCUCCUCCAUUCAGUUUCUUCUUCAAAUCCAUCAUAAUUUUGAGAACUUCUUGAUUCAUAUCUGUCCCGACAAGUCUUCGGUCAUCGACUCAAAGACUGACCUCAGACAUCGCGCAUCGAUGCUUGUGUUGAAUCAAGUUUGUUCAAGCUUUGAAGAAUCCAAACCCUUUGAAGGUUGAUGAAAGGCAGGAUGUGCUUGUUGUUGCUGAACUGUCUUUAGAUAGGAUCUGGGGUAGAAUUUAUGUGUAAAUCCACUCUUGAUUGAAUCCAAAGCAUAAGCACUCUCAAACCUUUUAAUUGAAAUGUGUUUUUCAAACUAAGUGAAAAACAACUUAUUGUUUUGUCGAAACAACCGAUUGUUUUAUACAUAGGUGUUUUUAGAAAGGUUGAAAACUUUUUUUGAUGGUUAACUUGUUGUCAAACCAAAACAACCGAUUGAUUCGUGAAAACAACCGAUUGUUUGUUUUGGGACCAUAACAGAAAACUGUUUUGUGCUUUAACUGAACAUUAAAUGAUUUUAUAACUGUAUACACUCCAGUUUUAAAUGCUUUGACCAAUCUUUAAUUGCAAUAAAUAGUUUGUCAAGAUUGUGUAACAAACAACUAUGUUUUAAUCAAAGAAAAACAAAUUUGACAUUUUCACUGAUUUUGUUUUUGAAAGAGUUAGAGAUUGCUUUGAGAUUGCUGGAUCAAAAAGAGUGUGAUAUAGGACUUUCAUCUUGUAUUGAUUUCAGAUUUGUUCUGUAACAAGUGUAAUCCUCUGUACUUUGAAAGAAACCCUGGGUGUAUUGCUAAGAAGUGUUGUGUGUUCUUGAGGUUGUCAAGAUAAGCAUUCUUAGUGGUGUUGUGCUGAAGCCAAAGAAAGUGUGUGUCUUGAGGGGAUCAAGGUCACUUCUUUGGUGGUGUUGUAAGUAAUAUAGGGUUUAUUGCUUAGUGGAUUCCCCAGUGGUUUCUGGGAAGACUGGAUGUAGCUCUUGGUUAAGAGUGAACCAGUAUAAACCUCUGUGUGCAUUCUCUCUAUCCUUUAACUCUUUAAUUUCAGUUUUAUAUUUGUGAACUGGUAUAAACAACUGAUUGUUUCUGCGAAACAACCGGUUGUUUUUCUGGUGCUGUGCUUAUUUGCUUUGUGGUUUGGCAAACUGAAUUCUCAUUCAAGGUUUUCUCGAAGUAAUUUCAUUCUAGACCUAUGUGUUUGCGAAAACCCUCUUUAAACCAUUCACCCCCCUCUAGUUUAAAGCCAUACUUUCUAACAAUUGGCAUCAAGAGCUUGGUACUUGAAUGUUAAUCAAGUUUGAUCCGAAAAUCUUUUCUAUGGCUGGAAAACUAUCUUUUGAGGAAGGUGCUUCAAUCUACAAACCACCUUUAUUUUUUGGAUUGAAUUACAAGUAUUGGGAAGCUAGAAUGAAAAUCUUUGUGGAAUCUAUUGAUCAAGGAAUUUGGGAUUCAAUCGAGAAUGGUCCUUUCAUUCAAAAGCUUAAAAAGAAUGGUUCUUUUAUUGCAAAACCUUGGUCUCAAUGGACCAAUGAAGAAUGUAAGAUGGCCAAGCUUGACUGUACUGCUCAAAACAUAAUAGCUUCUGCACUAGAUACUAAUGAGUUUUUCAGGAUAUCAAAAUGCAAAACUGCUAAAGAGAUGUGUGACACACUUAAAGCUACUCAUGGGAACAUCAAUGAAUCAAAGGAAGUAAGGUCAAGAAGUCAAGCACGAAGGAAAAUGAUGUGAAUGCAAUAACAAGAAUACAUGNNNNNNNNNNNNNNNNNNNNNNNNNNNNNNNNNNNNNNNNNNNNNNNNNNNNNNNNNNNNNNNNNNNNNNNNNNNNNNNNNNNNNNNNNNNNNNNNNNNNNNNNNNNNNNNNNNNNNNNNNNNNNNNNNNNNNNNNNNNNNNGAAUCAAGCAACAAGAAUUGAAGAACAACAAUUGAAAACCGAACAGAAUUGAAAGAUAUAACUACUGCACCGAACAGAAAUUGAAGACUAAGCUAGGAAACACAAAUUUAAACGGUGAAAAAGGAUGAAGAACACUAAACAUUGGAAACUACCGAUUGAAAUUGCAAGAGAUGAAAGAAUGAACACUUACGGAGUGAAGCUUGCUGGAUUUGAGACUUUGGAACUGCAUUCACGCCACUUGGAGUCUUGUUCCAAGAUAAGUGAAAGGUUGCCGCCACUUGAAGCUCACCAUUGGCACACAAGAUAAGGCAAAGGAAGAAGAAGACAAAAAGACUCACAAUUUCUCUCUAAACUUGAGUAUAGUUUCUCUACUUCUAAUUUCCAAAUUUGUUUUGUACAAGGGCAGCAACACCUUUAUUUAUAGCCUAUAAGGUGCUGAAAUGCAAAGCCAAAUGUGCCCCUAAUGACACUCAAAUUCGGCGCCAACUAGUGCAUGAAGGAAGUGUGACUUUCCUGCCUAGUUUGGCACCUCCUAACUCAUAUCUACACUCCCCCUAGCAUCCCUUACUAAGUUCACACCUAUUUAUUAAUAUCCGCACCCCUACUCUACACAAUAGAAAUAAGAAGAGUCAUCUUUUGAUACUCUUGUCCCAAAGCUCUUGCCAUGCUCCUAGUGAUUCGUUGGGCUUGGGCCCCUUGUUGGGCUUGGGCUUCAUGGGCUUGAGCGUCCUCUACUUGGUUUCCAUCAGAAAAGAAGGCAAAACAGAAAAAGCCUCAACCUCUGCUUCAUGGCCAAAAAGGAAGAUGACUCAAGUAGUGUAAGCUCAUCUAACUCCUCAAACUCUGAAAAUUAUAGUCAAUUGCUUCAAUCCUUUCAAUAAACACAUGAAGAAGCCAAUUGAUUGGCCCUCUUGAACAACCAGUUAAAGGGAAUGAAUAGCUGGCUUGAAAACAGAGUCAAAACACUGGAAGAGGAAUUGGAAAAUUUAAAAACAGAUUUUGAAAACCUUGAAAUAGUUUACAAAAACUCCUCUUUCAAGUGUGAUACUCUUGUUUGUGAAAAUUGCGAAAAUCUUGAAAAGAAAGUCCACUAUCUUGUUAAAACUGUGGAUAAGCUUUCAAAAGGUCAAUCCAUCUUUGAGAAUGUCUUGGCAUCUCAAAACUGUGUUUUUGGAAAAGCUGGAUUGGGUUUUAACCCACAAAACAAGCAAGAUAGAUUUUCAAAGUCAUUUUCGAAAAUUCCAGAAAAACAACCGAUUGGACCAUCGAAACAACCGGUUGUUACAUGCUUCUACUACAUGAAAAGAGGCCAUUCUGUUAGGUUCUGUAAAAUCAGAAAAUAUGUUGUUCCUAGGGGCUUUAUGAAGUGGAUUCCUAAGUGUAUUAAAGAUUCAGAUGAUGAAUGUAAACCAAAUGGACCCACAUUCAUAAGGGGACCAAAUCUUUGUACUUGAAAAUCUUCUUUGUAGGAAAACUUGGUGGAGAGCAUGCAACAAUGGUACUUGGACAGUGGAUGCUCCAAGCACAUGACUGGGGACAAAUCAAAGUUUCUGAGCAUCUCCUUUAAGCCAGAAGGGCAUGUUACCUACGGGGACAACAACAAGGGGAGGAUUCUUGGGAGAGGAUCCAUAGGAGACAAAGAUAUCUUGGUCAUCCAUGAUGUUCUCUAUGUAGAAGGUUUAAAACAUAAUCUGCUGAGCAUUAGUCAAUUGUGUGACAAGGGAUUUCAAGUUAUCUUCAAAACAAACACAUGUGAAAUCUGUCUCCCCAACACUAAAGAGGUAAUGUUGGUAGGUAAGAAAAUCAAUAAUAUUUAUCUUCUAGAUAUCUCUUCACCAUGUUCAAUUGGUAGUCUUCUAUCCAAGAAAGAUGAGUCUUGGCUUUGGCAUAGAAGAAUUGUCCAUAUACACAUGAAUCACUUGAACAAGUUAAUUUCAAGAGAUCUUGUGAUUGGGAGACCAAAGCUCAAGUUUGAGAAGGAUCAUAUUUGUGAAGCUUGCCAAAAGGGGAAACAAGUGAAAAAUUCUUUCAAAAUCAAAAGUGUUGUUUCUUCUUUAAAACCUCUUGAGCUACUUCACAUGGAUCUUUUUGGACCUUCAAGAACCAUGAGCCUUGGUGGAAAUUACUAUGCUCUUGUUAUUGUGGAUGAUUUUUCUAGGUUCACUUGGACUCUCUUCUUUGAAUCAAAAAGUGAUGCCUUUUCUGCAUUCAAGAAGCUUGCAAAACACAAAGAACAACAACAUAGGCUCAUAAGAAGUGAUCAUGGAGGUGAAUUCCAAAAUGAAAAGUCCGACAAGUUCUGUGAAAAGAUGGGGAUUCUGCAUAAUUUCUCUGCUCCAAGAACUCCACAACAUAAUGGUGUGGUAGAGAGGAAGAACAAGUCCCUUGAAGAGCUAGCUAGAACAAUGCUUAGUGAAUCUUCUCUUCCUAAGUAUUUUUGGGCUGAUGCAGUUAACACUUCUUGUUAUGUGAUGAAUAGAGUGCUAAUUAGGCCAAUUCUGAAGAAGACUCCUUAUGAACUUUUCAAUGGAAGGAAGCUAAACAUCAAUCAUCUCAGAGUUUUCGGUUGCAGCUGUUUUGUUCUCAACAAUGGAAAGGAAAACCUAGAGAAGUUUGAUGAAAAAGCUGAUCUUGGUAUCUUCAUAGGCUAUUCUUUAACAAGUCAUGCAUACAGAAUCUACAACAAGAGGCUAAUGAUUGUAGAAGAGUUUGUUCAUGUUGUCUUUGAUGAGGUAGAUCGCAAAAGCAUUCAAAUCCCGAAGACCAGUGCUGAAGAGGAUGAGUAGAACAUCAGUUUGGGGAAGCUGGACAUCAAUGCAAAAAAACAACCGGUUGAUUCGCAGAAAUAACCGAGUGAAAUUCUGCAACAGAGUGAGUGCCCAAAGAAUGGAGGAUUCCUAGAGAUCUGUUAGUGGAAAACAUCAUGGACAGAUAAAGGAAGGUGUCUCAACACGAAGCUCCAUCUCAAACUUCUGCAGGCACACUACUUUUGUCUCUCAAUUUGAACCAAAGUCAAUUGAUGAAGCUCUCAAGGAUGAAAAAUGGGUUGAAGCUAUGCAUGAAGAGCUGAAUCAGUUUGCAAGGAAAGAGGUAUGGUUUCUUGUCCCUAAAACAACUGAGAUGAACAUACUAGGUUCGAAGUGGGUAUUCAGAAACAAACUGGAUGAGGAUGGUGUGAUCACAAGGAACAAAGCAAGGCUAGUUGCCAAAGGCUACAAUCAAGAGGAAGGCAUUGAUUAUGGUGAAACCUUUGCUCCUGUUGCAAGAUUGGAGGUUGUGAGGUUACUGCUGGCUUUUGCAUGUAUAAGUGGUUUCAAACUCUUCCAAAUGGAUGUGAAGAGUGCUUUUUUGAAUGGCUACAUCAAUGAGGAAGUGUAUGUGGAUCAACCAUCGGGCUUUGAAGAUCAUCAACAUCCCAAUCAUGUCUUCAAGCUGAAAAAGGCAUUGUAUGGGCUGAAGCAAGCUCCAAGGCAGUGGUAUGAAAGGCUUAGCAACUUCCUGCUGUCUCAUGGCUAUGAAAGGGGAAUGAUUGAUAAGACUCUCUUCAUCAAAAAAUCUAAUUAUGAAAUAAUCCUUGUGCAAAUCUAUGUAGAUGACAUCAUCUUUGGUGCUACACAAGAUAGUUUGUGUGAAGAAUUUGUGGUUGCUAUUGAAAUGUCUAUGAUGGGAGAAUUGUCUUUCUUUCUUGGAUUGCAGGUAAAGCAAACAAAGGAUGGAAUCUUUCUAUGCCAAUCAAAGUAUUGUAAAGAGAUUCUCAAGAAAUAUGAAAUGGAGAGUUGCAAGGAAGCAAGCACACCUAUGCCAUCAAGUUGCUACAUGGAUGCAGAUGCUACUGGAAAAGGGGUAGAUCAAACUAAUUACAGAGGUUUGAUUGGCUCCUUGCUAUAUCUAAUCGCAAGUAGACCGGACAUCAUGUUUGCAGUAUGUCUUUGUGCAAGAUAUCAAGCAAAUCCUAAGAAGUCACACUUCAAAGCUGCAAAAAGAAUUCUAUAAUAUCUCAAAGGAACAUCAACUGUUGGGUUAUGGUAUCCUUCUCACUCUCCUAUUCAUUUAAUUGGUUAUUCAGAUUCUGACUUUGCAGGAUGCAAGUUAGAUAGGAAGAGCACAAGUGGCACUUGCCACCUUCGUGGCUCAAGCCUUAUCUCAUGGCAUAGCAAGAAGCAAGCAUGUGUAGCUCUCUCUACUGCUGAGGCUGAGUACAUAGCUGCUGGAAGCUGUUGUGCAUAGAUUCUAUGGCUCAAACAACAACUUGCAGACUUUGGAUUGUAAAUCAGCAAGGUACCUUUGAUGUGUGACAACACAAGUGCUAUCAAUCUUACCAAAAAUCAGAUUCAGCACUCAAGAACUAAGCAUAUUGAAACACGCCUGUUAGAAUGGAUGGCUUUAAACUAGAGGGGGGUGAAUGGUUUAAAGAGGGUUUUCGCAAACUUAUAAGUCUAGAAUGAAAUUACUUUGAGAAACAGUUGAUAAGGAAAUCAAUUUGCCAAAACACAAAGCAAAAAACACAACACCAGAAAAACAAUCGGUUGUUUCGCAGAAACAAUCGGUUGUUUAUACCAGUUUGCAAAUAUCAAAACUGAAUUUAAAGAGAUUAAGGAUAGAGAGAAUGCACACAGAGGUUUAUAUUGGUUCACUCUAAAUCCAGAGCUACAUCCAGUCUUCGCAGAAACCACUGAGGAAAUCCACUAAGCAAUCAACCCUAGAACACUUACAACACAACCAAGGAAGUGACCUUGAUCCCCUCAAGACACACACUUCCUUUGGUUAGCACAACAACACUAAGAAUGCUGAUCUUGAUCCCCUCAAGAACACACAACACUUCUCAGCAACACACAAAAAGUUUCUAUCAAAGUACGCAGGAUUACACUUGUUACAGAACAAAUCUGAAAUCAAUACAAUGUGAAAAAUCCUAUCUCACACUCUUUGAUCAAACUCAAUCUCUAAGCAAUCUCAACUUUUUAUCUUAAUCAAAAUCAGUUAAAAACUCAAAUAUGUUUUUCUGUAUAUAAUCAAAGUUGUUCUUUGUUAUAAAAUCUUAACAAACUAUUCAUUGCAUUUAAAGAUUGGUCAAAGCAUUAAAAACUGGAGUGUAAACAAUUGGAAAAACAUUUAAUGCUCAGUCAAAGCACAAAACAGUUUUCUGUUAUGGUACCAAAACAAACAAUCAGUUGUUUCCACGAUUCAAUCAGUUGUUUUGGUUUUGACAGUAAGUCAACCAUAAAAACAGUUUUCAAUCUUUCUAAAAACUCCUAAGUAUAAAACAAUCAGUUGUUUCAACAAAACAACAGGUUAUUUUUCACUUAGUUUGAAAAACACUUUUCUUUUAAAAGAAUUGAGAGUGCUUAUGCUUUGGAUUCAAUCAAGAGUGGAUCAUACAUAAAAUCUACCCCAGAUCCUAUCUAAAAGAUAGCUCAGCAACAACAAGCACAACCAGCCUUUCAUCAUCCUUGAAAGGGUUUGGAUUCUUCAAAGCUUGAACACACUUGGUUCAACAAUCUCCCCCUAUUUGAUGAAGACAAAUCCCUGAUUGCUUGUGUUGGAUUUGAUUGAAUCUGAAGAAGUUCCUGCAACAUACAAUUUAAGCAAAGCACUUCUGAUAUAGGGUUAGAACAGAAACAGUAUAUCAGAGCAUAUAAAAACCUACAAGGCUUUCUUUAAUCAACCAUAAACUGUUUUGCAGAAAUUUAAAACUGAAACAACACACAACAUAAAUCUCCCCCUAUUUGUCUUCACAAAUAGACAAAAAGAAGAGAUAUAAAGAAAAUUGUUCUUGAUAAAACAGAAUUAAAGAGUAGAAGCAGAGAAAAAAAAAAUCUGAUACAAGCCCUAAAAACAAUCGGUUGUUCCAAGAUAUCAACCGGUUGUUUUUCCUUCUUCAGUCAUCAUCAACAUAUUGUAGAUCAAAAAUCUGAUUUUGGACAACUUCAAUCUGUUCAUCUAACGUCAUGAAGCGAGAAUCCAUGCUGUUAAACUUGUUAUCAAUGGUUUGGAAGUUGCUUACACACAGAUCAUGGAGAUUUCUUUGAUUCUCCGCAAAUCCAUCAAGCCUAUUGACCAUGUAUCUCUCUAAAGAAGACAUGGUUGGCAUUCCAUCUUCCUGAUUUCCAGCACUGGGUCUAGCAUCUUGAUUUGUUUCAGGAUGAUCUUCAUGUUGAAAAUCCAUAUCAGCAGCAUGUUCUUCUUCUUCAAGAACAGCAACAGCACUUGGUGAGGCACCAUGGUCACCAUCUUUGCUUAUCCAUUUGCCACCUAUUUUGGUGAAUCCCAUUUUGCUGAGAGAUCCAUUGUUCAUCUCUUGAGUUGAUUUCACCAACUUAGAUGUUUCAUCUUCCAGAUUGACUUUAAAAUACAGCAAAAAUUUAGAAAUCAAAACAGCAUAUGGAUAGUGAUAGUCACUUAACCUCAUUGCCUUCUGUAUGUGCUCCUUGAUGAUGUGGAUCCAAUUUAUUCUGAUUUUCUUCAUUAUGCAGAAGAUAUACACAAGGUCCUCCUCUGUAAGAACAGAAUGAUUGUUCCCCCUUGGAGUUAGAAUCCAAGUCACAAUAAGGGCCAACAACCUUUCAUCAAGCCUCAAGCCACCAACCGAACAAGUCCUAACUUGAGCAUUUUGAUUCUUCAAACAACUUUUGUAGUAUUGGACUUUGUUGAAAUCCUCUACUACACCAAGGUUCCCCUUAUUGGUUUUGAGGCCAGAAUACUUUACACCCGCCACUGCAGUCCACACAUCAUAGGUGAUCUCCAUAUCUACAGCCUUCACAUGAGAGACAAGGUUGUUUCCCUCAAAUUUGAGAUUUGUUUAGAACACUCUAAUUAAAUCUGGGUAGAUGUUCCCCUUCAUCUCUAAGAACUUUCUGAGAGAUUGAUCUUUGAGCAGCCUUCUUACAUUAUAUAGCUUUUGGCUUUUCAGCCAAUCAAAGCAAACAACUUUGGGGUUGUUUAUCACUUUGGUGCUAGUCUUAAACCUAUAUCUUUCAAUAAGAUCAUUAUCACCAGAAAACCAUCCUUCUAGCCUUCCUUCAGACCUUACUGCUCUGGUUUUAACUCUCUUUGAGGUGGGAGGAGUUGAUUCCAUGAUGGCAGAGAAGAAGCAGAAAAAAAGCUCACACAAGAAUUGCAAGAGAUGUUGCAAUUGGUUGUUCUUGUGAAAGAGAUUAGCUGCAACAGAUUUUAUAGCAAAAACAGAAUCAUAAAGCAUUCAAUGACAUGAGUGUGUACCAGAUUUUCAGAGAGAAAGAACUUGACCAAGCCCUGCACAGAAAACGUUAGAAAAAGCAGAAAAUCACAUGGUCAUCACAUGUGAUCUUUGACUAGUCAUUACAGCUCUUAAAUUUUCAAGAUUUUGGAAUAUAUUCCUUUAUGACUGUUGUAACUUCUUUCUGAGCGUGAUCAACUUUCAACACAGGUUCAUUGACCAAGGAUUCUUUCUUUAAUUUGAUCUGCAACGGAUAGAAAUUCAAAAAAGAAAUUAAAUUGAUUUCUUCACAGUGCUGUCACACACAAAACAAUCGUUGUUUUGAGGAAACAAUCGGUUGUUUUUCUGCAGCAGUAAAACUGAUUUUGAAUUUUCAAUCCUGAGCAGAAAGACUUCAAAGCAGAUGAAAUUGACCAUUUUUAAAAGAGAUGUUUAAGCAUGAAUCUGAACUUUAAACAUAAAUUAAAGAUAAAGAUAAGAAAUGUCUUAUUCUUUAUGAUGUUUCUCCAAUGAGUCAUGUGCUUUUUGAUCAAGAAGUCUCUUUGACUUGUUUGAGAGCCUUUGGACAGAUACAGAACAUUGAUUCAACUUCAAAGUUAGUCCUUUUAUUCCAAGAACUUGAUCAGAUGACUCAGUCCCUCACACUUCUUUAGAUUUCCUGCAUAAACAUGAGUUCAAGCAACAAGAUUUGGUCCCUUCACAAAUGUGGGUCCAUUUGAAUUCUUUUUAUCAUUUGGAACCUCACAUCCUUUAGGAAUCCACUUCAUGAAGCCCCUGGGAACAAAAAAUUUCCUUAUUUUCUAGAAUCUAACCGAAUGACCCUUUUUCAGGCAGUAAAAGCAUGUAACAACCGGUUGUUUCGAUUUAACAAUCAGUUGUUUUUCUGGCUUUCUUGAAAAACUUUUUGAAAACUUAUCUUGUUUGUUUUGUGGAUUAAAGCCUAAACCAGCCCUUCCAAAAACACAGUUUUGAGAUGCCAAGACAUUCUCAAAGUUAGAUUUUCCUUUCGAAAGCUUAUCCACAAUACUUAUAAGAUAAUGCAUUUUCUUCUCAAGGUUUUCACAAUUUUCGCAAAUGAGAGUGUCACACUUGCAAGAUGAGUUUUUGAAAUGGUUUUCAAGAUUUUUAAAAUCCUUUUUAGCUUUUUCCAGCUUUUCUUUAAGUGCCUUCACUCUCUUUUCCAGCCAGUUGUUAAGUUCUUUCAAUCGGUUGUUUGAAAGAACCAAUCGACUAGCUUCAUCGUGAGUUUCUUGAAAAGUUUCAAGCAAUUCACUAUAAUUUUGUUCAUUUAAAGAGGCACAAGAACUUACUUCACUUGAGCUGCAAGAUUCAUCAUCUUCUUCAGCAAUCAAACAGAUGUUUGCUCUUUCUUCUUCACUUGAUGAUGAACUUGAUGAUGAUACCUCAUUUUCAUCCCAAGCUAUGUAGGCUCUUUUUGUGUUGCCAUUCUUUUCCUUGUAGCUAGGCUUUUUCUCCUUGCUUUUGUUUGGGCAAUCUGCCUUUAUGUGCUCUUGUUCACCACAACCAAAACAAGUAUAGUUAUUGGAAUUAAAGUCAUUGGAUUUCUUGUUUCCAUACCUAUCUUUGUUGUUGUCUUUGUUGCGGUUCUUCUUCAAGAAUUUGCUAAACUUUCUGGAUAGCAAGCUAAGGUUCUCUUGAUCACUAUCAUCGCUGGAUUCUUGUUUGCCUUUGUGCUUGGAAGCUUUUAAGGCAAUACUCCUUACAUGCUUGUCUUCACUUUCUUGAACAUUGAGUUGAUUCAUCUCUAACUCAUGUUCCCUAAGGUUUCCAAACAAAGAAGCCAUGCUUAAUGAUGUUAGAUCUUUAGAUUCAGAUAUUGCAGUUACCUUAGGUUGCCAUGCUCUAUUAAGACAUUUCAAAAUCUUGAUGUUUAGCUCUUCCUUUUCAAAGGUCUUGUCAAGGCUUAUGAGAUGAUUGAUGAUGUACGUGAAUCUUUUAUGCACUUCAGCAAUUGUUUCACCUUUGAGCAUUCUGAACAUCUCAUACUCUUGGAUUAGAGUAUGCUUCCUAGCUCUCUUCACCUCAUUUGUACCUUCAUGAGUUACCUCCAAGGUGUCCCACAUUUCCUUUGCUGAUUUGCAUUGAGAGACCCUGAAAAACUCAUCUGAAUUCAAAGUAGAGGUUAUUAUGUUUUUAGCAAUGCAAUCAAAUUUGGCCUUCUUGCUUUCAGAACCAGUCCAUUGAGACCAAGGUUUUUCAAUGGAUGAUCCAUCUUUUUCAAAUUUUAAGACAAAAGGACCAUUUUCAAUUGCAUCCCAAAUACCUUUGUCAAGUGAUUCUACAAAGAUUUUCAUUCUGACUUUCCAAAAUUGGUAGUUCAAACCACAAAACAUAGGUGGUCUAUUGAUUGAAGCACCUUCCCCAAAAGGUUAUCAACCAUUAAAAAACAGUUUUAGGAUCACACUUGAGUAAAAUUCAAGAACCAAGCUCUUGAUGCCAAUUGUUAGAAUGAUGGCUUUAAACUAGAGGGGGGGGGGGGCUGAAUGGUUUAAAGAGGGUUUUCGCAAACUUUUAAGUCUACAAUGAAAUUACUUUGAGAAACAGUUGAUAAGGAAAUCAGUUUGCCAAAACACAAAGAAAAAAAUACAGCACCAGAAAAACAAUCGGUUGUUUCGUAGAAACAAUAGGUUGUUUAUACCAGUUUGCAAAUAUCAAAACUGAAUUUAAAGAGAUUAAGGAUAGAGAGAAUGCACACAGAGGUUUAUACUAGUUCACUCUAAACCCAGAGCUACAUCCAGUCUUCUCAGAAACCACUGAGGAAAUCCACUAAGCAAUCAACCCUAGAUCACUUACAACACAACCAAGGAAGUGACCUUGAUCCCCUCAAGACACACACUUCCUUCGGUCAGCACAACAACACUAAGAAUGCUGAUCUUGAUCCCCUCAAGAACACACAACACUUCUCAGCAACACACAUAAAGUUUCUUUCAAAGUACAAAGGAUUACACUUGUUACAGAACAAAUCUGAAAUCAAUACAAUGUGAAAAAUCCCAUCUCACACUCUUUGAUCAAACUCAAUCUCUAAACAAUCUCAACUUUUUCUUUUAAUCAAAAUCAGUUAAAAACUCAAAUAUGUUUUUCCGUAUAUAAUCAAAGUUGUUGUUUGUUAUCAAAUCUUAAUAAACUAUUCAUUGCAUUUAAAGAUUGGUCAAAACAUUAAAAACUGGAGCGUAAACAGUUGGAAAAACAUUUAAUGCUCAGUCAAAGCACAAAACAAUUUUUUGUUAUGGUACCAAAACAAACAAUCGGUUGUUUCCACGAUUCAAUCGGUUGUUUUGGUUUUGACAGCAAGUCAACCAUAAAAACAAUUUUCAAUCUUUCUAAAAACUCCUAAGUAUAAAACAAUCGGUUGUUUCCACAAAACAACAGGUUGUUUUUCACUUAGUUUGAAAAACACUUUUCUUUUAAAAGAAUUGAGAGUGCUUAUGCUUUGGAUUCAAUGAAGAGUGGAUUAUACAUAAAAUCUACCUCAGAUCCUAUCUAAAAGACAACUCAGCAACAUCAAGCACAACCAACCUUUCAUAAGCCUUGAAAGGGUUUAGAUUCUUUAAAGCUUGAACACACUUGGUUCAACAACGCCAUCAUUUCAUCAGGGAUCAUGUAAGCAAUGGGGACUGUGAAGUGAAGUUCGUUGAGACUAAACUGCAGUUAGUUGAUAUCUUCACAAAACCAUUACCAAAAAAGAGGUUCUUCUUUCUAAGAAAUGAGUUAGGUAUCCUUGACCUUCAUAAUCUUUCCUAAAUCUGUUUUAAUACCUGUUAGAGUCUAUUUGUGAAGACAAAUAGGGGGAUAAUUGAUUGGUUCUUGUGUAUCUUUCUCUAAAACUAUUUAAAAUCUGCUGAAAUCUUUAAUAUCAAACCUGUUUCAGCUUCUGCUAAUAGAAACAACCGAUUGUUUCGAGUAAACAACCGAUUGUUUGUUUGAAAAUCUGCUUUCAAAGUGUGAAAAUCUAACUUGCUGCUGUAAGAAGCAUUGGAUUGCAUAUAUGUUGUUUUUGUAGGUACUGCUUUAGAGUCAAUCAGAUCCAACACAAGCAACCAGGGAUUUGUCUUUAUCAAAUAGGGGGAGAUUGUUGAAUCAAGUGUGUUCAAGCUUUGAAGAAUCCAUACCCUUUGAAGGUUGAUGAAAGGCAGGAUGUGCUUGUUAUUGCUAAGCUAUCUUUAGAUAGGAUCUGGGGUAGAAUUUAUGUGUAAAUCCACUCUUGAUUGAAUCCAAAGCAUAAGCACUCUCAAACCUUUUAAUUGAAAUGUGUUUUUCAAACGAAGUGAAAAACAACCUGUUGUUUUGUCGAAACAACCGAUUGUUUUAUACUAGGUGUUUUUAGAAAGGUUGAAAACUGUUUUUGAUGGUUGACUUGUUGUCAAACCAAAACAAUCGAUUGAUUCGUGAAAACAACCGAUUGUUUGUUUUGGGACCAUAACAAAAAACUGUUUUGUGCUUUGACUGAGCAUUAAAUGAUUUUAUAAUUGUACACGCUCUAGUUUUAAAUGCUUUGACCAAUCUUUAAUUGCAAUAAAUAGUUUGUUAAGAUCGUGUAACAAACAACUAAGUUUUAAUCAAAGAAAAACAUAUUUGAGUUUUUCACUGAUUUUGUUUUUGAAAGAGUUAGAGAUUGCUUUAUGAUUGUUGGAUCAAAGAGAGUGUGAUAUUGGAUUCCCCAAUGGUUUCUGGGAAGACUGGAUGUAGCUCUUGGUUAAGAGUGAACCAGUAUAAACCUCUGUGUGCAUUCUCUCUAUCCUUUAACUCUUUAAUUUCAAUUUUGUAUUUGUGAACUGGUAUAAACAACUGAUUGUUUCUGCGAAACAACCGAUUGUUUUUCUGGUGCUGUGCUUAUUUGCUUUGUGUUUUGGAAAACUGAAUCCUGAUUCAAGGUUUUCUCGAAGUAAUUUCAUUCUAGAUCUAUUUGUUUGCGAAAACCCUGUUUAAACCAUUCACCCCCUCUAGUUUAAAGCCAUACCUUCUAACAGCUUGGUGAUGGAAGGGGGCCACGUGAGGUGGGCCCCAGACGCACCUACCAGGGAAUCAGUAGUCUUUGGUAUUUGUAUCCCAUGCCCCGAUGUUGAAGAUCGAUGUCGAACCCCACCAGUAGGGAAGAAGAUCAGACAUCGGUCGUCAGGAUGUUGUAGAAGGCCACAUAAGGUGGGCCCAAUAAGAUAACAGUUAAAGACAAGAGAUAUGUGGGAAGCCUAAGUCACUAGAGAUCCAUGCAUGUGGUGUGUAUGACGCAUGAAGGCGUAGCACGUGUGGAUAAUAUUAGGAGGCGUUAACACCCAUUAGGGUUAGGCUUUCCAGGGAAAGCUGCAUGCAUGGCACGUGAAUACUUAGGGCACCCACGAAGCAGAUGACGCGAGAGAUUAGGUGCACAAGUUGGCACCCAAGCGACCACUUUGUCGUUCGUUGCACUCCAAUUAAGGGAAGUUCAUAUGGCAGAUACGCUAAGAUUCUAUGAAUAGCGGCGCAAGGACAUUCUCCAAGGAACCCUAGUCAAGGGUAACGACACAAAGGUAAACCCUAGUUCCAGCCUAUAUAAAGGAUGCCCAAACCCUCGUAAGGUACGCAGUUUUUAAGACUGAAGCUAAUAUACACACUUGGUGUUUCUUUGCCCUAAUACUGACUUGAGCGUCGGAGUGCAAAUGGUCGCUAGGGCGCCCCUUAGUCUUUUGCAGGUGAGAGGUUUCUUGACCAAGAAGGCACGUUCCUUAGGCAAGACUGAAGGGCGGCAACAGUUGUUAGAAUCAACCGGCAGUGCAAGUCAACCAGCAGGAACAAUAUCUAUGAUGAUGUCUCCUUUGUCUUUGGGGUCUUUCAUUAAUCAUUGCCAAUCUUUGGAGUCUUUCCUCCAUUUGUCUCAUUUCCUCUUCUUUUUGUGCAAUGGUUCUUUUAGCUUUCUUCAAUUCUCCAAUUAGAAAAGCUUUUUGAGGAGAAUGAGGCUUAAAAGAGUCAACACUAGAAAGAUGAUCCAUAUUAAAAAACAAACACAAAUCACAAUGAACAAACAAUUAGAGAAAUCAAGUUAGAAAGCAAAUUUGCUCACGGCUAAAAGGAAAUAAGUACUUCAAAGAAAUUUUUUCUUUCCUUAACCAAAAUCUCCUUGUGGAUUGGAUAAUUCUCAAGUGAAAAAUGCCAAAGCAAACCACACUUGCUCAAAGUCAAAUCACCACAAAACUUUAGGGAAGAAGAAAAGACAAUCAAGAAAAGUGCAAAACAAGAAAGGCUAAACCAAAGUUAGAAAAGAGAUAGGACAAAACUUGAAUAGAAGACAAUCAAAAAAUCACAAAAGAAGACUCAAAGAACCUACUAAACCUUUAACUAUGAAUCCUUUAGAACUAGAAAAUUGCUAAAGCAAAAGGAUACAAAAUUCCACAAAGUAGAAAACAAUUUGUCAAUCAAGUUGAAUCCAAAAGUGUGAAAAAUGAAUUUCUAAACCAAGUAAUAAGCAAGAUGCCUUUAGAAACAAUUGCUCAUUGUUUUUGAAAAAAAUGCCCAUUGUUUUAACGUCAUAUGGUACUAUUUUGGCUCUUUUUAAUUCUAUCCAAAUUGCAUCAAACAAAGUGUCAAGAACAUUCAAUUUCACAACAAAACAUUUUGGUGGAUUCAAGAUAAUUGAACACUUGCAAUCAUAUGUUUGGAACUUAACAUCAACUUUUACUUAAAACAAGUUUCUAAUGGAAUUGUAAAGAUCACAAUUAAAAGUAAGCAAGAAAAAUCAAAGUAAUAACACCUAGAACACUAAAGAACAUAUGACACAAAGUAAAAAAAUAAGAUAAAUGAAAAGACACAACAAAGAACAUAUUCAAAACGAAAAAUGCAAUGAAUAUAACAAGGUAAAAAAAGUUCUGCAAUGAAAUAAAGGUGCUGGAAAAUUAAAGAACAAGAAAGUAAAGAUAAUUAAAUGUAAAGAACAAGAAUGUAAAAGUACUUGAAAGUAAAGGUACUUAAAUGUAAAUUGCUUGAAUUAAAAGUGCCAAAUCAACUAAAAAAUAAGAACAAACCUAUGACUCAUGAUACCACAUGAUGUGAGUUGAUUAGGAGAUGAUUCAUUAGGAGACACUUUUAAGAAUUAGGAUCAAGAUUCUCAAGCAAUUCAAGAACACAAAACAAGAAAAUGAAACACUUAAGACAUCAAACAAACUCAAUGAACUGAAUAGAAACCCAUUUUAGAAUAGAUGAAACGAUUGAAACAUCAAACAAACAAGUUGAACCGAUUAGAAUGAUGUAAGAAGGCAUUUGAACCGAUUAGAAUCAAACAAUAGCAACAUUCAACCGAUUGUAAUCAAGAACAAAUGAACAAGACAUGUUUAAAAUUUGUUAUGGAAUGGAAAUGAAAAAAAGAAGAUGAAAGGUUGAAAAGAAAACUUAUGUGGUUGAUGCUAAGGGAAUGGUUCACGCCACUUGGAAGGUGAAUGGCUCCAAGAUGAGUGAGGAAUGUCGCCACUUGGAAGGUGAAGACUCUCAAGAUAAGACUAGGAGAAGGAGAACAAAUCUCCCAAAAAUCUCUCUCAAUUUGAGAAGAGUAACUUUACUUCAAUUUCAAUCUAAUGUGUCUUUACAAUAUCCAAGCUCCUCUUUAUAUAGAGUGGAGGGACGGUCAUUCAAAGGGCAAAGGAAAAAGCAAAUGAAAAGGAAUUGCAAAUUCCGCCCAAAACAAGUCACUCCCAUUCUAGAAAAUGUGACUUUUCUACUACUUCUCUUUUAUGUUCUAUUUUAAAUCUAUUAUAAAGAUAUUACAAAAAGAGACACUAGUUGAUGUUUCUCUCCUAAUGCUUGUGCCUUGCUUUUAGUAAUUCUCUGAGGCAUGGUGGAAGAUGUAAUCAUAGGUUGGGCUUGGGCCUCAGAUUGGACUUGGGUUUGUUGGGCUUGAACCUCAAGUGUCUUCUCUCCUUGGUCUACAUCACUAUAACAAAGAGUUUCUACAACACGGGUCAUUAAACCAAAGAUUUGAUGCAAAUUAACGGGCAGAAACACCAAUCAAAAGAAGAGAAGACAUCUUUAGGAUAUUUGUUUGUUAUCCAAGUCCAAGUUUUUAUAUGAAUUAAUGCAAAUACUUGUAUAUCAUCCAAAUAUGCUUUUUUAAAGAUAAUAUUAUUUCUAUGAGUCUAAAUAGUCCACACAAUAGCAAUCCAAACUUGCAUAUCUGCUUAUGUUUCCUUGUAAUGUUUAACUAUGAUUUGAAACCACUUUUGAAUGAGUGUUAUGAUUUGCACAAAAGGGAAAAAUACAGUCUUAGUUAGAGAACCGUCAAAAGAAUGCUCUAAAAGACAUCAAAGAGAGAUAUUGUUGUAACUCUACAAAAUAAUUAUCCUUCUAAAUCAAAAUAAUCAUGUUGUUUCAUCAAGAGAUCAAGUGAAUAAAACACAUUAGAUAACACUUAAUUCAUUAUAGUGGAUUUCUUGCUCAAGAAGAAGUUCUAGAAGAAACCAUGGAAGGAAGUACAAUAAAAAAACCUAUAUAUACAUAUAUACAUAUAUAUAUAUAUAUAUAUAUUAGAAAAUAAGUCUUUGAAAAUUAAUGAAACUAUUUAAAAUACACAUGAACUAAUGCAUAUAUGUUUACUCUAGUAUCGUAUAUAUUAUUGAGAAGCCUCAGAAUGAACAUAUUUUUAUAUUUCACUACAAGAAUAUCAAUAAUUAGCUAUCGUAAAAGAAUGUCAGGGAAGUUCAUAGAGUGAGUCAAGUCCACUCUAAUGGUACACUAAAUAAAAUAAGAAACACAAAAAUUGACACUAAAGUAAUAUUUCGCAUGAAAUAAUAUAAAUAUAGCAUCGACCUAACUGAAACAAAGAUUAAUUUUAUGAUAAGAAUUAAUUUUUUUUUGAUAAAAGUGCAAGUAGGCAUAUCCCAUACAAAAAUAGUAUUUUUAUAAACGUCGGCUCGGGGGAUGUUAAUUAGAUGACAUGGUAGCAUUGGCGUGAACGAAACUUAUUAAAUUAAUGUCAAGAAAAAGAAAGGAUCUAGAACUUUCGAACCUCGCAUGUCAUUUCUCAUUUUUCUCUUUCAAACCUCAACUCUUGUUUCUCUUUUUUCUCAAAUCUUGAGCUCCUUCCCCCUUUUUCCCUAAUCCCCAACUACCUUGCAUUCCUAAUGACGAAGAAGGAUUAUUUGAAGGUAUGUAUUUUUUCAAAACCUAGUGUGUACAUUGGUGUGUAGGGCAUUGACAAAUCCUAAUGAUUGUUAAAAUUAGUGGCCUAAACAAGAGGUGGGAGUGAAUUGUUUUUGAAAGAUUUUCAAAAGGAUUGAAGUUAGAGUGAAAAGUCCUGAAAAAUCAACCAAUUGCUUUUCUGUUCAACUCAAUAAAAAUUAUGUUUUAAGUGUACUUCCAGAAAAUCAUACCAGCAGAAUUUAAAACAAAGAUAAAACACUUUGUGAGAGUAAAGAUAGAGAUAAUCACACAAGAUGUUUAUAUUGGUUCACUCUUAACUAAGAGCUACAUUCAGUCCUUAGCUAACCACUCAGAAUGCACAAUGUAAUCAAACCUAGAUUACAAAACACACACCAAGAGUGAUGAUCUUGAACCCUUCAAGAACACACACCACUCUUUGGCAAACACCACAGUUUUCAGAAACACCUUUCUAAAACUGCCUUACAGACAAAUACAAAAAUACAAUGUUCAAAGAAGAAGGAAUAAAAUACACAUGGGUAUUACAAAGCUUAAAUUUCAGAAGUUCAAAACUCAAUCCUAUUCCACAAACUUGAGAUGAUCCAAAGCUUUUGCAAUCUUGAAAAUUGUUUUUGAUAAUCUCUCUUUCUUAGUUAAUACAAAGGAGCGUUAAACAACCUUUAUAUAACCCCAAUCAAGUAUUCGAAGCAGUUAAAUUAAAAACUAAAGCUAGUUGGAAUCAUUUAAAAUAGUUUAAAACACUUUAUAGAAUUUUAUUAUGAAAAUAACCAGUUGUUUUCAAAGAUUUUCCACUACUGCCUGGCUGACUUUUUAAAGAAAUGGAACCAUAGCUAAGACUGAUCGAUGAGCCUUCUCUCUCCCUCAAUUGAAAUAAUGUUUAUGUUAAGGUUUUCAUAAAAACAACCAGUUGAUUUAUCGAAACAACCGGUUGAUUCUGUUUGACAACAAAGACAAAAGAAAACUAAGCUUUUCCAAACCAUUUUAAAAACCACUAAGUGUCAAAUAACAGGUUGAUUCGACAUUUCAAUAGGUUGAAAUUUCACACUCUUUUAGAAAACCUAUCUUUUCAAAAAGGUAAAGAUUCAAAUGAACUUAGAUCAUCUUAAAGAGUGAAUUAACAAGUCAAAAAACUACUAGAUAACACACACACACCCAACAACAAGGUCUUUAAGCCUUCCACGUGGAUUUGGAGACAUCAAAGCAUCUUGGUGAACAAUCUCCCUCUAUUUGAUAAAACCAAAUCCCUAGUUUUCUUGUUUUUAAACUUGAAAGGUCCUGCAAAAAAAAAUUGUAUCGCAUACAAAACAUAUAUAACGACAGCAUAAAGUAGAGUUGAGAAGAUACACACGGAAAUGCACAUGCAUAUGCAAAAAACCAGAAAAAUCAGGCAGGAAAAGUGUGUAACAGAAUCCUGGUGUUUAAUUGAUGUGAUUCCACUAGCCAUAUAGAGAAUGAUUCUUGACAUUCUUAGGAAUCACCUUGUGCUGGACAUUAUUGAGGCACUUUUCUUAGAGUUGGAUCAUUGUUCUAAGACAAGAACUCACCAAAAACUAGUACCAAAUCCCAAACUCAUUUGGAUGUUCCACAUAUUGUCAAAUUGAAUCAACAAAGAGAGGUAAAAUUAAAACACACCGAACAGAAAAGGAUGAUAAGCAAAUUGAAACGAACAAAGUGAAAUUAAAAGGCAAAGAACAGAAAAAUAGGUGCUGGAAAACAAGAACAGCCGAACCAAAACAACAAGACAACAAGCUAGAACUAGGAAUUAACAAACAAGAAAGGAAGGAGAGAAGAAUUGCUCAUGAAGAUGGAUGAAUGAUGGAUGAUCUCGCCACUAGAAGUGUGGAUGCUCCUAGAUGAGAGUGUUGCCGCCACUUGAGGACACCAUGGAUCCUUCAAGAUAAGACUAGAGAAGAAGGCUCAAAAGCUCUCCAAAUGCUCACUCCAAUUUUGAGUAUAGUUUCUUUAGAUUAAUUCAAAUCUGAAAUUUACAAAGAGAGUACCUCUAUUUAUAGCCUAAGGUGCUGAAAUGUAAGCUACACAAAUUCAAAAACUCCCUCCUAAAAAGCUUCUAGAAUUUGCGCCUAAAACAAAGCAUGAGGAAGGUGUGAUCCCUUCUCUCACUUUGGCACCUCCUUAUUUACUCCUACACCUAUCUACUAACACACCCCCCCUAAGACUCUUAACUAAAGACUAAAAGAUGCUUUAACAAUAGAGGUUUCUAAUGUUUCCCUCUAAGCACCUUCAACAAUAUUCUUUAUUAUUUAAUACUUGGCCUUGCCCUUUAUAGGAUGUACUUGGGCUUGGGCUUGGGCUUUAGGCUUGGGCCUCUCUUUAUUUUAUAUCUUCUUUUAAUUUUGAGAAGACUAAAAGGAAGAACUUCAAGUGUGAUGGUGAAUGGCCUCUUCCUUCAUUAAUAAAAUCCUCCUUUACUUGAUUCUCAUCAGUAAUAGAGCUAUAUCAGCAACAUAAUUAAACCAUAAAGUGGCAGAAUUACAACACAAAUAGCCUAAGAGAAUGGAUAAGAACAUAAUUAAAGAAAAAUAGUUCAACAACAUAAACAAAAAAAAUGAAAUUGAUACAUAAACCCCUUUAAUCAUCUUUGCCAUAUUGGAACUCAAAAAGCUGUGUUUGGACAACUUUAAUUUGUUCAUCAAGAUGUUGGAACCUAGUAGCACAAAACUCAUAGUGAUUCCUUUGAUCAUUGGCCAUGUUUUCCAUGCGGUUUAUCAUCAACCUUUCAAAUUAAGACAAGGGAAUCCCACGAUCAAUGGGUGGCUCAUAUCCCACAAGUGCAUGCAUACCAUAUUCAUCUGCAUUUCCAGCACUUGGACAAACUCCAUAGGUUUCACCAGCAGCUUGUUCACUUAGAACCUCAGUGCUUUGAUCAUCUUGUCCAACUUUGUGUUCAUCUUCUCCAGCAUCUCCAGUAUUUGGGGCAGCUUGGUCUUCCUCAUCUACUCCAACUUGGCUUCACAAGAAGGACCCCCUUGUUCUUCAUCUUUACUAACCCAUUUGUUGCCAACCUUGAUGAAUCCUAUUUUGUUAAGAGAUCUAUUUUUAAUUUCAUGAGAUGGCUUCACUACCUCAGACAAUUCUUCAUCAAGGUCAACUUCAAAAUAUUGAAGAAAUUUGUAAACAAGAACAACAUAAGGAAAAUGAUAGUCACUUAACCUCAUUGACUUUUACAUGUGCUUCUUGAAGGCAUGAAUCCAAUUAACCUUGAUGUUUUCAUGAUGCAGUAGAUGAGAACAAAAUCUUCUUCAAUGAGGACCAAGUGAUUACUCCCCCUUGGAGUCAACUUCCAAGACACUAUGAAGGCAAUGAUUCUUUCAUUCAAGUUUAAGCCUCCUACAGAAAAACUCUUCACUUUCAAGUGAGGAUUUUUUAUGCAUCCCACAUAAUACUGCAUCUUGUUGAAGUCCUCCACCACACCAAUAUUGCCUUUGUUGAUUCUAAGUCCAGUAUACUUUAAAUAGUCCACACAGUAGGAGUGAUCUUCAUAUCAACCCCUUUUACAUGUGAAUACAUGUUCUCACCAUCAAUAAUAAGAUUUGUGUAGAAAACCUUAACAAGAUUUGGAUAAGUGUUUCUAGACAUAUUAAAAAACCUUCUUAUCUUCUAUUUUGUUCCCGCCGGUUGACCUAACGUCUUCGUGAGUUUCUAUUGACUUUGCUUCCAAGAACCCUUCGCACCCACGUUUCCUUCCUCCGAUGGAAACACCUGAAAAUAGAGAAACAAAGGACACCAAACUCGGGCAAGUCACGUUUGCACUCCGACGGUCAAGUUAGCAUCUCGGGCAAUGAACACCAAACUAACACUCUAAGAUCACUGUGUGUUCUUUCUCACUCUGUUCACUCUCAGAAAUGCGUAACUUGCACUAAUGAAAGCGUAGAGUGUUCUCCGUAAAAUGUCAAAACGUACCUUGGUUAUGUCUAUUUUCAACCUUAUAUACCUUUGGUGUUCUUGCCCUCCUGUUUAGCUGUGACUUAAGCAUUCUGUAGGCGCGUCUUAGCAACACUAACGCCCAGACUUAGGGUCGUCCAGUGUGUAAGACUGCCCUGCCAUAGUGCAACUGGCGCGGGAUGACUGCUUGGGUGCCAACUCAUGCACCCAAUCUCUGAGUCAUCUGCUCUGGGAGUCCCCUACCUUCCUCAUGUGCCAUGCAUGCAUAUCACCCUCUACGACGUGACCCUCUCUCGGGUCGUCUCUAUCCCAGUGGCUCUUUAACGGUAGUGCGCACUAUUGCGUCCCUACACCCCAUGCACAGAUCCCUCUUGAGUUGGGUCUCUCCCUACUGGUAACUGGGGGUGUGGCUUGAAAACAACCUUUCUUUGUCUAUCUUUACUGUUGAGGUGCCGAGGCCCGAGGCCUCCACGCCCUGCCUCUGUGCCGCCCCCUCCACGGUCGUCCUCACCCGUGAGUGUAAGGAGACACUCUCUUAUCCUGUUCUACUUUCGGGGUCCCACCUUCGGGGUCCCAUCAUGUUGACUUUGGUCAAUGCCCGAGGCCAGUCAAUGCCUGAAACCGGUCAACGCCCGAGGACCAGACGAUACAUAUUAUUUCAAAGCAUUCCUCACAUCCUUGAGAUUCUUCUCUUUUAGCCAGUUGAAAUAGAUCAAUUUUGGGUUAUUGAUGACUUUUCGACUUGAUUCAUACAAAAACUUUUCAAUCUUUUCAUUAUCACCCGAAAACUAGGUUUCAAGAUGACCAACUUUCUUGGUGGCACGAGAUUUCCUCCUUUUAGGUGAAGGUGAUUAAGAAGCCAUGUUGCAGAAGUAAAUUUGUGAAGAAACAGUGGAAAUAACUAGUUUCAAGUGAGGCAGCCAAAAAAACAAUGGGUUAUUUUUGUGAAAUAUGCAGUUGAAAUCACACACAUUUAUAAAUAGAAAAAGUUAGCCAAGAUAAAUUGGCUUUUAGUGAGUUAUUUUUCCAAAUAUGUUGUAAUGGGAAUAUGUAGUGCGUCAGACCCAAACAAAGAUAGCUUUUGCAGACCCUUUAAUUUGAUUGACCAUCCAUAGAGAACACUUAAAUUUCCAAGGAUACCAUAGAAUAUAUUCCUUUAUGACCAGAAUAUAUUUAAUUAUGAUCUAAUUCAGAGGCACAUUAAAUUCAUAUUCGACCCAUAAUAGGUUUUGAAAAUCAGAAACAAUUGUAACCAUGCGUAAGCAACCAUGAAAACUUUAACAAGAGGUGUCAAGGGUAAAAAAAUCGGUCAUUUCGUGAAAACAAUCGGUUGUUUUACUGUGAUAGCAAGUGAAUGUUUUUCAAAGAAAAUAAUUCUUCCAAAAGAAUAAGGAAUGCAUUAUGUAAAUUACUCAUACCUUUCUACAAAGAUAAUCCCCAACAGAUUUGACCAAGAAAACACAUUUGGAUGUUCAUUUGAUCAUAUGAGGCACAUACAUAGGAUGAGAAUAUACAACUUACUUUACAUGGGUCAAGAAUUUCUUUGACAUGUCAAGAUCAUAUGUAAGCUGCAUACAUUUGAUUCAUAAGAACAAUUAUUGUUUUGGUUGGCUUUUCCCACAGCACCCUUUCUUUGAUCUCAAUGUUUCCUUGACUGCUAAGAAUACCUACAAGAGAGAAAUCAAGAAGCAAGGUUUGCUCCCGUUACAAAUUUGGGUCCAUGGGCAUUAACUGGGACAUUAGGAACCUUAGAAUUCUUAGGAACCCACUUUAAAACACCUCUAGGAAAAGAAAACCUCCUCACUCUGCAGAAUCUAACAGUAUGACCCCUUUUCAUGCAGUACAAGCAAGUUUCAACUAGUUGUUUCGACAAAACAAUCAGUUGUUUUUCAAAGAAACUAGAAAAGGGUUUUCAAAUUGAUCUGUUCUUGCUGUUUGGGUUAAAUCCCAGUCCAACCUUUCCAAAAUCACAAUUUUGCAAGGAAAGAACAGUUUCAAGAUUUGAUUGACCUUUGGAAAACUUGUCCACAUUUUUAAAAGAUAGUGGAUCUUCUUUUGAAGAGAUUCAAAAUUUUCACAAAAUCUAGACUCAACACACUUACAAGAAGAUUUUUGGUAAAUCAUUUUCAGGUUUUCAAAUUCAAUUUUUGAAUUGUUUAACUCUUCUUCUAAGGUUUUGACUCUGUUUCCCAACCAAUUGUUUAACCAUUUCAACCGGUUAUUCAAAGGGGGCCAGCCUAUUAGCUUCCUCAUGAGUUUCUUUGAAGGCAUAAAAAAGUUGGCUAUAAUUUUCAAAAUUAAUAAAAGCGCCUGAACUUACACUGCUUGAUUUAGAUUCUUCCUUUUCCAUUAAACACAAAUUGACUUAUUCAUCUUCCUUAGCAGAUGAACUUGAGGAUGAAUCAUCAUUAUCUCGCCAAGCUAUGUAGGCUCUUCUUGCUUUUCCCUUCUUUUUAAACUUCUUGGUUGCCCCUCUCUCAUUGAUCUCAUUGUUUGGACAAUCGACCUUGAUGUCACCCUGUUUACCACAUCUAAAACAAGUAUAGUUUGUAGAAUUGAAUUUAUUCACUUUCUUACUAUUAUACCUGUUUGAUGGUUGAUUCUUGUUCUUCUUCAAGAACUUUCCAAACUUGUUAGCAAGUUGAGAGUGUCACCAUCACUACACUCGUUUGAGUCUUGACCUUCCUUAUGACCAACUGCUCUUAAAGCAAUGCUCUUCACAUUCUUUUCUUCAUUUUCUUGGUCAUUAAGUCGGUUCAUCUCAAGCUCAUGCUCCCUUAGAUUACCAAACAAGAAGGUUGUGGUCAAUGUGGUCAAAUCCUAGGAUUUAGAAAUUGCAGUGACCUUUGGUUGCCAAGAUCUAUCCAAGCAUUUGAGAUCUUGAUGUUCAGCUUCUCCCUUUCAAAGAUCUUGCCAAGGCUAAUGAGGUGAUUCACUAUGUAGGUGAAUCUUUUCUGCACAUCCAUGAUGGUUUCCCCAUUACGCAUCCUAAACAUUUCGUAUUCUUGGAUCAAGGCAUGCUUCCUUACCUUCAUGGGUAAGCUCAAGGAUGUCCAACAUCUCCUUUGCAGAUGCACAUUGUGAGACCCUAAAAAAUUCAUCAAAAUUCAAAGCAGAAGUGAUGAUGUUCUUGGGAAUGCAAUCAUAUUGAGCUCUUUUACUUUCACUCUCAGUCCAUUAGGACCAAGGUUUUUCAAUGAAACCAUAAUUUUUUUUUCAAAUUUUGGUACAAAAGGCCCAUUUACAUUAGUAUCCCAGAUUCCUCUAUCAAUUAAUUCAACAAAAAAUUUCAUUCUAACCUUCCAAAAUCGAUAGUUCAGUCCACAAAACAAAGGUGACCUAUUUAUAGAAGCCCCUCCCCAAGGGUAGUUUUUCAGCCAUUUUAAAAAGGUUUUAGGAUAUAAACUUAAGUAGCUUUCAAUAACUAAGCUCAUGAUGUCAAUUGAUAGAAUUAAUGGCCUAAACAAGAGGCAGGGUGAAUUGUUUUUGAAAGAUUUUCGCAAAGAUUGAAGUUAGAAUGAAAAGUUCUGAAAAAUGAAUAAUUGAUUUUCUGUUCAACUUAAUAAAACUUCGGUUUUAAGUGUAUUUCCAGAAAAUCCACCUGUUGUUUUCAUGAAACAACCAGUUGGUUAUACCAGUAGAGUUUAAAACAAAGAUAAAAUAGUUUAUGAGAGUAGAAAUAGAGAGAAUUACACAAGAUGUUUAUACUAGUUCACUCUUAACCAAGAGCUACAUCUAGUCCUCAGGUAACCAUUGAGAAUUAACAACGUAAUCAAACCUAGAUUACAAAACACACUCCAAGAGUGAUGAUCUUGAACCCUUCAAGAACACACAUCACUCUUUGACAAACACCACAGUUUCCAGAAACACCUUUCUGAAACUGCCUUACACACAAAUAAAGAAAUAUAGUGUUCAAAGAAGAAAAGAAUAAAAUACACCUGAAUAUUACAAAGCUUAAGUUUCAAAAGUACAAAACCCAAUCCAAUUCCACACGCUUGAGAUGAUCCAAAGCUUUUGAAAUCAUGAAAAUCAUUUUUGAUAAUCUAUCUCUCUUAGUUAAUACAAAGGAGUAUUAAACAACCUUUAUAACCUCAAUCAAGUGGUUAGAACAGUUAAAUAAAAAACAAGAGGCUGUUGGAAUCAAUGAAAACAGUUUAAAACACUUAACAUAAUUUUGUUAUGAAAACAACUAGUUGUUUUCCAAAUCAAUCGAUUGAAAUAAUGUUUUUGUUAAGGUUUUCAUAAAACAACAAGUUGAUUUAUCGAAACAACUGGUUGAUUCUGUUUGACAAUAAAGACAAAAGAAAGCUAGGCUUUUCCAAACCGUUUUAAAAACCACUAAGUGUCAAACAACAGGUUGAAUCGACAUUUCAAUAGAUUGAAAUUUCACACUCUUUUAGAAAACCCAUCUUUUAAAAAAGAGAAAGAUUCAAAUGAACUUGGAUCAUCUUAAGGAGUGAAUUAACAAGUUAAAAACUACUAGACAAAACACAUACAUGCCACAACAACAAGGUGUUUAAACUUUCAACAUGAAUUUAGAGACAUUAAAGCAUCUUAUUCAACAAUUAUAAUUUAGCGAAGGCGCUUGAAAUCGACCUCCAAUUGAAGAACCCAAUCAUGAGGUCGAAGAAAAGACAUGGUGGUGAGGACGUAUAGAAGAAGGACCUUUUACUAAUUUUCCUAAAGGUGAGUUGCAAGUUGCAUUUUAUUUUAAUGGGGUUUUCUAUAUUUCAUGGGUUUGAUUGGUGUUGAAAAUGGUGUCUAAAAUGGUGUUCAAAUGUUACAUACAAAGAACCCUAAGGUUCCAUUUUUGUUGGGCUCAUGUUAAACGCUCGUGUUAGAUGCUUGGUCCUAUGGCUUAGAAGGUUGCCCUAAACGCUAGUACUAGAUGAUUCUUGUUGAUCCUGAAGGUAAACGUUCCUUGUUUUGAGUGUGUUUGUUACUGUAUUUAGGGGUAUGUAUUUAUGUGUUUGUUACUCUAGUUUACCUCAAUAAGCUAGUUAAUGUGUAUAAUCCUCAUUCUUUGAUUAAUGUCCAAAUGAUGUGUCAUGUAAUUGGACAAAACAUAGCUAGUAUCCUGCAAUAUCAAAUGCUAUUAGUUAUCAAAAUUCAAUAGAAAGGAAUUCGAAUGUUAGUUUUGUUGUCAUUCUGAAAUCCAUUUUUGAAUUAUAAAAUUAUUAGUGAAAUAAACUCUACAUAGAAGAAUUUCAAAAAUAGAAAACGACAUAAAUACAAUAUAGUGAAUUUUAACUAUACCCAAAAUGAUAUAAAUUGUCUGCUGGAUGGGCAGAAAAUAUAGUCUUGCUUUAGCAGAAAAUACAACUUUCGAGAAUAGGAUGAGAAAUCAGGACAACAGGUGGAAGAAUUUGAGUGCAGUACUCUCAAAAGUUCAAUUGAAAAAUUAGAAUUCAGAAAUUGGUUCUCUUUGUGCUAACCCCACUAUGAGGUAGACCCAGAGUCUGGCUCAUUGUGUGAAAUUCUUGGGUUUCUCUUCUCCUUAAGCUGAUUUGUGCGAGACGUGGUUGAGAAUUUGAUAUUGAGAAGAAAGCUACCACAAGUAUGUUAGGAUUUAAACAAAACCCACAUAGAAUAAAAGUAAAUAAAAGAUUCACAAAGUAAUAACUUGGAUUUAACUUCCGAUGCAUUGAAAAUGUUUAUUUCAUAGUAAUGAGAAAUAGGAAAUGUUAGGAAAACAUACCACAACUAAAAGCAUAAAUCUAGAGGCAACUUGAAGCCAUGGAAUGUUGUCAUAAACUUCCUUAAGUAUGUAAGCAACAACCCAAACAACUGCCAAGAAGAAUGAGCAAAAGAUAAAUUAUGGAGACCACCGAGAAAAACCAUCCACAAAAUAUACAAGCUCAUAUUUAAUAAAACUAGUUUGAAAAUGAAUAAGCAUGUAUAAGACUGGGCAAUGAAAAAUGAAUUAGGUGGUUUUUACCUCAGCAAGCAAUGUUAAAUGUAAAAAAAAAAUUGUGGUUAAUUAAGAGACUAUAAAGUAUGAUAUCUUUUUUUUUUUCAGAAAGUGAACAAUAUUGUCUAUAGAAUAAAUAUUAUAUUUAGGAUAAAACUUGUGCAAAACUAGUUAUCUGAGCAAAGUAGUUAAAGAAUAUGUGAUAUCUGUAACAUUUGGAAACAUGCAUUCUGAAGUUAAUGUUGAUUUCGGUAUCAAAUUUUUAACUUUUAUCAUUACAAGAAAAUCAUUAAAUAUAAAUGAAUUUUACAGAUAAAAAAUAAUUAGUUACUAUAUUGACUAAAUUAGAUAUUAUCACUGGUGCAAAAAAGCUUAAACAUGACGGCUAUUUUAACUGUUAAAUGGCGUUUUGCUAGCCGCCUUUGAUCAGCACGUAGUCUUAUGUCCCAAAACAAAGAAGGUGACUGAAUAGCCGCCUUAGAUUUAAACAAAGAGGGCAGCUAUUUGCCUUAGCCGCCUUAUAAACCAUUGCGGAGCAUCUAAGAAGGCGACUAUGGUAAAUAAUCACCCUUGUAAAUGGUAAUUCUUUUUAAUACAUUAUGUUUAAUGUUAAUUUCCAUAUAAAUUGACUUGUUUAAUUAUAACCUAGUCAGACAAAUACAUAAAUUCAAAUAAUCAAAUGAUAUAUAUUGAUAAAAAUGUAUUACAAACACUAAUAUAUUAGAACUGUAGGCCUUAAACAAGUGGGAGAUGAGUUGUUUAUGAAAGAUUUUCGCAAGUAUAGAAGGUAAAGUGAAUGACUACGAGGAAUCAAUCAAUUAGAAAACUGUUCAGUUAAUUAGAAAACUAUUUUUAGUUUGAUUGCUGAAAAUCAACCUGUUGUUUUUGCUAAACAACCGGUUGUUUAUACUAGCAGUUUAUAAAUCAAAUCUAAAGCAGUUUAAAAAGUGUAUUGAAAGAUAAAUUCACACAGAGUAUUUAUACUAGUUCACUCUUAACCAAGAGCUACAUCCAGUCCUUAGCUAACAACUGAGAAUUCACUAAGUAAUCAAACCUUGAUUGCAAACAACACACCAAAGUGAUGAUCUUGAACCCUUCAAGAACACACACCACAUUUGGCAAUCAACACAAUUUUCACAACAACCUCUGAAAAUGCACAACACCAAGUCACACAGAAUUACUGUGAUUAAGAAAAAAGGAAUAGAAUACACCUGGGUACAAUCAAAGAUUAAAGUACAGAGAAUACAAAAAAUGGCAUUCCACACUUGAGAAUGAUCCAAAAGUUCUUUGAAAUCUUGAAAAUUGAUUUUGAUUGAUCUUUCUUAGUUAGUUAAUGACCAGGAGCGUAAAACAACCUUUUUAUACUCCAAUCAAUUGGUCAAAGCAUUUUAUUCAAGAACCAAAACCAGUUUGAAUAAUUUAAAACAGAUUUGCACAUCUUAACAUAAUUCUGUUAAGGUUUUAAAAAAAUAAUCGAUUGAAAUCAUGAAUCAACCCGGUUGAGUUGGUUGAUAGCAAACUCAAACAAAGUCAAGAUUUUCAAAUCCUUUUCAAAAACCACUAAGUGUAAAAGAGCCAGUUGAUUUGACAUUUCAACAGGUUGGAUUUUCACUUUCUUUAGAAAACAUAUCUUUUUCAAAAGGAUUAAGAUUCAUUUAACCUUGGAUCAUCAAAAGGAGUGGAUUAACAAAUUCAACUACUUCUAGACACACACACAUAACCAACAACAAGGAUCUUCAUGCAUUCCACUUGGAUUUGGAGACAUCAAAGCACCUUGCUCAACAUAAUAACAUAUUCCUAUCUAUCUAAUUCCUACACUAUUGAUUAGUUAUCCUAGGGUUUUGAUAAAUCAUUAAUUUAUACUAGGAAAAGUCAUGAAAAUUUUUAGAAUUUUCAAAUUAGUGUAUGUAAGGAAACUAAAACCUUAAAAUACUUAAAAAAAUACCUAAAUAAUAAAAACAAAUAGUAAACGGUGGAUUUUUGGAAUUUUGGGUGGACCCAGUGUCCUUCGGGAAUGGCCAAGGGCUUCGUCUCCUCAUUUUGAGUAACUUUCAUUUUUUACGCGUCUCCAUCUAACUUCUCUGUAAAAAUUUAUAGUCAUUUGAAGUUUUUUCGCGCUAAUUUCUUGCAACUCCAAAUCUAUCAUUCCUCUCCUCAAUCCGAGGACUCUUCCAUCAAAUAUACACUAAAUGAAGUUCCCACAAAAAAAUUUGGAUGAAAAAUAACUUUCUACCUAUUUGUAAUGAAUUUUACAAUGAUUCAAAAAUAUAAAAAUACCACGAACCUUGUACGUGAAGGUGAUGGUGAAGAGCAGUGACGACGAAGACCAAUGGAGGCAUAAGGAAACCCUAAACAAUGAAAACAAAGUUCGUUGGUGGAAGGCACAAGGAAAUCCUAAACAAUGAAAACAAUGUUUGUUGGUGGAAGGCACAAGGAAACCCUAAAAAUUGAAAACAAAGUUCAUUGGUGGAAGACAAUGAAAACCUUCAGUAAUGAAUAAGCAAUGGAGGAUGCAACAAGGAACCCUAAAAAAUGAAAACAAAGUUCGUUGGUGGAAGACACAAGGAAACCCUAAACAAUGAAAAUAACGUUCAUUGGUGGAAGGCACAAGGAAACCCUGCACAAUGAAAACAACGUUCGUUGGUGGAAGGCACAAGGAAACCCUAAACAAUGAAAACAACGUUCAUUAGUGGAAGGCAAUGAAAACCUUCACUAACAAAUUAGCAAUUGAGGAUUCAGAAUGAGUGAAUGAGAGAAACUUAGAAAGACCUCGAAGAUGAAGAAAAAGUAGAAGCAAAGAGAGUGAGCACGAAGGCAAAGAAGGAAGACAAACACGAAGAAGAGGAAAUACAAAAGUGUAAGUGACGCGCUACGAAUUAGGGUAAAAAAUGGGUCUAAGACGGCGGCUACCACUAAUAGUCAUCGUCUUAGACAAAGCGCUUUGGUCUAAGACGACGGGUUGACCUCAUAGCUGCCGUCUUAGACUCUUUUUAUUGCAAAAAUGCCACCGCGUUUUGAAAGACAACGCUUGGCAGUAUAAACACUAUGAAUUGCUUGUCGUUUAAGGGGCUUUUUGCACUAGUGUAUUUUAGAGACUAAAAAAAUUAUUUAUAUUUAAAUAGAUAUCAAUUUAGAAACUAGUUUAUAAAUUUUAUUAAUAUAAGAAACUAAUUUAGAUAUCAAUAUUUUUUUUAGUCUCUAAAAUAAUAUCUAAUUUAGUUAAUAUAGUAACUAAUUAAUUUUUUUGUCCCUACAAUUAAUUUCUAUUUAAUACUUUUUUGUGGUGGAUGUUACACAUUUAGACUUAGGUAAGAAAUGUUUUUUUCCUAGGAAAUAGAAAACCUAAUUUUUGUAUCAUGGUUCUAUAUAAAUUUUUUUUGGCAACUUCAUUGUUAAAUUGUGAACUGUAUAAUAUUUGUUAAAAAUUACACCUAUUAGAUCAUUUCCUAUAUGUAUUAAUUAUAAAUGAUGUUAUGACAAUACUUUCUUAAAAAACUAAACAUGAAUGUUGUCUUUCUUAAAAAAAAUGGUGCUAAUGAAUAUAAUUUUAUUCACACUUAUUAACUUCAAUCAUAAAUUAUUGGAAUGUAAUAAUAAAUAAAGUCAUUAUUUUAAUUAAUAUUCUUGUAAUUGGGUUUAUUUGGGUCUUAAUUAUUAUUUCUGUUGAUUCUGUUUUUUUAACCCAAGUUACUUUUUUUUUUUAUCAAAAUAGGAAACAAAAUCCUGAAAUUCAAUGCCAAUAUCUACAAUAUCUUAGAAAAGGAAUUGAAUGCAAAUGUCUACAAGGAUAUUGUUUAUAACUCCUGAAAUUCAAUCUCCACUGCAAAAUCCUUCAAAAAUAGAACAAGUAUUCUUUGAAGAUAUUAUUCAAGAAAAUCUUCCGCAAUAUCUCGGACAACAGUGCUAGAAUCAAUUACAAUCAAUGCACAAAUUUGAAGAAAAUUUGAAACAGUAUACAGAAGAGAAGCAAGAAUCAAAUCUGAGACUAUUUAGGAAUGAAGAUAUAUGUUUAAUAAUUUAAAACAGAAAAGGAAGCAUAUGAUAAUUGUAAAACAAUAUCAUAAGGAGGAUUUUUAAUCUGAUUUUGUGCAAGAAAAAAAAGAUUGUAAAAGAGACUUAAGAGGAAGGAAGGGAGAGCUUUUUGGGUCGGGUUUCAUAGGAGCAAACACAUUUUAGACCUAAUUUUCUUUUCUUCUUUAUAAUAGUUUUGUUUUGCCUCCACAUUGAAGGCUAAACCUUUUUGGUUGGUUCCUUUGUAAUUCCCCAUUGAGUUUUGAGGUUUUGUUCAAUAAUUUUUUUUUGUUUUUUUAACAUUCUAAUCUCCUGGAAAACUGUUAUUUGUGAGAGGUUGUACUUGAACGCAUGAUUGAGAGUCUUCUUUAUCUUAAACUUUGGUUUCCUGGUUAAUUCACACUGUUCUAAUUAAUUUCUUGGGCACAUGAUUUAAAAGAGAGGAGAUAAGUAUUGACAUAAAGUAUAAACAUGGAACAAAGUGAGUAUUGAUUAAACCAAUAUACGCAUGCUUUACUGGUGAGUUUUAAGUUGAAUAAGAUUGACGCAUGUUCAAUCUGGUUUAGCUUUGUGUGAGAAUUGAAGGAUGAUAAUCUUUAGAUGACUUAUGAAGAACUCAGUGGUGGAGGAACUUGGGGAUCAACCACUUUUUAAUUUAUAUUUUAAUCUUUUUUAUAUUUUAUGUUAAACAAUAUCAAUCCGCUUUUUAUCAUUAUUGUUAUUGCUAAUUCUAAUUUCUAGGAGAUAAGUUUUGAAUUUUAUUCACUGGACUCAUAGUUGAUUUUAGAAUUGCACAUUUUUAUGUGUUACUCUUUUGUUUAUGAUUUUUGGAUUAACAAUUAUGGUGAUAAGGUCAAAGAAGAUUGUCAUUGGACACGAACUUAACCAAGUGGUUAAGUAAGUGUGAAGGUUCUUGUUCCCGCCAGUUAACCCCAACGUCUUCGUGCACUCGCAACAACCUUCACGUCCAGGACUCCCUUCUCUUCAAACGGUGCUUUCCUCCUAGUGGAUCACCUGAAAAACAAGAGACAAAGGGCACCCUCGCGGCUGUUUGCACUCCAAUGCUCAAGUCAAACUUCGGGCAAAGAAACACCAAAAAACUCUAAACUCUGAGAGCUCUGUGUGUUACUUGCAUUAGAAAUGCGUACCUUAUUCUGUUGGUUGUUACCCUUUAUAUGCUCUUUAGUGUUUCUGCUUCCUUCGCUAACUGUGAGUUAGGCUUAUUGUAGGUGCGUCUUAGCAUCACUAUCACCCACCCUCAGGGCCAUUUAGUGUGCAAGACCCCCCUUUACUGGAGUGCAACCUCUGUGAGAUGACCACUUGGGUGCCAACUCAUGCACCUAAUCUCUGGAUCAUCCACUCUGGGAGUGCCUUGUCUUAUUCACGUGCCAUGCAUGCAGAUCUCCCCUGGGACGUGACCCUUACCGUUCAUCUCUUUCCCAGGGGCUAUUUGAUUGUGACGUGCCCUAAAACCUCGUCUACACCCCAUGCAUGGACUUUCUGUGACCUUGACUUCUCCCUUACUGAGUGCUGAAAUGUGCCUUGGAAACCACCCUUUUUCGGCUCAGAUUUACUGUUUGGAUUGCCGAGGUCCGAGGCCUCCACGCCCCGCGCCUUGAUGCCGCCCCAUCCUUGGCUGCCCUUACCCAGGAGCUUACUAAGAAUCUGGCCCGUCCUACCAGCCUCCCAGUGGACCUAGCCUUCGGGGUUCCACCAUGACUUUGGUCAACGCCCAAGUCCGAGAACUGGUCAGUACAGUUCUCUUUUAGAGAGCAAAAGAUAAAAUACAAUAUAAGGUGAACAUGGCGAUGAUGGCGAAAUUAAAAAACAUAGAAAAUAGAAUGAAGCAAAAUGAAACCAAAAUAAAGGAAGAGAUAAAGAACACCAAUGAACAAAGAAUAAUGGAAAGGCGCAAAAAGAAAGGAAAAAGAUGAAGAGAAAGGAAACCUUAUGGGAAUGGAGCAAGGGAUCACGCCACUUGGAAUGGUGGGAGAUUCUAAGAUGAGUGGUGAGGAGCCGCCACUUGAGGUGCACUAUUUUUAAGAUAAGACCCAAGAACAAUUUAGGAGACAAAGCUCACUAAUCACUCAAGUAGAGUUUCUCUUUUUAAUUCAAAUUCAAGUGUGAAAUACAUGAGGCAAGACACUCUAUUAAUAGGAGAAAAUGUCUUGGGGAUCAAGAUAGAGGGGUAGGGUUGUAAUUUGUGAGAAACCUUCUAGACGGUAGGUAAAAGAAACUCUAAACCUAGGUGCACAUCUCAUGAAAGGUGGGUUUGGCACAAACACAGAAUACUAAGCACACCUUACUAAAAUUACUAAGCAUACCCUACUCUAGCUUAUUCUUCUAUUAUGAUCCCAAAGUGAGCCCAAUUUAUUUACAUAAACUUGUAUUUUAAAAAGACUAGAAAAAAAAAACAUUUGAUGCUCUGGCCUAUGUCUAGUUCUUCUUUUCUGAGGUACUUUUGAAGUUUAGUGGCGCCUUGUCUUGGAUGUUGAGAUGACUAACUUAAUUGUGAAGUGCUUAUUGUGUCCUUAGUCAUCUGUUUGUCAACAUGGUUUGUAUAAAAAAUGAAUUCACUUUAUCCCUGAAUCUUCUCUACAAAAACCACAUGCACAUAAAACUAAUCCAAAGGAGUGUCAAGAGAUUCAACUCAAUCAUUUAAAAGGAUGUACUAGAAGUAUAGUGUCUAACAAAGAUACAAAGUUCUUGAGUCAUUAUUGGAAAACAACAGGGGAAUAACUUGGCACAAAAUUUAUGUUUUCAAUCACUUAUUACCCCAAUUCAGAAGAACAAACUAAAGUGAUCACGAAAACUAUGUAUCAAAUGUUCACAUACCUUAUUUCCAGAAACCUUAGGGCGUGGGAGGAAUUCUUUCUUCUUAUUGAAAUUGUUUUUAAUUGGGUAGUUAAUUUUUCCAACUCUCACACCUUUUGCUUAACACUCCAAUAAAGGAAAAAAGAGAGAUGAUCUUUGCCCCCGAGAAAUGGGUUUGGAUUCACUUAUGGAAUAAUUACUUUUCAACCCAAAGGAAAUUUACACUUCCUCCCCGAGGAGAUGGUCCCUUCCAAAUCACUAAAAGGAUCAAUAAAAAUCAACAUGAGUUUGAUUGACCUCACAUAUAUCCAGGCAAUAAUAAUUUUCAUGUGAGCGAUCUGACUCCUUUUUCUGCAGGUGUUUCAAAGUCGUGGACGAAUUCUCUCCAACCCGAGGAGCAUGAUGAAACCCUGACUGACAGAGAACCUAUUCAGCCAGACCAAUCUUCUAGGAGGAUGACCAGGAACAUGACACAGGACUCAGGGCUUGGCCAAGCACAUCCUAUUGUUCCUUAAAGGAUCCUUAACAAAAGAACACUUGAGCAUGAACCAAAAUAUCAAUUGUUAUUUCUUUUAGUCUUUUUAUAAGACAUAAUUAAAUGUAAUAAAUUAGGCUCACAUUGGCCCAAGAAAAAUAACCUAGCUUAGGCUUCUAAAAACCCUAGCUAGAGGAGCAAAUGUGGUCACAAUUUCCACAAUAACCACAUGCUUAAAUGUGAAGAGCAUGACCCUACUAAAUCCACUUUUAGUGGCACGAAAUUAGUAGCCUAAACAUUUUUAAUUUGAAUUUUGAAUUUUCCACCACACACUAAGCUCAUGGAACCCCAUGCUAUAAAUAGGUGGCCUUGUAAUUUAGAACAUAAUUUGAGUAAAGAAAUUAUGCUUGAGUGAAUCUUUGAGAUUCUAUAAUUUUCUUCGAGUCUUAUCUUGGCAAGAUGCUUCAAGUGGCGACUCUCUUCAUCACUUAUAUUGGAAUCCAACUCUAAGUGGCAUGAGCUCUUCCAUUCCUCUACCUCCAUGAAUGUCUUUAACCAUCUAAGUUUUUCACUUUUCUUCUCUAAUUACAUGUUUUCCAUUUUCUUCAAUUCUACUUUCUUUUGAGUUCUUAUUCUUUCGAAUUCUUAUUGUCUUUGUGCGAGUCUUUUUAUUUUUCUCUUUGAAGAGAAUCUUCAAACUUAACCACUUGGUUAAGUUCGUAUCCAGUGACAAUCCUCACUGAGUCAUCAUUAUAAUUGUUAAUCCAAUUCUUAAUCGAAGUGAAACCUCUAAAAAUAUGUGCAAUUCUCAAAUCAUAAAAAAUUUAUUCUAAUCAGUGGCCUUGAAUUCUCAAGCAUCUAAUGAUUUUGUUGGUACACUUGAAUGGUUGAAUUUGAAAAAAAAAUUGAGACAAUACCAAAUUGCAAUUAAAUUGGAUUUUCCACAAUCGACAUAUUUUUGUAUGAUUAACCUAGACCAAGGAAUGUAUUAGAUAAGUUAACAUAAGUUGUUCUUCGACCAUUGAAGAUGAAUAAAAAUUUUAAAACUCCACAUAAAUUUCUAUUACAUUCUUUCUAUGUGUCGGGUCAAAAGACCAUGUCUCUCAUGUGGAUAAAUUCUACCCAUGCAACACAAAGAAUUACCAAGUAUAUCAACCUUUCAGUGGAUGAUUCUUAGGCAAUGGAUUCAUGUUUUUUAUGUCUGAGCCUGAGCCUUGGUUCCAACCAAAAUUGGGUUCACAAAAUUAGUUCUAAAACCAAGUAAACUAACUUCAACUUCUUCUUUAAGUAGUUUGUUGACUGUGUAGUGCCAAUUGAUAAAGGACCUUUAAUCGUCUAUUACUUGUUUUGUAUAUUUUUAUUCUUUAAACUCAACUUCUUCUACUCUUCAUAGUAUAAAUGUCUUCAUUCUAGCUUCUAAGAUCAAAACACCUUUUAGAUGGUUUAGGAAAAAUAUAAGCUGAAAAAUACAGUUUUUAUUAUAUUUCUAUAAAAAAAGUAAAUUUAUUAAGAGAAUACAAAUCUAAACUAAAAAUAGAAACUAAGAACGAAAAACAAUUAAAAAAAUACAAUUAUCCUAAAAUAAUAUGAAAAAAUCGAAAGUUAUCAACCACCCAUCCCUCAUUUUAAAAAAUGAGGUAAUAGAAUAACCUUUGGACCAAACACGACGCAUGUUAAAUUGAUAGUCUAAUGACCAUUUUAUGAACCCUAUGUCUAGAUUAACACAAAGGAAAUCUCAUUCCCCUCAACUACAUUCACCUUAACCUAAAAGUUUAUACUCAAAUUCACCAUCACUGACCUACACAAGGAAUGAUAGCAUCUCCUUCAUUCGAAAUGUUUCUUUGAAUUUUGAUGAUAGUUGGCGGAAGCUAUUGGAAGUGAUGAGUCAAUGAGAGCUCCAUUGGAGCCAUGUAUUCCUUGUAGUUUCCAUGAAGAGUGUGAAGAGUGAUUUGUUUAGCCAUAUCAAUUGGAAGAGAUGGAAGAUGAGACCAAAGGUAUCUAUUCUAGAGAGACUAAACAAGAGAGUGCUUAGGCUUGCAAUUUGACAACAUAACACUCAUAUAUGUUAUCUACUAAAACAUGAGCCAAGCACCCCAAUUUAUAGGUUAGAGGGUCGACCAAGUUACAAGCAAAAUAGUGCAAAAAUUCAAAUGCAAAAGGUUAGAAUUAGGCAUCUAAAUCAAGUCCCAACGCAAUGAUGAUCAAGAUGUGCUCCAUGUGACCUAAUUAGGUCUAAUGACCGACCUAGGGUUUAAUGUGGGUUGUAAUUAAGCCCAAUCACACCCUAGGUAGAUUUUAGAAACCUAAUCCUAACCCUAAUUUACUUAAAGCAAAAAUACAAGCAAAAAUGCUACUAUAUUUUUACACUAGGUUAUAACACUUUUGAACAUGUAUAAGAGAUUGUCUCUGCCAUCAGUAGCAGAGUCCAAAUCAUCUUAUAUUCUCCUUACCAUAGCUCUAGUUGUUGGUCUUGAGUUGAGACCUUUGCCAUCAUCCCUUCCCUCUUGAAGAGGAUUUGUCCUCAAAUCAAAAGUCUUUACCUCAUCAUCUGUGCUACCUGCAAAAUGUGUUAGAUCUAUAACAUUAAAAGUAGCAUGUACUCUAUAUUCUUCAGACAUAUCCAACUGAUAUGAAUUAUUAUUGACUAUCUUGAGGACUUGGAAAGGACCAUUUCCUCAGGGACUAAGCUUAGACUUCCUAUAACUAGGGAAUCUAUGCUUUCUAAGAUGCAGCUAAAUCCAAUCUAUCUCUUUAAAAAUUAUCUCUCUCUUCCCCUUAUUAUUAUUCUUGAUGUAUUUCUUCGUUUGUUUGUAAUUAAUUUUUAAUGCUCUCAUCUAAUUUCUUAACAAAUUGAACUUUUGUUACCCAUUCCUUAUGCACAAAUUCAUGUGGAUUAGGCAAAGGUAACAAAUCUAAAGGAUUGAGAGGAUUAAAACCAUAUACAACCUCAAUGGAGAAAUUUUAGUAGUCUUAGGGACCACUCUAUUGUAUGCAAACUCUAUAUGACGAAGGUAGUCAUCCUAAGAUUUUUAGUUUCCUUUCAUGACCGACCUAAGCAUAGUUGAUAGAGAUCUAUUUACUACCUCUAUUUGUCCAUCAUUUUAAGGAUGAGAAGAGGUUGAAAAAUUCAACUUAGUUCCUAGCCUUUCCCAAAGAGUUCUCAAGACAUGUCUAAGAUAUUUAGAGGAUUAAAACCAUAUACAACGUCAAUGGAGAAAUUUUAGUAGUCUUAGGGACCACUCUAUUGUAUGCAAACUCUAUAUAACGAAGGUAGUCAUCCUAAGAUUUGUAGUUUCCUUUCAUGACCGACCCAAGCAUAGUUGAUAGAGAUCUAUUUACUACCUGUAUUUGUCCAUCCUUUUAAGGAUGAGAAGAGGUUAAAAAAUUCAACUUAGUUCCUAGCCUUUCCCAAAGAGUUCUCAAGACAUGUCUAAGAUAUUUUGAAUCUCUAUAAAAAACUAUGUGAUGCAAUCCAAGUGGCAUGGCUUUGUGUCUUUUAUUUUAUAUUUUUGGGGUGCGGAAUUUGGGGGAAUUGUAAGAAUUCAUGGCUUAAACAAGAGGGGGAGGGGUGAAUUAUUUUAUGAAAGUUUUUCGCAAAGACUUGGUUUAGAAUGAAUCUUUAUCAAACAAUCUAGAUAAGCACUUAAGGAAAGCAAUCAAACAAUCCAACAAAAACAGUUAUCAGAAUUUUAACCGGUUAAAACUGUGUUUUAAUCGGUUGUUUAUACCAGGAGCAGAAAUGAAAAAGCAGCACAGCUUCAGGCUACAUGUGAAUUUGAAACAUCAGAGCACCCAUGUUCAACAGGGAUUUGGUGGCUAAAAUGAGUGAAAGAACCAUGAAACAUUGGUGUAUGCAGAAUGAUAAUGAACCUAAAGAGAGGUGAGGCCAACUCCUAAGAAGUUCUAAGCUAGACAUAAAAGUAAUGCUAGCAAAGAGUGAGCAAAGAAGAUAAGAUGUGAACAAUUUUGGGCAACAAUUCUUUAAUCAAUUCUAAGCUAAUUUACAUGGGAUCUAGCACUUGUAUUUAUAGUGCUAUGGGCAGCCAAGGUGCAAGCAUUAACCCUAAAAAUUCUCCACUCCUAGAAGGACAAAUGACUCUAUAUAAUUGGAGUAAAUCCUCUCAAAUUAGAGGUUAACAAGUGUCAUCCUCGAAUUGGAGAGAAUCCUAUCCAUUUCCAUGAAGACAAAUGGCCUUUUGGCAUUAGUGGGAAUCCCCCCUCCAUUGAGGGAAUGACAUAUGGACCUUCAUGUCUUUUUUGCCACUCCAUGCUUUCUAUUUGCACUAUAGUAAUUUAUUUGUGCACCCUAGAUGGCCUAGAAUUGCAUUGGGUCCAAGGAGGUCCAAUAGUAAGUCUAGCUAGGAUCUUUCUUUUUUUAAUUACACCAUACUCUAAUUGACCCAAUACAUGGCCCAUGAAAAUUGGCCCAAAACAUGGCUCAAAUACAAGCCCAAAAUAAAUUCUAUAUUACUAUAUACAAUGUUUAUAAAAUUAGAGAAAUAUGGAAGAGAAGACAACAAUUAAUUCUCUCUGAGAUGAAAGUCUUCAAAGCUCCUUUUUAUGCGUCCAACCUUCUUAGCCAAAUAUUUCGUGGUUGGAUGGCUGGAUCAGUUUGAGGAUGACAAGAGGUGGAAAAAUUCAACUUAGUUCCUAGCCUUUUCCCAAGAUUUCUCCAGAAAUGGCUAACAAAUUUUGGAUCUAUAUCCAAAACUAUGGUUUUAAGUAGACCAUGAAGUCUUACCACUUCUUGAAAGAAGAGUUUAAAGAUGUUGUUAGAAUCAUCCACUUUAUUGCAUGGUAUGAAAUGAGCCCUCUUCUUAAACCUAUCUAGUACCACAAAGAUGGAAUCAAAUCCUCUUUAUGUCCUAGUGAUGUGAGUUAAUUUUAGGAUUGUUCAUUUAAUGGUGUGACACUAAGAAUAUGGUGAGAACUCUAAGAAGAUCCCUACUGGACACAAACUUAACCAAGUGGUUAAGUAAGUGUGAAGGUUCACUUCACAAGAGUAAAAGGAAAAGACAAUUAUAUGGUGAACAUGGUGUUAGAAGGUGCGGAAUUAAAGAACAAGGACAAGAAACCAAAUAGAAUUUCCGAAUGGAAACAAGGAAAACCAAACAAGAACAUGAUAUAAAGAGUAAAAAUGGAAUGACAAUUGAAGAAUAAAUGAAGGAAGGAGAAAGCUUAUGUGAUGGCUUUGAGAAGUGGAACACGCCACUUGGAGUGUGAUUGGCCUCCAAGAUAAGUGAUGAUAGCCGCCACUUGAGAGCUCUCAAACCUCACUAACACCUCACACAAUUUGUGCAGAGUAACUCUUCUUCUGUUAAUUUCAACUUUUAAAAUACACUAGGUAGGCCUCCUAUUUAUAGUUGAAGGAGCCGUGGAGAACAAGCUAAAGGGGUAGGAUGGGGUUUGACUAAGUCCAUCCCGCAUCCUAGGCUUGUCCUUCUAAAACUACGUCAAAAUGCCUUCCAAAAGGGCUAGAUGCUACCCACACCCCCUAUUAUGCUAAAAGUACCUUAUUCUAGCCUAUAUUUGCUAUUUGGACCCCUGAAGUGAGUCCAAUUAUUUACAACAUAUUUGUAUCUUAUAAGAAGACCAAAAGGAACAAUAGUUGGUGUGAUGGUUUAUGCUCAGCUCCUUUGGUGAGGUCCAUGUGAUCCUUGUUGGGUUUAUGAAUUGGUCGUUGAGAUCACAAUUCACGAUGUGCUUUGUCUUUUGCCUCCUUGGCCAUCUUCGUAGAUACUUGGGUUGUAUCACCUAUGAAUCCCUCAAAUGAAAUUCAUGCUAAUGUCUUCCCAUGGAGCCCAAGCAAGAGGUAAAUGAGUAUAGAAUCCAUGAGGCAUUGUCUUAGACUUAGCUUUUAAACAUGAGAUAUAUCUAUGACAAUGUCUUUGAACUUCUUUUCUCAUAUGGGGCUAAGAAAUAUUUCCUUUUAAAAGUUCUAGAGUUUUAUCAACUCCAAAAUGACCCAUGAGACCACCUUCAUGUGACUCUUUACAAGGAGUUUUUUGUAUGUUCCUUGAGGUAUACAAAGUUUUCCUUCUUUAAACACAUACCCCUAAGAAACAUAAAAAAUCUCCUCGUACUCUAUAUUUCAUCUAGCAAAGGUGGACACAAAAUCCUGAUCAUUCUCAAAAGCUCAGGUAUGUUUUCAAAUCCAAGAAUUUGGGCUCCAAGGAAAGAGGGCAUGUCUUUGAGAUAAAGUAUCUGCCACAAUGUUUGUACUGUCCUUUUUGUAUUUGAUAACAUAUGGAAAUUUCUCUAGAAAUUCCAUCCACUUUGCAUGGUGUUUGUUCAACUUAUGCUAACCCUUAAGAUACUUUAAAGACUCAUGAUCACUAUGAAUGACAUAUUCUUUUGAAACCAAAUAAUGUUCUGAAGUCUGCAAGGCCCUCACAAGUGCACAAAGCUCUUUAUCAUAGAUGAGGUAAAUGAGGUUUGUACCUUGUAAUUUUCACUAAAAUAUGCAAUGGAGUGCCCACCCUACAAUAACACUGCACUUAUGCCUACUCUUAAUGCAUCACACUCUAGCUCAAAAGUUUUUUGAAAAUUUUGGGAAAGCUAGAAUAUGUGCAUUAGUGAGUUGAGCUUUCAACCUUUGAAAGGCUUGCUCAUUUUUUUCAGUCCAACAGAAUGGAGUGUCUUUCUUUACUAACUCAUUGAGUGGUGAAGCUAAACUAGAGAAGUUGGGAAUAAAUAUUCUAUAGAAAAUUGCUAAUCAAUGAAAGCUCCUAACAUUUCCUACAUUCUGCGAUGUUGGCUGUAACAUCCUUAAUUUUACCCAUAUAUAAUGUAAUAAAAGUAAAACAAGCAAUAUCUAAUUACAAAUAAUAUAUACUACUUUCUCAUAUGUGUAUCUCAAAAGAAAUAUCCCUCUUCAUAGGGAUUUAAUAUAUAUACAUCAAAAGUUUUAACAACAAAACAUUUAAAUAAAACUAUCUCAUUCUCCAGCUGUUCACUAAGGAGCUCUAUCACCUGAAAUCUCAUAUGCUCCCAUGUAAAACACGAUCAUCACAGAUAAAGAAACAAACACAAACAAAUAACAGGGUAAGCUAUCUAUAUAAAAAGUUUUGAUAUAAUUUAAAUUUCAAAUUAAUAAGCAUAAUUCAUCAAUUCUCAUAUGAUUUCUCAAACCAUCAAGAGUAUAUUACAUUCAUAAAAUUCAUCUUUCAUAUGUCAGACUUUUACUGACUCACAACACAUAGACACUUGACUCUACUUCCGGAAGACUUGUGUAUUGAAAUUAGCAUCCAGAGACCUGCACCUGUCAUACUACUGCUGUGAAACCCACACAGCCAUGCACAUAAUUAUCUCAAUAUCUCAUCAUCUCAUCAUCUUCAUAUGACAGGGUAAAUCCAUUUGAUAUGCUCUGGUCAGUUCUUUCAAACCUCAGAAUCAGCCAAAUGGACCUCCUUCGACUCUCACCAACUGAAUAACUUCAUCUAUUUGAUUCCAUUAUAUCAGUAGAGUCAGGAUCAUCUCAUUCACAGGACACUCACAAAUCAAUACACCCUAAUAACAAUCUCAACAUGGUAUUUCCUUUCCUGAAAAUACUACGUCUUGAUCACACUUUAACCUCAUUACAUACAUCAUUUAACAUAUCAAUGCACCACUCAAUCACUUCAUAUAUAUAAACUUUCUAAACAAUCCAAAUAUAUCUCAAACUUUACUUAAAACACAUAANNNNNNNNNNNNNNNNNNNNNNNNNNNNNNNNNNNNNNNNNNNNNNNNNNNNNNNNNNNNNNNNNNNNNNNNNNNNNNNNNNNNNNNNNNNNNNNNNNNNCUUUAAAUCAAUCAUCAUCUGAAAUCACACAACCACUUCUCAUCAAACAUCUCACUUAAGUAAUUCAACCAAAAUAUUCAAAAAGAAUAGUUCAACUCAUUUAUAUUAUCAUUCAAACACUUUCAAUUCUCAAUCACAAAUAGUUUCAACAAAUUAUUCCCAUAACAGAUUCAAAAUCAACCAUUCCAGUCAAUAUAUUACUUUACUCUUCAAGAGAGACAAUCCUGCAAGCAAAAAGAAUUGGAAUUGGGGACCACGUCACCUCCACAUCCAGAAUCUUCUAACCUAGGGUUUUAUUGAAAAUAAUAAGACUAGCUUCCCUUACCUGAACUUUAGUUGAUGCUCACUAAGAGCUCCAAAUCUACCCAAAAGCUUAAAGGUAAUUAACCUGCACCAUAGAGUCCUAAUCAAAAUCUAACUAUAUAACUAGGACCUUGAGUUAACAGAGAUUAACCCUAAAGCUAAAAGAGUCACAUGUAAAACUCAUGUAGACAACCUAUCAAGUUCAAAAUUUGACUCAAAGAAAAGGGCCAAAAAUGAACUUACUCUAUUUAGGAUUUUGAUCGGGCAGUCUUGUAGUCUUGGCUGCCAGGAGUCUAAUGGCGUACUCUGAUCGUCAAACAGAUGAACGAGGAGGUCAGAAUCUUAGAGAGAAGGGAGAGAAAGGAAAAGGGAAACUUUUAGAGAGAUGGUGGUUAUUUUAAAAUGAAACCUGGAUAACUGAAUUUUCUAUUUAUAUGUCAUUUUCAUUUUAAUAAUAAAAUAUUCAGGUAUCAUUUAAAAUAUAUCACUUCUACUCUAAGGUUAUUUUCUAGAUCCUUACAUUGGCCACUCUUGGAUGGCUUUGAUUUUCUCGGGGUCAAUAUGAUCCCCAUUUUCGCUUACGAUAAAACCUAAAAAGACUACACUAUCACCACAAAAAGGGCAUUUCUCUACAUUAGCAAAUGAAUUGUUACUCCUAAGAACUAAAAAGACUUCCCUAAGAUGAACUAUAUGGGACACUAGACUCUGACUAUACACUAAGAUAUCAUCAAAGUAAACUACUACAUAUUUACCUAUACAAUCCCUAAGGUCAUGAUUCAUAACCCUCAUGAAAGUGCUAGGUGCAUUAGUAAGACCAAAAGUCAUCACUAACCACUCAUAUAGUCCAAACUUGGUCUUAAAAGCAGUUUUCUACUUAUCACCCUUUUUUUUUCUAAUUUGGUGAUAACCACUUUUGAGAUAAAUCUUGGAAAAUAUUAUGGACCCAUGAAAUUUAUCAAGCAUAUAAUCAAGUCUAGGAAUUGGAUGCUUGUAUUUGAUGAUGUUGUUGAUGGCUCUACAAUCAAAGCACAUUCUCCACUUUCCAUCUUUUUUAAGCACCAAUAAAAUAGGUACAACACAGGACUUACGCUCUUUUGGACCUAACCUUUCUUCAACUAUUCCUGAACCUGAGAUUCGAUCUCCUUAGUCUCUUCAGGAUUAGUUCUAUAUGCUAGUCUAUUUGGUAAACUAGCUCCAGGAACUAAAUUAAUUUGAUGUUCUAUGCCUCUAAAAGGUCGAAGUCCAAUUGGUUCUUCUUGAGGGAAUAAAUCAUCCAAUUCUUUGAUAAGACUUUUGACCCUAGGAGGUAGAACACUGGGUUCUGAAAGUGUGGCAGUGCAUGUAAGUGUUUUCUUUACAAAGAAAGAGACCUGAAGGUUGUUUAGAUAGAAGAAUGAACACUCUUCUCCCACGCCUCAGCAUUAUCCUUAAGGACUAUCCUUUGAUUUUUGGGAUUAUUUUACUCAUUUUUAUUUUCAUUUGUACUUGGUCCUGAACCACUUGCGAAAGUGUUAAAGGAUAAAGUACAAGCUUCUUUUCUUUAUGGGUAGAAUUUAUCUCGUUGAAAAGGCCAUUAUGGGUGGUUUUCUUAUUAAAUUGUCAUGGCCUUCCCAAUAAGAUAUGACAAGCUUCAAUGGGUACUACAUCACAUAAAACAUUAUCUUUGUAGCAUAAAACAUUAUCUUUGUAGUUCCCCACAGGAAGACUGACUUUUUACCUACUUAUCUACAGUUAAGUCCCCCUCUUCAUUUAGCCAAUGCAACUUAUAGGGUUUGGGGUGGGGUAUCACUUGUAGAUCAAGCUUUUCAACGAACCUAAUGCUAAAACAAUUGUAGCAAGAACCACUAUCCACAAUGAGAGAACAAGUAUUUUCUAAAAAUUUACAUCUUGUAAAAAAGAUGUUAUCUUUUUGUGUUUCAUGUUUCAUGCUUCAUACUACCUUGAUUGCUGAUGGUUCUUCUAAUCAUCAAUAAUUCCCUUUCACAAGGAUAUGCUCCCUCACUCUUUUCUUUUUCCUCUUCACUAGACUCUUCCUUUAGGCUGCUAUACUCAUCUUUUCCUUUUAGGAUAAUGGUUCCCCUAUUGCGACAUUGAGAUGAUAUGUGACGUCUACCAAGAAAUUUAAAGCAUUGAAUAUCUCUAGUGCAAGUGUUUGAGGUUUGCAUAUCUUUCCCUCUCUCUAUGCUCUUGGGAGUUUCUAUCUUAUAUUUAUCUUUAGAAUAACUCUCCUCCCUCUCUUUCUUAUACUCCUUCUUGGGAUAGGAUCUAGAGUAAGGACUUUUCUUACGAGUUAACCCUUUUCACCAAUUUUGCUAUUCAACUUUUAUACAAAGUUGGAUCAAGUCAUUCAAGUCCUUGUAAGGCAAAAGUUCUACUAUGUCUGUUAUCUCUAGACCGAGUCCGCUUAGAAACCAAGAGAUGGUGAUGGUUUCAUCAUAUACAACUCGCUUUUCUGUCUAUACCUCUCUACACUCAUGUUCUUUUGUUGGAGUCUUUGGAACUUGUCCAUUAACUCCCUAUUGUAGUAUGAAGGAAUAUGGCGACGUCUCAAGGCUCCCCUAAGAUUAUUCCAAUAAGUAAUGGGAGGGUCUUUGUGGAGACGUCUCUCUCUAUAGAGCAGUCCACCAAAACAUUGCAUUAGAUUGAAAGCUUAAGAUUGCUAGGGGUAACUUCCUUUCCUUAAUCAGACGAUGACAAGCAAAAAGUUGUUCUACUUUCAUUUCCCAAUUUAUAUAUACUUCAACAUUUUCCUUUCCAUAGAAAUAAGGUAGGUUAACCCUAGUCUCAUUUAUUUGGCUUUCUCUUCUAGUUCUUUUAGGUGUAGGUUGAUAAUAGUCAUUGAUUCUAAGACUUUCUUCCUUAGGAUAGGAUUCACUAGACCUAGAACUAGAUGAGUGAGACUUUUUAUGUUUUCUUAUGUAUUCAUCUCUUUCUUUAAAAAGUUUCAACUUUUGCUGUAGAAUUGCAAAAUGAGAAUUCUUUUCUUUCUUUUCCUCAAUGAUUUGAUUCUCAUGUUGUAAUUGUCUUACUGUAAGUGAUUGAAUGUCUUUACCAAUUUGUUUCAAAAGAGACUUUGUAGAGCUCAAAUCACUUUCACUAAGAUUGGAAAUAUGUUAGACAUGUUAAAGGGAGGUUUCCUAGGAAAUAAGUAGUUUCCUAGGAAAGGGAGGUGACAUCACUAUGAUCGAGACGAAACAUUUCCUAAUCAGAGACUAUCCUAUGAAAAUUCACAAACCUUUCUCUAAUAAAACUACUAGAAACACAAACAAAUAUGAAAACACUAAUUAAAACAAGAUAUGAAAAGCAAUAAAACAAUAGAAAAUUCCUAAACUAGAAAGCUUUAAGCUAGACGGUUCCUAGAUGAGGCUUCUUGGCACCUUGGACCUUGAAGACACACUCACCAAAUUAAAUGUGAUGUUAAUCCACUAAUUAAAGAAGUUUAAGCAAAUACAACUCAAAGAAAAUACAAUGAAAAAUUAGGUCAACAAGUUUUAUGCACUAAAAUAAAUUCCUAUUCUAUGCACUCCAAAUUGUUGCUCCUAUUGCCUUGAUUUUUUGUAAACUUUAGAUUGAUCUCCCUUGCUUCACCUCCUUAGGAUAUUCAACCUAAUGGUAUCCAAUUUGACCUCUUUUAGUGAUGUAUCUUGCACCAAAAAUUCCAGCUUCAUAACUCAUCAAAGAGAUUUGGCCACUUCCACAAAUAGAGGCCAAACAAUUCUAAGCAACAAAAGAUAAAUUUUAAAUUUAAAGACUACAUCAAAGAGAGUUUAUGAUAGGCAUGACUUCAUAUGAGUAAAGAAUAAAUUUAACCAGCAAAAAAUUGGGUGAACUACAUAAUUUUUUUUUUUGUACGAUUGUUUUUACAACUUGCAGAAUUUAUGUUGAACAAAAUAUUUGAAUUCAAACUUUGAAAUUUUAACCAUUGAAACUUCCAUGUAUAAGCUGAAUAUUGGUGCUGGAAUUUCACCAAAACAAUGCGCCAAUUAAUUCCCAUAAGGUUUUCAAAAGUAAAAGUAAAAACAAUACGGUAUACUCAAUUGAAUUCCUACAAAAAUUAAAAUGGAUGGUUCAAGAACACAAUUAAUUUGAGUCGAUUGAAAUUAGCACAAACAUCAUGAGAUGAUCAGUAAAAUGGAGUUGAAACAACAAGACACUCAAGAAUAUCAAAUGAACAACACAAAAUUAAGAAAAAGAAAAUUAAGAGAAUGAGAUACUUAGCUCUUGAAGAACCAAAGCUCUAGAUUCCAAAUCAUAGCAUAUCUUUCAUCCGAAAUUGGUUUUUCAUUGAAUUUUGAUGAGAGUUGGCAGAAGCUAUUGGAAGUGAUGAGUGAUAAGUGAUGGAAGAGUGCCUUCAUCCGUUGAGAUUUCUUUGGUGGAUUGGCGGAAGCUUCAUGGAUUGUAGCGGAAGGAGCUCACUUAGAGCUUGUGGAUUCCUUGAAGGUGAAGGAUAGGUAUGAAGAGUGAUAGGUGAGGCCUAAUCACUUGGUCUAGUGGAAAAUUAAAGAUCAAACGUCUAUCCUCGGGAGGGUAGGAGACAAGAGUGUAAUUGGCACAAAUUUGGAAACAAUUCACUCAUUGAUUAAUAUUCUAAUUACAUGAGUCAAGCCUUCUUAUUUAUAGUGUGAGAGAGCUGAAAUUAAAGUGGGAAAACUAAAAUGAGAAGCAUUUGAAUUUGGCGUCAAUUCCUAGUCACAAGGGAAGGGUGACUUGGUUUCUUUCUUUGGCACCUCCUAAAUCUACACAUACACCUUCUUUUUAAGUCACAUGAAAGGUGUGACUUAUCUUUAUACAUUUGCACCUCUUAUAUAUAAAUAUACACCUCCCUUUAUGUUCUACUAAAAACUACUCAAAAGUAAUUACAACAAGAGACAUCCAAUGAUGUUUAGUUGGCCAAAAUCUUCUAUGUGUUGGGCUUGAGCUGAAGCUUGAACUUGUAUUUGGGCUUGGGCUUGGGCCUCUGCCAUCAAUAAGUGUCAAAUUUCAGUAAUAUUUCAUAUUAUAAUAUAGACACUUAUUAGUAUUAAUUGCUAAAAUAAACAUAAAAUAACCCCUAAUUUAUGAAUUUAUACCUUUUUACAUAUUUUGUGAUUUUUAUUUGAUUAAGAAUUUUUUUUUCCAAAUUUUGUGUUAAUUUCAGGAUUCUAGGGGAGAAUGGAAAUGAUUGGGCAAAAGGAGAAUAAUAUAAGCUAAAAAGGGAAAGUUGGAAGGACCUGACACGCACCAAGCUCACACAAGCCCAACAUAUCAUCAGAGCAUCUUACUCAAGUGAGCUCAUUCUCACUUCAGCAAGAUUGCUCCAACAACAUUGUGUGUUUUGACGUUUUACUCACUUAAGCAAGCUCUAUCUCACUUCAGUGUGAAUCCACUUAACCCAAGUCAAAUUAGGUUAAAUAUGAGGAUUGAGGCACAACCCUAGUGUGCAAGAUUGAGAAGAAAACACCAUUGAGUGAGUUGUAACCCAAUUGGGAGAAUAUGAGGUGUGAGAAACAUUAGAAGAGGCAGUCGCCAAGGAGAAACAUGUUGGAUCUUCUUUUCUUGCUCUCCCUGCUUGUAACAAUCAUCAUGUGUGACUAAUUUUGUUCCUAUGUAUUGAGGUGAUAUUUAAACAUAAUAAUUAUUUCUUGAUUGAUGAUUGGUAUUAUUAUUUUGUUUGCAAUGCUUGGUUUUUCCAUGAUCUAGAAUCUUAAAUUUGACUGGAAAGUUCUUUCAAGGUUCUGACCUAAAUGAUAAUACUUAACAUAUUUGAAUGCUAGGAAUAGAUUUUGAAAUUUUAAUUACUAUCAAGGUCUGAUCUUAAGGAUAAGUUGUUUUUAUAAAUAUACAAGAAAUCGAUAUUUAGGAAGCAUCUUAAUAAUUUUAUAUGCGAGGAAUCGAUAUAAAUGAUUUUAUACGGGCAUUAAUAUCAAUCAAAUGAGACAAUAUUGUUAUACUCAUCAAAAUACAAAAGAGUGAGAAAGAUGAAACUCAAUCCCUAUUUUUCCAAUUGAAGCAACAACUCUUUGACUUGUUUCUUGUAAAUCAUUGUCAGCAUAACAAAUCCCAACAGACUUUUAUUAUUUUAUUUUAUAUUUAGUGAAUAUUUUACUUGAUUAUUCAACUGUUCCUUCUGGGUUCUAUAUUUAUCCUUAAGGACACAUUAUUACUUCUGAUAACACGUUGCACUUGCCGUAAAAUAGUUAUCAAAUUUUUGGCGCCAUUGUGAGGGGACAAUUUGAUUUUUGAGUAUAAAUUCCUAAAUAUUGUGAAUAUUCUAGGUAUUUUUAAUUUUUGUUUAUAUUGUUAACUAAUUUUUAUUUUUGUUUUAUUUUAUUUUAAUUUUAUAUUUAUUUUAAUUUAAAAAUAUGCCUUUAUUUGUUUUGAAUUAUUUUCAGUUUUUUUAAUUUAUUUAUUUUUAUUUUAUUUUCAUAUUCAAUUGGAAUUUACUUGAUUCUGUUUUUUUUUUUAAAUAUUUUAUUACUACAAGUGAAUCCUUGUGCUAACCCUAUAUUUAGUUGUCUUAUAUGAUAUCUAGAGGUCAAAUUCCUAAAGACCAAUUAGUAUUUAAAGUAGAGAUUAAAAACGCAGUUUAAAGAAACAGAAUGACAAAGACAAAAGAGAGGCAUAAAGACAUUAGAGAGGAAUCCUCAACUACGUUUUCUUUUCCCACUAAUAUUUUUUAGGAGGAAAGCAUCAUAGUAGAAGAGAAAGUAUGAUGUGAGUUGAUAUUUAGAUGUUUUCAUUUUGAUGUCACUUUACUUUUAGGAUUGAGAUUUUAGGAAUUUAAGAGUGAAGACCUCAAGAAAAUUCCCACUGCACAUUAACUCAACCAAGUGGUUAAGUAGAUGUGAAGGUUCAUUUCAUAAAGGCAAAGAUAAAAGGCAAGAUAUGGUGAGAAUUGAUGCAAAACUCAAUUAAUCAUGACGAAACCGAGAGCAAAACCAAGGAAGAAAACAAAGACAAUGAAUAAAUGGAAGGCGAAAUGACGGAGAAUGGAAGAAGGAAACUUAUGGAAAAUGAGAUUCGUGAUCACGCCACUUGAUGGAUGGUAACCUCCAAGAUAAGUGGAAGGCCGCCACUUAAGAACUUCAUUCUCAUCAAGAUAAGACCAAGGGAGAGGAGAUAACACUCACUCAAGCUCACACAAUAUUUGUGCAGAGUAACUUUUCUAUCCAAUUCAACAUGAGAAAUACAAAUGGGGAGACCUCCUAUUUAUAAAAGGAGGAGCCUUGCAGAACAAGGAGUGAGGGUAGAAAGGGAAGACCUAAAGUGGUGCGGCCUAGGUCAUUGACUAUGGUCAAUGCUGCACCAUAAGCCUAAUAUUCUAGAAGCUAGGUUAAGCUUCCUUCCUUACAAGGCUUCAUGAGCUAAAAAACUAGGCACACCCCAAUUUAUGCUGAGAAACACCUGCUCUACUGAAAUUACAAAUAGUGAAACCAACUGAUGCUCAACACCCAAAGUUUGUGCUCUGCUCCUAGUGAUCCUAUGAGGUAUGGUAGGUGUUGAGGUCAUGGUUGGAGAAUCUUGCUCGGGCCCUAGGUCUUGGGUCAUCCUCCUAGUCGUCCUCCUCAGAGGUUGGGCCUGGUCAGUAGGCGCGUCUCUCCUAGGCCUUCAUCAUGCUCCCCGGGUGGGAGGGAAUUCGUCCACGAAUUUGGAAGACCUCUAGAGAAAGGAGUCAUAUCACUGAUAUUGAAAGAAUUACUACCUAAGUAUCAAGCAGAUCCAACUCAGGCAUUGUCAUGGAUCCGCUCGAGGACCUGAAAAUGACCAUCCCCUCGUGGCAUAUGUUAGGACUUUCUUUUUGUAGGGAAUCUAUCCUUCCUCAAGUGUGUUGAAGAUGGGAAGCUUUUAUGUGCCAAAUCCAAGUGAAGCCUAAAGCUGUGUGAUGUUUUAGGUUUAGGUUUUGGGUUGGGGUUUAGAAUCUUUGUAAGAUCAGUUUUGAAUCUCAGAAAAAUCUCAUUUCAAUCAUUUUUAAAGAUUAAAGUGUUUUUCCAUGCAAAGGGAAAAACAACCGAUUAAAAUGUCGAUAUAAUCAGUUGUUUGUAACUUAGCUGGCAAAGAAGGUUUUAAAACUGUUUUAUAACUGACAAGAGCAUUCAACUGGUUAACUCAUGCUUUUAAACGAUUAAAUGUAUGUGCUUGUAACAGUUUUUUGAAAAUCUAUUUUUAACUGAUUUGCUCCAAUGUGUAUCCAAUUAAUUCUGAUCUUCUUCAUAAUGCAGAAGAUGUACACCAGAUCCUCCUCGGUAAGCACUGAAUGAUUGCUACCCCUUGGAGUUAGAAUCCAAGUCACAAUGAGGGCUAGCAACCUUUUAUCAAGCCUUAAGCCACCAACCGAACAAGUCCUAACUUGUGCAUUUUGGUUCUUUAAGCAGCUCUUGUAGUAUUGAACUUUGUUGAAGUCCUCCACUACUCCAAGGUUCCCCUUGUUAAUUCUGAGGCCUGAGUACUUUAGACCAGCUACAAUAGCCCACACAUCAUGUGUAAUCUCCAUAUCUACACCUUUUACAUGAGAACAAGGUUGUUUCCCUCAAACUUGAGAUUUGUGUAGAAAACUCUUAUCAAAUAUGGAUAGACAUUCCCUUUCAUCUCCAAGAACUUUCUAAGGGAUUGAUCUUUGAGAAGCCUUCUGACAUUGUCCAGCUUUUGGCUUUUCAACCAAUCAAAGCAAACAACUUUAGGGUUAUUUAUCACUUUGGUGCUAGUCUCAAAUCUAUAUAUCUCAAUAAGAUCAUUAUCACCAGAAAACCGUCCUUCAAGCCUUCCUCCAGACCUUACUGCUCUGGAUUUGACUCUUCUUGAGGUGGGAGGAGUUGAGUCCAUGAUGGCAGAGAAGAAAACAGAGAGAAGCUCACACAAGAUUUUGCAAGAGAUGUUGCAAGAGAUGGAGCAAUUGGUUGUUCUGAUGGAAGAGAUCAACUGCAAAUGAUUUUAUAACACAAACAGAAUCAUAAAGCAUUCAAUGACAUGAGUGGGUACCAGAUUUUCAGGGAGAGAUGACUUGACCAUGCCCUGCACAGAAAACGUAAGAAAAAUCAGAAAAUCACAUGGUUUUCACAUGUGAUCUUUGACUAGUCAUAAAAGCUCUUAAAUUUCCAAGAUUUUGGAAUAUAUUCUUUUAUGACUAUUGUAAUUUCUUUCUGAGCGUGAUCAGCUCUCAACACAGGUUCAUUGACCAAGGAUUCUUUCUUUAAUUUGAUCUGCAAUGGAUAGAAAUUCAAAAUAGAAAUUAAAUUGAUUUCUUCACAGUGUUGUUAGACUCAAAAUAAUCGGUUGUUUUUCUACAGUAAUAAAACUCAUUUUGAAUUUUUAAGCAUGAGCAGAAAUAAAUCAAAGCAGAUGAAAUUGAACACUUUAAAGAGGUUAUACAAACAUGUAGAAGAACUUUAAAAAAAGGAAUUAAGAGCAGAGAUAAGGAAGGUCUUAUCCUUUGUGUUGUUCUUUCAAUGAGCCAUGUGCUUUGUGAUCAAGAAGCCUUAUUUUAACUGUUGAGGACUUUUGGAUAGAUGCAGAACAUUGAUUCAGCUUCAAUGUUAGUCUAUUUCUUCCAAGAACUUGAUCAGAUCACUCAGUCCUUCUGAUAUGAUUCCAAUAGCAAGAUAUAUUCUUUGACAUUUUAUGGAAUCAACUUGAGCGGGAAUAUGAUUAGGCACUUUUCUAGAAUUGGAUCAAUGUUCUAUCAUUCAAGAACUCACCAAAACUUAAGUAACCAAGCCAAAACUCAUAUGGAAGUCCAUUUCUUGCCAAUUGAACCGAUUAAAAUGCUUAAGAAUUCAAAAUGAACCGAUUAAAAUGCUUAACAAUUGAAAAGCACCGAACAAAAGCAAGAAAGAAGGAAGAUGAACCGAUUAAACUCAGCAAGGAAGAAGAUGAACCGAACAAAAUAUGAAUUAAAGCUUAAGCACCGAAUAGAAUUGCAAGAAAGGAACCUAAGACAUGUUUAAGAGUUCAUAUGAGCACGGAAAUGUUAGAAAUAUAUGGAAAAGAGAGAAGACUUAUGUGGUUGAAGAACUUGGUUGAUGAACACGCCACUUGAAGUGUGAACGCUCCAAGAUAAGUGUGAAUUGCCGCCACUUGAGGAACCAAGGCACUCAAGAUGAGCUCACUACACUCAAUCACCAAUUUGGGAGAGUUUCAUUACUUCAAAAAUCAGUUCUAUUAUUUGAAGGACCCAAGCCCUCCUUUUAUAGGAGUAAGGGCCGGUCAUGAGGCUACAAAGCUUGCACCACAAGCUAACCAAAAAGUCCCCUUUCACUCACUUCUAACGCCUAUAGUGAGUCAUGAAGGGUCACCUUCUAGAAAAUUCUAAACUAAAGCCUAAAGAUGCUUUACAAAAGAGGUAUCUAAUGUUUCCCUCUAAGCACCUUCCUAAAAGCUAUAUAUUUAAAAAUUCUACAAAAGACACCAUAAAAAGAUAAAACAAUCUACCACUAGUUCCUAAUUCUUUAAACUUGCUCCUUGUAAGCCUUUGAGGUAGGCUAAUGUCUUCUUGAGCCUCUUCAACUUCGGCCUCUAUCUCCUCUUGAUCUUGAUCUUCGGCCUCUACCUCUCUUUGAUCUUGAUCUCCAUCACCUUCACACUUCUUUAGAUUUCUGUACAAGCAUGAGUUCAAGCAACAAGAUUUGGCCCCUUCACAAAUGUGGGUCCAAUAGAUUUCUUUUCUCAUUUGAAUCCUCACAUCCUUUAGGAAUCCAUUUCAUGUAGCCUCUAGGAACAGAAAACUUUCUUAUUUUGCAGAAUCUAACAAAAUGGCCCUUUUUCAUGCAAUAAAAGCAUGUAACAACCGGUUGUUUCGACUUAACAAUACUGGCUUUCUUAAAAAAAAAAAUUAAACUUAUCUUGUUUGUUUUGUGGAUUAAAACCUAAACCAGUCUUUCCAAAAACACAACUUUGAGAUGCCAAGACAUUCUCAAAGUUAGAUUUCCCUAUUGAAAGCUUGCCCACAGUGUUAACAAGAUAAUGCACCUUUUUCUCAAGAUUUUCACAGUUUUCGCAAAUGAGAGUGUCACACUUGCAAGAAGAAUUUUUGAAAUGAUUUUCCAGAUUUUUGAAAUCAUUUUUAGAUUUUUCAAUUUCAUCUUCAAGUGCUUUCACUCUCUUUUCCAGCCAGCUGUUAAGUUCUUUCAAUCGGUUGUUUGAAAGCAUCAAUCGAUUAGCUUCAUCGUUAGUUUCUUGAAAAACUUCAAGCAAUUCACUAUAAUUUUGUUCAUUUAAAUAAGCACAUGAACUUACCUCACUUGACCUAUAGGAUUCAUCAUCAUCUUCAACAGUCAAGAAGAUAUUUGCUUUCUCAUCUUCACUUGGUGAAGAGCUUGAUGAUGAUACCUCAUUCUCAUCCCAAGCUAUGUAGGCUCUCUUUGUCUUGCCCUUCUUUUCCUUGUAGCUAGGCUUUUUCUCCUUGCCUUUUUUUGGACAAUCUACCUUUAUAUGACCUUGCUUACCACAGCCAAAACAGGUAUAGUUAUUGGAAUUAAAAUCAUUGGAUUUCUUGUUUCCAUACCUAUCUUUGUUGUUGUCCUUGUUGUGGUUCCUCUUCAAGAAUUUGUUAAGGUUUUCCUCAUCACUAUCAUCGCUGGAUUCUUGUUUGCCUUUAUGCUUGGAAGCUUUUAAGGCUAUACUCCUGACGUGCUUGUCUUCGCUUUCUUGAACAUUUAGUCCAUUCAUCUCUAACUCAUGUUCCCUAAGCUUAACAAACAAAGAAGCCAUACUCAAGGAUGUUAGAUCUUUAGAUUCAGAAAUAACAGUUACCUUAGGUGCCAUGCUCUAUAAAGAAAUUUCAAGAUCUUGAUGUUUAGCUCUUCCUUUUCAAAGGUCUUGUCAAGGCUCAUGAGAUGAUUGAUGAUGUACGUGAAUCUUUUCUGCACUUCAACAAUUGUUUCACCUUUGAGCAUUUUGAACAUCUCAUACUCUUGGAUUAGAGUAUGCUUCCUAGCUCUCUUCACCUCAUUUGUACCUUCAUGAGUUACCUCCAAGGUGUCCCACAUUUCUUUUGAUGAUUUCCAUUGAGAGACCCUGAAAAACUCAUCUGAAUUUAAAGCAGAGGUUAUUAUAUUUUUGGCAAUGCAAUCGAAUUUGGCCUUCUUGCUUUCUGAAUCAGUCCAUUGAGACCAAGGCUUUUCAAUGACAGAUCCAUCCAUUUCAAACAUUGGAAGAAAAAGGACCAUUUUCAAUUGCAUCCCAAAUUCCUUUGUCAAGUGAUUCCAUAAAGAUUUUCAUUCUCACUUUCCAAAAUUGGUAGUUCAAACCACAAAACAAAGGUGGUCUGUUGAUUGAAGCACGUUCCCCAAAAGGUAGUCUAUCAGCCAUUAAAAAUAUUUUUUAGGAUCACACUUGAAUAAAUUUCAUGAACCAAUCUCUUGAUGCCAAUUGUUAGAAAGGAUGACUUUAAACUAGAGGGGGGUGAAUUGUUUAAAGAGGGUUUUCGCAAACUUUUAAAGCAAGAAUGAAAUUUCUUCAAGAAGCAAAUGAUAACAAAUUCAGUUUGCCAAAUCACGAAGCAAAAACAACAACACCAGAAAAACAAUCAGUUGUUUCGUAGAAACAAUCGGUUGUUUAUACCAGUUUGCAAAGAUUAAAACUGAAUUUAAAGAGAUUAAGGAUAGAGAGAAUGCACACAGAUGUUUAUACUGGUUCACUCUAAACCCAGAGUUACAUCCAAUCUUCUCAGAAACCACUGAGGAAUUCCACUAAGCAAUCAAACCUAUAUCACUUACAACAUAACCAAGAAAAUGACCUUGAUCCCCUCAAGAAACACACUUCUCUUGGCCAACACACCAACACUAAGAAUGUUGAUCUUGAUCCCCUCAAGAACACACAACACUUCUCAGCAAACACACAAAGGUUCUUGUUCAACAGGUACAAGGAUUACACUUGUUACAAAAGCAAAUCUGAAAUCAAUACAAGAGAAAAUCAUAUCUCACACUCUUUGAUCAAUCUCAAUCUCUAAGCAAUCUCAACUCUUUGAAAAUCUCAAAACUUGUGUAAGUGUAAAAACUCAAAUCUGUUUUUCUGAAUAUAUUCAAAGAUGUUGUUUGUUAUCAAAUCUUAACAAACUAUUCAUUGCAUUUAAAGAUUGGUCAAAGCACUAAAAACAGGAGCGUGAACAGUUGGAAAAACAUUUAAUGCUUAGUCAAAGCACAAAGCAAUUUUUCUGUUAUGGUACCAAAACAAACAAUCGGUUGUUUCCACGAAUCAAUCGGUUGUUUUGGUUUUAACAGUUCAACCAUUUGAAAAACAAUUUUCAACCUUAUCUAAAAUCACCUAAGUAUAAAACAAUCGGUUGUUUCGACAAAACAAUCGGUUGUUUUUCACUUAGUUUGAAAAACACUUUUCUUUUAAAAAGAUUGAGAAUGCCUAUGCUUUGGAUUCAAUCAAGAGUGGAUUACAUAUACAAUCUACCCCAGAUCCUAUCUAAGACAACUCAGCAACAACAAGCACAGCCUUCAACAUCCUUCAAAGGGUUUUGGAUUCUUCAAAGCUUGAACACCACUUGGUUCAGCAUAUAUCUGUUUGGACUAGACUAUUUUGUGCUUUUUAAGUGAUUGUAGGAUUCAACAUAUUCUAAACAAAGAACAUUUCCAAAAGCUCCCAGGGAUUUGUCUUCAUCAAAUAGGGGGAGAUUGUUGAAGAUGGGAAGCUUUGAUGUGCCAAAUCCAAGUAAAGCCUGAAGUUGUGUGAUGAUUUAGGUUUAGGUUUUGGGUUGGGGUUUAGAAUCUUUGUAAGAUCAGUUUUGAAUCUCAGACAAAGCUUAUUUCAACCAGUUUAAAGAUUAAAGUGUUUUUCCAUGCAAAGGGAAAAACAACCGAUUAAAAUGUCGAGAUAAUCAGUUGUUUGUAACUUAGCUGGCAAAGAAGGUUUUAAAACUGUUUUAUAAUUGACAAGAGCAUCCAACCGGUUAAUUCGUGGUUUUAAUCGAUUAAAUGUAUCUGCUUGUAACAGUUUUUUGAAAAUCUAUUUUUAACUGAUUUGCUCCAACGUUAGCAUUUCAAGUGUUAUAAAUAUGGUUUUGUUUCAAACAUUAAUAUAUGAUGAAAUAGACGAGAGAUUGAUGAAAUAUAAACUUUUGAUACUCUGAGUUGAUAUUGAUUUGAGAGAUUACCAAAACUGUUUGUGAAAAGGUUUUUCAUCAAGUUUUAGCAAGAUUGUUGUGUGCUUUGCUGUCUUUCAAAGAACUGGUCAAUAGGGUGCUGGUGUAUUGUGUUUUACCAGGUGUUUUCUAAUCAUGUUCAAGUUCUUGUAAUUGUUCAUAUAACAUUUUGUAUAAUUGUGUAAAAUCAUGUAAAGUCAGUGGGAUUUUGGCUUGAGGUGGUUGUUGUGCACAAGGAGGGUGAGUAGGCUUUGUGGGAUUCAAAGUCACCUCUUUGUGUGUGGUGUUUGUGUAAUCUGUGAUUGAUUGCUUAGUGAAAACUCAAUGGUUUGACUGAGGACUGGAUGUAGCUCUUUGAUUAAGUGAACCAGUAUAAUCUCUGUGUGCAAUUCUCUAUAUCUCAUGUCUUAUUAAACUGUUUGUAAUUUCCGCUGUCAUAAACAACCGGUUGAAUCACAACUUUAACCGAUUGAAUUUCUGAUUCCAGUUUAUGUUUGACUAUUGAAUUGCUUUUCUGAAUUGCUUUUCUGUGUUGUUUGUUAAAGCUUCAUUCUAAGCAAAGUAUCUGUGAAAAUAGUUUCAAAAAAAUUUACCCCCUCCUCCUGUUGUAGCCAUCAAACCUAACAAAGUGAAGCCAAACCCAUUCCCAGGUUCAAAGAUCAAUGCCUUACGCCCCAUGCUCGAUAUACUUACCAAAGCUUAUUGGCAUGGUCGACAUACUUGCCUACCUUCCUUUCAAUUUGAAGCUUGAUGUGGUGGUGCAAGCCUUUAAUAAAGGAAGCUUUUUCAAAGUCAUCUUUGCACAACACCUCAUCAAGUACAGGAAGAGGAAGGACGUCAAGGGGUAUGAGAGGAUUGAACCCAUACACAACUUCAAAAUGGGUGUCAGCGGUAGUAAAAUUUACCACUCUAUUAUAAGCAAACUCAAUAUGAGGUAGUAAAUUUUCCCACACCCUUGGGUUCCCGGAAAUAAGGCACCUCAACAUUUGACCCAAAGUCCUAUUAACCACUUCUAUUUGACCAUCAAGUUAGCGAUGGCAAGUAGUAGAAAACAAGACUUUAGUUCCAAGUUUUCCCCGCGAGGUCCUCUAGAAGUGACUUAAGAACUUAGAAUCUUUGUCCGAUACAAUACUUCUAGGAAGCCCAUGCAAUCUAACUACUUCCUUGAAGAAGAGAUUUGCAAUAAAACAAACAACAUCUACUUUGUGGCAUGGAAUAAAAUGAGCCAUUUUAGAAAAGCGAUCCACUAUCACAAAGAUAGAGCUCAUACCCUUUGAUGUCUUGGGAAAACCUAGAAUAAAAUCCAUGGAGAUGUCUACCCAAGGCAUGUCCGGGAUGGGGAAAGGGGUAUAUAAACCAUGGGGUUGCACUUUAGACUUAGCCUUCCUACAUGCUAUACACUUAUCACAGAAGCUAUGUACGGAUUAGCGCGUGUGGGGCCAAAAGAAAUGCUCAUGCAAUGUGUCUAAAGUUUUAGCUACCCCAAAGUGUUCCAUAAGACCUUUGGAAAAAGGUAGUGUUGCCAAUUUUGCAAAGCUCUAACAAGAGCAUAAAGUUCUUUAUCAUAGAUGAAGUAAUUGAGAUGAAUCCUCUGGAGUUUCUCACUAAAAUAAGCUAUGGGGUGGCCCUCUUGAAGGAGGAAAACCCUAAUGCCUAUCUUUAAGGCAUCGCACUCUAUUUCAAAUGUCUUAGUGAAGUUAAGGAGUGCUAAGAUGGGUGUCGUAGUCAAUUUAUCUUUCAAUGUUUCAAAAGCUUCCACUUGUUCUUGGCCCCAUUUAAACACUACAUCCUUUUUCACUAUGGCAUUGAGAGGUGCACCAAUGGUACUAAAAUCUUUCACAAACCUCCUAUAGAAACUAGCAAGUCCAUGAAAACUCCGUACCUCACUAACAUUGGUGGGUGUGGGCCAAUGUCUAAUUGCUGCAACCCUUUCCUUAUCAACAUGCACCCCUUUAGAACUUAUUACAAACCCUAGGAAGUCUAUAUGAUCUAUUGCAAACACACAUUUGGCCGAAUUAGCAUACAAUUUUUCCUUCCUAAGGGUUUCCAACACUUGCCUAACAUGCUCCUUAUGAUCCUCCAAAGGCAAGUUAUAGAUAAGAAUGUCAUCAAAAUAGACCACUACAAACUUUCCAAUGAAAGGCCUUAAAACAUGGUGCAUAAGUCGCAUGAAGGUACUUGGAGCAUUGGUCAUACUGAAGAGCAUGACUAACCACUCAUAUAAACCAAACUUGGUCUUAAAGGCGGUUUUCCAUUCAUCUCCCAAUUUAAUCCGAGUUUGCUUAUAACCACUCUUAAGAUCAAUUUUGGUAAAUAUUUGAGACCUUGUAACUCAUCCAACAAGUCAUCUAAUCUAGGAAUGGGAUUCCUAUACUUAAUGGUUAUGUUGUUUAUGGCGCGACAAUCUGUAUACAUCCUCCAACUCCCAUCCUUUUUAGGGACAAGAAUCACAGGCAUAACACAAGAACUCAUGCUAUCUUGCACCCACCCCUUAGCUAUUAAAAUCUCUACUUGUUGAAUUUCUUUGGCCUCGGUUCGAUUGGUCCUAUAUGCAGGUCUAUUUGGUAAAGAAGCCCUGGGAAUGAAGUCUAUUUGGCGCUCAAUUCCCCUUAGAGGAGGUAAUCCUUUACGGGAUCUUGAAACACAUCUUCAAAUUCCUUUACCAAAUUUGCCAAACAAGAAGGACUAUCUAACACCAACUCACUCUAAAGGAUCCUAGGGAAAGCUAUGAAAAUAUUCUUUUGGGAAAGCAUUGCCUUUUUAACCUCUUUUGGUGAAAUGAGAAGGCUUCUCUUAGAAUUCUUUUUAUCUUUUUCUUUUUCUCUCUUUUCUUUUAUUUUAAUUUGGUCCUCAUGGACUUCCUUUGGUGAGAGAGAUUUUAGUGUGACCUUAUGCCCAUGGAAUUAGAAAGAGAUUUUGUUGGUAAGGCCAUCAUGAAGAAUUUUUCUAUCAUAUUGUCAUGGUCUACCUAAAAGAAUAUGAGUAGCUUCCAUAGGGACAACAUCACACAAGACCUCAUCCUUGUAUUUUCCAAUAGGAAAGGCUAUGAGGACAUGCUUAUUUACUAUGAUCUCCCCCUCUUCACUUAAUCAUUGAAGUUUAUAGAGCUUGGCAUGAAAGAUAGUAGCCAAUCCAUGUUUAUCUAUUACUCUUGUACUUGCCACAUUUGUUAAACAAGAUGCUUUGAUGUCUCCCAAAUCCAAGAGGAAAGCUUGAAGACCUUGCUGCUAGGUGUGUGUGUUGUCUAGUUGUUUGAAACUUGUUAAUUCACUCCUUAAGUUGAUCCAAGUUCAUUUGAAUCUUUAACCUUUUAAAAAGAUGUGUUUUGUAAAAAGCUAUCAAAAUUUCAACAGGUUGUUUGAAACAACAGGUUAUUUGAAAUAACAGGUUGUUUUACCUUAGCAGUUUUUGAAAAAGGUUGAAAGUUGUUUGACUUGGUUGACUUUGCUGUCAAACCAAAACAAUCGAUUGUUUCGACAAAACAACCGAUUGUUUUCCUAAAAACCUUAACUGAACUCUGUUAAGCGAUUUUAAUAUGUUUUAAAUGAUCCUUACUAACUUGGCUCCUUUAUUAAAUGCUUUUUCCACUUGGUUGGUCUAUAUAAAGGUGGUUUUACGCUCCUAAUCUUGGAGUAACAUAAAGAGUUUAUCAAAACAGUUUUUCCAAGAUUUGAAAGAGCUUUGGAUCAUUCUUAAGUGUGUAGAAUAAGAUUGGGUUGUAAUUCUGAACUUUAAGCUUUGUAAUACCUAGGUGUAUUCUAUUCCCUUCUUCCUUCAUUACUGUAUUUCUGUAGUUGUGUUACCAAAGAGUGUUGUGUGUUCUUGAGGUGUUAAAGAUCAACAUUCUUGGUGUGGUUUGCCAAAGGUAGUGUGUUUCUUGAGGGGUUCAAGGUCACUACUUUGGUGUGUGAUGUGUGUAAUCUGGUUUUGAUUGCAUAGUGGAUUAUCUAGUGGUUUCUGGGUACUGGAUGUAGCUCUUGGUGUAAGAGUGAACCAGUAUAAAUCUGUUUGUGUGAUUCUCUCUUUCCCUGAUCUCACAUAUAUCUGUUUUAAGUUGUUUUUAUUAACUGCAGAUAAAAACAACCGAUUGUUUUGACAAAACAACCGAUUGUUUUGACAAAACAACCAAUUGUUUUUCUGAUAUCAUCUUAAAACACUCUUGGGUAUUUGUUUCCCGGAUUCUUUUCUCUGUAAUUCAGCAUUGAUUUUCAUUAUACCUUCAAAGUUUGUGUAAAUCCCUCUUAAACAAUUCACCCCCCCCCCAUAUUGUUUAAGGGCAUAUAUUCUAACAAUUGGCAUCAAGAGCUUAGUUCUUGAAAGAUAUUCAAGUUUUGAUCCUAAAUCUUUUUUAAAUGGUUGAAAAGUUUUCUUUUGGGGAAGGUGCCUGUUUAAACAAAACACCUUUGUUUUGUGGUAUGAACUAUGAAUUGUGAUGCAUAAGAAUGAAAUUCUUUGUUGAAUCUACAGAUAGAAAAAUCUGGAAUGUUAUUACAAAUAGUUAUCUCAUGCCUAUAUCUGAAAAUGUUUUUUCUGAAAGAGAACAUUUUGAUUGUGUAGCUAUGAACAUCAUUGUAUCUACACUUGAUUCUAAUGAAUUGCUCAAGGUUUCAGAAUGUAGUUCUUCCAAAGAAAUGUGGAAUACCCUUGAAGAGUAUCACAAGAAUCCAAGGAGUGCCUUGAUGGACAAAGAAGAAUCUUCUACUAAAUCUUUCUCUUCAGAAUCCAGAAAGAAGGUUUGUCUUGUGACAAUAGAAGAAUCUAGAUCAAGUCAAGCUGCUGGGAACAAAAACUAUCAAGACUCAAGUGAUGAGAGUGAAGAGGAAACAUUUAGGUUACUGUUUAAGAAAUUCAGCAAGUUCCUAAAGAAGGGAAACAACAAAAGUGACUCAUCCAAUAGGUAUGAUAACAAGAAACCUACUGAGUUUAACACUAACAAAUAUACAUGCUUUGGAUGUGGUGAACAGGGUCAUAUUAAAACUGAGUGUCCCAAAAAAGAGAGGAAAAACUUCAAGAAGCAUGAGAAGAAAGGAAAAUCAAAAAGAGCUUAUAAUGAUGACUUAUCAAGCUCCUCUUCAAGUGAUGAAGAAGAAGCAAAUUUAUGUCUAAUGCAAGCCAAGAAAGUGACACAAGCAGUGUAAGUUCAAGCACUUCUAUUAAUUUUGAGAAUUAUAGUCAACUUCUUGAGGCCUUCAAUGAGACUCAUGAAGAAGCUAAUAGGUUGGCCCUUUUGAACAAACGGUUGAAAGGUUUAAACAACUUGUUGGAAAAUAGAGUCCAGAUCUUGGAAGAAGAGUUGAACAAUUCAAAAACUGAUUUUGAAAAUUUGGAAAUGAUUUACCAAAACUCUUCUUGUAAGUGUGUUCAUUCAAGUUCUUGUGCAAAUUGUGAAUCUCUUCAAAAGAAGGUUCACUAUCUUUUAAAAACCAUGGACAAGUUUUCCAAAGGCCAAUCUAAUUUUGAAACUGUUAUUGCUUCUCAAAAAUGUGUUUUUGGCAAGGCUGGGUUGGGGUUUAAUCCAAACAGCAAGAACAAAUCUGUUUCAAAACCCUUUUCACGUUUCUUUGAAAAACAACCUAUUGUUUUAUCGAAACAACCGGUUGAAAUUUGUCAUAACUGCAUGAAAAGGGGCCACACUAUUAGAUUUUGCAGAGUAAGAAGGUUUUCUGUUCCUAAAGGUAUUUUGAAAUGGGUUCCUAAGGUUUCUAAGGUUCCUACUAACAUCAUUGGACCCAAAUUCAUAAGGGGACCAAAUCUUGCUUUUUAAUAUUUUCUUGCAGAUAUCCUUGCAGCCAAGAAUCACUUUUUGACUUGAAGAGUGACUACUAAAGGGAAAACCAUCAAAAGAGUUUGUCUUUGUGCCUGUACUUUCAAUUGUAUAUGUCUUUCAAGGUUCUUUGAAUGUCAAGAGACAUCCUUCGUGAUGGAAGAGGGCCAAGUUCACCUCACCAUGGAAGCCAAGACCCAAGACUAGACCGUCUAGAACCAUGUGAUGAGCAUCUAGACUCAAGAUAGGAGCGUCUAGCUCAUGAUGAGGGGAGGCUACAUAAGGAGCGUCUAGGAGGAAGCCUAGACCGUCCAUGACUAAGCACUUUCACGCCCAAAUGGAUCAAGCCACGGAUAGAAGAAGAGAAGACCUUGUAUAUGUUAUAUGGAGGCUCAUUAGGGGUGGCUUAGUAGUUAGGGUGGUGUUAGAAAGCAUAAACUUGUCUUACACAUGAUUUACCCUAGAUUUUGUGCACAUUCUAGAACUUUGCUUCACAUGGCCGGCCAUGUGACCAUGUGCUACCAUGUGGAAUCAUUUUCAUUUCAUUUGAGAAGCAUUUCAUCUUCUCUUAGCUUAGGAUUUACGGCCUCCUUGGCUUAUAAAGGGAGAAGCCAUCUCUUAUAUUUUUCAAGAUUAAUGAGAGUAAAGUUAUGCUGCCAACAUUGUGCCAUACUUUGCUUUUUCCUAGUUUCUAGGAUCUAAUCUUCACCUUCAUCACCUACCAUAGGGCUGGCCAAACCUCCCUCUUUCCAUACACAUCAUGCACCUUCAAGAUCACCAUAGCUCCUAGGAGGAUCUUGCACAUUUACAUUCAUAGCUUCUGCACCAUUUUUCACAUGAUUCCGAGAAGAGCUCCAUGAAUUUGCCAUCACUUGGCACAUGCAUAGUGUUGAUCAAAAGAGAAACUUCAAAGAGAGUAUGUGUGUUUUCAUUUCUCAAUUUAUGUAAAUGUGCCUUGUGACCAUAUGAACAUCUCAAAGUCUUCUUUUUUAGUGAAUCUAUUGGGGUUCUCUGUGAAAAGGUAUGAACAAAUUGCAUACUGCAUUUUCAUCAAUUUAAAAGGUAUUUUUUGGUUAUGAAAAAAUGUUUUUUUUGUUGUCACAGUAAAACAACCGAUUGUUUCUGCGAAAAAACUGAUUGUUUUUCCUCUGGCACCUCUGUAUAAUGCUGCCAAGUUUGCUCAUGCAUGAUUAAACCAAUUUCUCUUUUUCAAACCUUGCCUUUGGACAAAAAUACAUUGAAUAUGCCUCAGAAUCUGAUAAUAAAAGAUUAUAUCCACAUGUUUUCUUGAAAACUCUAUCAUUUUCUAUUCUUGAAAUGUCAACAUUGUUUGUACUGCUUAUCUACUAUAUUAUCAUUCUGAUUUCUGCUUUGUACAACCCUUCUCAUUGUCUAUUUAUGAUAGCAAAUAGGGGGAGUUGUUUAUGCUUGAUUUGGUUGUAUAAGAUAGCUUUAAAACUGAUGCAUUAUGUUGUUGCUUCUCUACACUUGAAAGCACUGAUUACUUCAAUUUUUCUAGUUUUUCUGCUAAUGUUGUAUAUGCAGAAAAUUGGUUUGUGUGUGUCUUGUUAUCUUGCUGCUAUACUUGCUUUGUAUAUGCAUCAACUUUGUGUUAUAGGACCUUUCAAGUACAAGUGCUAUGAUGAAGAAUGAUCAAAGUAAUGCUUAUGGUUCAAGAGCAUAUACACCUUACUCAUAUUCUUGACAAGUUAAAAUUCAUGACCUAUGUAAAGAAACUUCAAGAAUAAAGAGUCUGAUCUGGUGUUGUUGAUGGCUUAUAAUUGUGGAGGAGUCUGUCCAUGUGGUGUUUGAUGAAAUCAUUCAUAAUGAUCAAGGUUCUACAAAGGUUUAUGCAGAAGAAGAUGAGCAGAACAUCACCUUCGAGAAGCUGGAAUCUUGUCCAGAAAAACAACUGAUUGAUUAUGCGAAACAACCGGUUGAAAUUUUGCAACAGGAAGAGCUGCCAAAGGAAUGGAGAAUUCCAAGGGAUCUUUCAGUGGAGAACAUCAUUGGAUGCAAAUGAGUUUUCAGAAACAAGUUGGAUGAAUCAGAAGUAUUUACAAGGAACAAGGCAAGGCUAUUAUGAUGAAACUUUUGCUCCAGUUGCAAGAUUAGAAGCUGUAAGGUUGCUGCUGGCCUUUGCUUGUAUGAGUGGAUUCAAAUUGUUUCAAAUGGAUGAUAAGAGUUCUUUCCUCAAUGAAAUUAUCAAUGAGGAAGUCUAUGUUGAACAACCACCGGGCUUUGAAGAUCAUCAACAUCCUAACGAUGUAUGCAAGCUGAAAAAGGCCUUGUAUGGGCUUAAGCAAGCUCCAAGCAGUGUGGUAUGAGAGGCUUAGUAACUUGCAUAUGUUCAUCCUUUGUAAAGUAAGUUGUAUAUGUUCAUCCAAUGCUUUUGGCUUCAUAAGACCAAAUGAGAUUCUAAACACUCUUGAGGUAAUGCAAAGGUAUGAAUGCAUUUCAUUAUGCACUUCCUAUCACUUUGAAAAAUGAUUUGUUUUGAAAAUUAACAUUUUCUUGCUGUCUCAUAAAACAACUGAUUGUUUUCAAGAAACAACCGAUUGUUUUACCUCUAGAACAUUUGAGUAAAGUUGUUAUGAUUUCUUAUGCAUGAUUACAAUUGUUUCUUUUCUUUCAUAACCCAUUAUGAGUCAUAUAUGCAUUCUUUGUGCCUCUGAAUUAGAUCAUAAAGAGAUAUAUUCCUUAUGUUCCUUGAAAUUCAAAGCUUUUUAUGAAUGGCAACCACACUGGUGGUCAUGGGGUUGAUGAAUAUUUGUGAGUGUAUCUUUGGAAUGUCUGGAAGGUUUGCUCUUAAAAGAAGAAAGAAUAUCUAUACCAAAUCCACCUCUUGAACAAUCAUUUGACCAACUUGAAUUGUUGGAUGAAGAAAAGAUAGGGGGAGAAAUUGUGGUCUCCUUGCUGAAAUUUCUGGGGUUUAUGGUUCUUUGAUUCUUCUGUUUUCAUAGCUCUGAUACACCAUAGAUUUUGCUGCAAUUCUGAUAUAGUAUCAAAGGUUUGUUGCUGCAAUGGUGCUGCUACACAUACUGGUAUUCUGGUUUUUCUUAAUCCUGAUUUUAUCCCUUCUUUCAUUUUAUUUGAGAAGACAAAUAGGGGGAGAAUGGUGUGGUUUUAUGUGUUGUGUUGUUGCUGCUACACUAUGGUGUUAUCUGGUUUUAUCAUGGUUUAAAUUCUAUUGUUGCCAUGCUCUUAUUCACAAUAGUUCUUCUGCACACAAGUCUCAUUUUGGCACUGGUUUUAUGGUUAUUUGACUGGUUUUUCUGCUUAAAGGCUUAUGCAGAAAACUGGUUUUGUGUGCCUUGGCAUCCUGCUGGUAUACUUACUUUGUAUAUGUACAAAUUCUGUUUUGCUUGACCUUUCAAGUUUAAAAACAACAACACAAACAAACCAGGGAUUAGUCUUCAUCAAAUAGGGGGAGAUUGUUGAACAAUAUGCUUUGAUGUCUCCAAAUCCAAGAGGAAAGCUUGAAGACCUUGUUGUUGGGUGUGUGUGUGUUCUCUAGUUGUUUGAAACUUGUUAAUUCACUCCUUAGGUUGAUCCAAGUUCAUUUGAAUCUUUAACCUUUUAAAAAGAUGUGUUUUCUAAAAAGCUGUCAAAAUUUCAACAGGUUGUUUAAAACAACAGGUUAUUUGAAACAAGAGGUUGUUUUACCUUAGCAGUUUUUGAAAAAGGUUGAAAGUUGUUUGACUUGGUUGACUUUGCUGUCAAACCAAAACAAUCGAUUGUUUCGACAAAACAACCGAUUGUUUUCCUAAAAACCUUAACAGAAUUAUGAUAAGGGGUUUUAAUAUGUUUUAAAUGAUCCUAACUAACUUGGCUCCUUUAUUAAAUGCUUUUGACAACUUGGUUGGUCUAUAUAAAGGUGGUUUUACGCUCUUAAUCUUGGAGUAACAGAAAGAGUUUAUCAAAACAGUUUUUCCAAGAUUUGAAAGCGCUUUGGAUCCUUCUUAAGUGUGUAGAAUAGGAUUGGGUUGUAAUUCAGAACUUUAAGCUUUGUAAUACCCAGGUGUAUUCUAUUCCCUUCUUCUUUGAUUACUAUAUUUCUGUAGUUGUGUUGCCAAGGAGUGUUGUGUGUUCUUGAGGUGUUAAAGAUCAACAUUCUUGGUGUGGUUUACCAAAGAUAGUGUGUUUCUUGAGGGGUUCAAGGUCACUACUUUGGUGUGUGAUGUGUGUAAUCUGGUUUUGAUUGCAUAGUGGAUUACCCAGUGGUUUCUGGGGAUUAGAUGUAGCUCUUGGUGUAAGAGUGAACCAGUAUAAAUCUGUUUGUGUAUUUCUCUUUUUCCCUGAUCUCACAUAUAUCUGUUUUAAGUUAUUUUUAUUAACUGCUGAUAAAAACAACCGAUUGUUUUUCUGAUAUCAUUUUAAAACAGUCUUGGGUAUUUGUUUCCUUGAUUCUUUUCUCUGUAAUUCAGCAUUGAUUUUCAUUAUACCUUCAAAGUUUGCGAAAAUCCCUCUUAAACAAUUCACCCCCUCUCGUUUAAGGCCAUAUAUUCUAACAACAUUUGCACAAUUAGGGAAACACAACUUAUCAUAUAAUGAGGCACCUAGUAUGGAAAAUAUUUUCUCUUUGACUUUCAUCAAAAGGUUUCAAAACUUGUCCUAGCAUGCGCCUCACUACCAAUAAGUCGCCUUCACCUGGACUCUCACUAUCUUCCUCACGUGGGGAUCUAGAAUGGUUAGGAGACCUAGACCUUUGGGAACUAUGGUCACUCAUGACAACCCCCUUCUUUACCAUCAUGUUGCGUUUGGAAGGACAAUUAGAAGGAAUGUGACCAAAACCUAAACAUUUAAAACACUUUCUACUUGAGGUUUUGGUAGGGGAUUUAGGUGUUAUAGUGGAGGGUUUAGAAUCCCUAAAGUUGUAAGUGGACUCCUUUCCAAAAUUGGAGGGAAAAGUCUUAGAAGAAAACUUGUUUUUAUUUUUCCAAGAUGAUUGAAAGAAGAUGGGGACUUAACUGUAGAUAAGUGGGUAAAAGUCAGUCUUUCAUGGGGAAUUAUAAAGAUGAAAUUUUAUGUGAUGUAGUACCCAUGGAAGCCUGUCAUUUCUUAUUUGGUAGACCAUGGAAAUUUGACAAGAAAACUACCCAUGAUGGUCUUACCAACGAGAUCACUUUUACCCAUAGCGAAAAGAAGUUUCUACUUUAUCCCCUAACACCCUCACAAGUGGUAAAGGACCAAGUACAAAUGAAACAGAAAAGAGAAAUGAAAAAACAAAUAGUAGAAAAUUAAGAGAAAGUCCUUAAGGACAAUGAUGAGGCGUGGGAAAUGGUAAGACUUCAUCAUUUGGCUAAGACCAUAGUUUCAGAUAACGAUCCUAAAUUUGUUGGCCAUUUCUGGAGAACUCUUUGGGAAAAGCUAGGAACUAAGUUGAACUUCUCAACUUCUUGUCAUCCUCAAACGAAUGGACAAACUGAAGUUGUAAAUAUAUCUCUUUCAACUAUGCUUAGGUCCAUCAUGAAAGGAAACCACAAAUCUUGGGAUGAGUACCUUCCUCAUAUUGAAUUUGCAUAUAAUAGAGUAGUUCAUAAAACUACUAAUAUUUCUCCAUUUGAGAUUGUGUAUGGAUUUAAUCUUCUUACUCCUUUGGAUUUGUUACCUCUACCUAAUCCACAAGAAUUUUCGCAUAAGGAAGGAGUAACAAAAGCUAAAUUUGUAAAGAAAAUGCAUGAGAGGAUUAAAAACCAAAUACAAAAACAAAGAGAGAAAUAUAUGACACAUAACAAUAAGGGGAAGAGAGAGAUGGUUUUUAAAGAGGGAGACUAGGUAUGGCUUCACCUUAGAAAAGAUAGAUUCCCUAAUCAGAGGAAGUCUUAGCUUAGUCCCCGGGUUGAUGGUCUUUUCCAAGUCCUCGAGAAAAUCAAUAAUAAUGCAUAUCAAUUAGACCUACCUGAGGAAUAUGGAGUACAUGGUAACUUCAAUGUUAUGGAUCUAACACCUUUUGCUGGUAGUGAAGAAGAAGAGGCAGAAGCAUGUGAUUUGAGAACAAAUCCUCUUUAAUAGGGAGGGGAUGAUGGAAGAAGGCCAAGCUCAAACCCAUCUACUAGGUCCAUGACAAGGAAGAUUCAAGAAGAAUGGGACUCUGCUACUGAUGGCAAAGUCACCCUUUUAUACAUGUUCAAAAAUGCUAUAACCUAGAGUAGAGUUUUUAGAGUACAAUUUAUUUUUUUUGAUAAAAGUAGAAUAAGAAUUUUACUUGUAGUUUUUCUUAAAUCAAAUUAGGGAUGGAUUUUGGCAUCUAAAAAUCAACCUAGGUUACAUUAGGGUUUCUAGAAGACUCCUAAUUAACCUAGGUUGGUCAUUUACACCUUGUCAUGCUUGUUUUGUGAGCUCAUUUAGGCGCCACUUCAAACCUUUGUCAUUUUAGAGCCUUCUAACUUUCCCAUUUUAGCUUAUAUUAUUCUCCUUUUUCCCAAUCAUCUCCAUUCUCUCAUAAAAUCCUAAAAUUAACACAAAAUUUGGGAAUAAAUUUUUCUUAUUCAAAUAAAAAUCUCAAAAUAUGUAAAAAUGUAUAAAUUAAAAAAUUAGGCGUUAUUUUAUACUUAUCUUAGCAAUUAAUACUCAUAAGUGGCUAUAUUUUAAUAUGAACUAUUACUGAAAUUUCACACUUAUCAAUUUUCCCCAACUUAGAAUCUUGCUCAACCUCAAGCAAAGUAAAUGAAUAUAUUUGAAUUUAUAUAUCAAAACAACUUAAUUCACUAAAAAAUAGAUUAAACUAGAAACUUAUGAUGCUUCCAAAUUUAAAUAUAGAAAAAUAAGGAUACAAUCAACUUCCAGGAUCAAAUCAAAACAAUAAAAUGACAAUUUAUUAAGGAAUAUUUGCUCAAGGUAAGUGUUUCUCUAUAUUUUCACUUAAUCAUAACAAGUCACAAUUGCUUUUUAGAUAACUAAAUGCAUUGCUUCCAUAAAGUAUUGGUUUUUCAGAUAACUAAAUGCACAUCUUAAAGAAGAAGAAAAUACCUACAAUCCAAUUAUAGAGAACAUGUAUGUUAUCUAAUCACCAUUUUCUUUUCAAUUCACACUUUUCCUCAUUCUUCUUUAAACUUUUUCAUGAUUUUCAACAUGAAAUUUUCUUUCUUUUUUUUCAUCAAUAGGAAAAGAUUCUUCCUAUUUUGAACGUUUUGAGCUUUCAACAGAACCAGCCAUUCCCUUCUCUAUGUAUAUUGCAUUUAUGUUCUCCUUCCUUAAACAUGUUAAAGGGUAGGAAAAUAUAUCAUUUAAAGGUUUAGGGAGAAAUAAUAACAAAAUUCUUGGCUCAAAAGGGAUAUAUAUUUGAUCCUGCCUGUUGACCAAGACGCUGGAGCCUUGCCUCAUCGAACCUGGAUCGACUUCUGCGCCGUGUUAGCCUCCGUCCUUCACCGUGAUUCACCUCAAGAACCUGCAAAAGACAGAACGGCGCCGAUGCGGCCGAUCACGCUCCGAUGCCCAAGUCAGCGACUGAACCACCAAAGACUAAGAGAAAACUCAAGAACUCUAAGGAACCGUGCAAAAUUCUCUCUUAGCGUACUCAGACUCUCGCAAGCGUAAAGAAGCAAUCUAAACGUGCGUACCUCAGAAGUUCGUUAGAAUCUCUUAUACACCUGUGCACUUUCUAUCUCCUGACAGUUACACAUCUGGACACGUGGCUCGCAUCCAGCUGUACACGUGUCACCAUCUGGAGCUUCCUUGACUUGGGCGCCACUUCUUAUUCUUCAGGCUUUUGGCUAAGUUACUUACGCGUGAAACAACUCAGCGCACGGCUGCCUUGGAGCGUGAUCCCUUCUGCGUGGCGAGUUCGGGUGCCUUCAUACACACCUUCCCUGUGGUCUCGCCGGCCGCCUUCAUGAUCUACUUCACUUGCUUCACCGUGUAUGUUCAGGUAAGCUGUUUCCUGACCUCAACCUCUGGCUAGCUAGGAAAUGACUAUCUGACGAUCUCAACUUUGGCGAUGUCCUUGUUUCGGUGAUCUCUAACCACUAGGUCGUCUGGGUUCGCAUCCGGCGACUUCAUCCUAAACCGGUGACCACCGGUUUAGGUAUGCUAGAGGUCGGAGCACGCCAACUUAAGGACUAGCGACUACACGAGCCCCCCGACUUCCUUCCCUUCUGCCAGCCAUGGGCCCCACUCAACACGCCUGCAUAACAGCUCGCUGCCACGUCAUCACUUCCGACUACCAGGAUGGUACACAAGCCCCCCAAUCUUAAGCGAAGACUUGUCCAGCGAAAAGACUAGAGAACCGCACUCACCGCCCUCUCAGUCACAGCAAAAUACAACCUGAGAGGGGUUCCCACCAGUGGUUUGCACAAAACCGGCGGGCUCGCCAGGUACUCUUUAAGCUUGACGAAGGCCUCUUCACACUCCUUCGUCCAGGCAAACUUGUUGUUUCGCCUCAAACACUGGAAAUACGGAUGGCCCUUCUCCCCGCUGGCCGACACGAAACGAGACAGGGCGGCCACCCGACCUGUAAGUUGCUGCACUUCCUUCACGGUAGCCGGGCUCCUCAUCGCCAAGAUGGCAGCACACUUAUCAGGAUUGGCUUCUAUUCCUCUUUCAGUCAAGAGAAAUCCCAAGAACUUCCCCGCCUCCACGCCAAAGAUGCACUUCUCGGGAUUCAGCUUUAACCUGAACUUGGCGAUCGUAGUGAACAACUCCUCCAAGUCCGCAACAUGCUUGCUCUUCUCCGGCGAGGUCACGACCAUGUCAUCCACGUAUGCUUGCACAUUCCUUCCCAGCAUUGGUGCAAGUACGCGAUCCAUCAACCUCUGGUACGUGGCCCCGGCGUUCUUCAGACCAAAAGGCAUCACCUUGUAGNNNNNNNNNNNNNNNNNNNNNNNNNNNNNNNNNNNNNNNNNNNNNNNNNNNNNNNNNNNNNNNNNNNNNNNNNNNNNNNNNNNNNNNNNNNNNNNNNNNNAGCACGAUCUCUCGGUCAUGAAGGCGAUCUUCUCUUCAUCCAUGGGAUGCAUCUUUAUCUGGUUGUACCCCGAGAAGGCAUCCAGGAAACUCAGCAACUUACACCCUGCAGCACUGUCAACCAGGGCGUCUAUGCUUGGCAAAGGAUACGAAUCCUUUGGGCAAGCCUUGUUCAGAUCAGUGAAAUCGACGCACAUGCGCCAUUUGCCAUUACUCUUCUUCACCAGCACGACAUUGGCUAGCCACUCAGGGUACUGGACCUCCCUGAUAUGGCCUGCAGCGAGGAGCUUCUGGGUUUCAUCCCUGAUCGCCUGUCUUCUCUCCUCGUUGAAUUUCCUUCUUCUCUGUCGCACUGGUCUGACCUGGUUGUCCAUUGCUAGAUGAUGGCACAAGAAGUCGGGGUCAAUUCCCGGCAUGUCUGAAGCAGACCAUGCGAAAGCAUCCAGAUGCCGCUCUAUCACCUCGGCAAUCUGGUCUUGGAGCUCAGCCUCCAAGGAUCUUCCCAACUUGAAGACCUUUCCCCCGAUCUCCCUUUCGAGCCAUUCCUCGACGGGUUUUGGUCUAGCUUCCCUGGCGAUCACCGCUCUGGCGAUUCCCAGCUCCCUCGCUUCCUCAGGGCGGUUCCUCGCCUCUUCUUCCCGCUCGGCGUUCUCUCCCUCAGCCCCAGCAUCCAUCAUGGCAACGUCUCCCCCGGCAGCCACCUCCAUCGCUGCACCAACAACCCGCCACUCUGUUGGCUUGGGCUUCACACCGGGAGGCGGCGUAGUUGUGAUGUAACUCACUGACCUCUUGUUCUUCAGGCUAUUCUCAUAGCACUUCUUCGCUUCUUUCUGGUCAGAUUUGAUGGUGAUCACCACCCCCUCCAUCGAUGGCAACUUCACCUUCAUGUGCCUGGUCGAAGGCACAGCUCCUAUUCUGUUGAGUGUUGGUCUUCCCAACAGAAUGUUAUAUGCUGAGGGAGCGUUCACGACGAGGUACUUGAUUUUCUCCGUUCUUGAGCCCGCCUCAUCCGUGAAGGUAGUUCUCAACUCUAUAUACCCCCUGACCUCCACCUGAUCGCCAGCGAAACCAUACAAACACCCUCCAUAGGGCCUCAACUGGUCAAGGGGCAACUGCAACUGUGUGAAAGUCGGCCAGAACAUCACAUCCGCCGAGCAUCCUUGGUACUCUGUGGACCUUCCUUCCCGCCGUAACAAGCGAGAUGACUAUUGGAUCGUUGUCAUGAGGCACAACGUCCCUGAGAUCUUCCCUUGUGAACGUGAUGUCCACGUCUGGUGAGUGGUCCUCGAACAUGUCCACCGUCAUCACAGACCUCGCAUACUUCUUCCUCUAUGACGCGGUGCAUCCACCACCCGAGAAACCUCCUGCAAUGGUGUGGAUCUCCCCGUGAGUAGGCAUCUCGUGCUGCUGAGCCUCACCACCUGCGGGCUGGGAGCUCGACGCGCCCCCCGUCCUUCUAUCCAGCAAGUAAUCAUUUAAGAACCCGCUCUUGACUAGGUCGUCGAGCUAGUAUCCUAAAGCCAAACAUGAGUCCACGGUGUGGCCAAAGCCCUGGUGGAAUUCACACCAGACGUCUGGCUUUGGUCCCAACACCUUGUCGCCCACCUUCUCGGGCGUCUUCAGCCUGGCUUCUAUAUUAGGAAUGGCGAUCAGGUCCGCCAACCCCAUGACAAACUUAUGCUUCGGCGGGCGAUUGUACUCCCGACGUGCUAGUUGAAGGCGUGCUGGGCCCCUGCCCUUGUUCUUCCUUGGAUCAUAAGGAUGUCGAGUCCUCUGAUCCCUCUUGGCUGUCGCUGUCUCCAGCACCCUCUGUGGCUGGAUCCUGGUCUGGGCACGUGGCCUAGCGGGGGCCACGCUUCCCCUCUUCUCGGCGACCUCACUUUCAUCGGUGAUGUGGGCCACCGCAAGUCGCCUAACCUCAGCAAACGUGGCGGGGUGAGCCCUGAUCAACGCCUCGCAGAAGGGUCCCGGCAGCACGCCCUUCUUGAAUGCGUAGACCAACAUCUCUUCGUCCUUGGCCGGCGAGCGGACCAUCUGCGCCCCAAAACGAUUCAAGUAGUCCCUGAGGGACUCUCCCUGGUACUGCCUUAUGUCGAACAGAUCAUAAGACACCCUAGGCGGCGCCUUGUUCACUAUGUACUGCUCGACAAAGAUCUUCGAAAACUGCUGGAAAUUUGUUAUGUGGCCUGUAGGCAGGCUCACAAACCAUUCCAGCGCCGUCCCCUGGAGUGUGCUCACAAACAUCUUGCAAUACACAGCAUCCGAUCCUCCUGACAGCAUCAUCUGCGUGUGGAAUGUGGUGAGAUGUGCCUCAGGAUCCUCCACACCGGUAAAAAUAGCCUUCACGGGUACCACACUCGCAGAGAUAGGCGUGUCCGUAAUCGCCUGAGCGAAAGGCAUGGGGAAAACGCGAGGCGGCGUUGACGGCGCGACCUCUUCAGCGAGGGGGCGCCCUCGCUGCUCCUAGAGAGCCUAGCACAAUUCCUAAGUCACUCUGCUAAGCUCUUCAUUCCUGGCCUGAGAGGCGACCAGGUCCUCAUGCAUCUUUGCCUGCUCUAUGCGCGAGGCUUCCACGUUCGCCUGCAACGCACGCAUGAUCUCCACCAUUUGCGCCAUAGUCAUGGCGCCUUCAGCAGCAACUGGCACAACUGGACUUGAACGGUUACUUCUCAUCUUUCUCAUGAAAACUUGACAGAUCACAGGGAGCGAUGAACAACACCUUCUUCAGCGACGAUAGAUUCAACGAUCAAUCGGUCAGAGCUUCAAGAACACAACCUCAACAGCAAACCUUCACAGAAACUCACGACUCCACCACAAACCACCGCUUCUUCCACGAAAAUCCGAACGAGCGGCGAAACUUAGAUCUCACCGAUUAAAACUCGCUUAAUCAGCGAAAAACCUCACCUCACAGAACACGAACUCAAACGAACGGUGGAAAACACGAAACUACCGAACAAAGCUUAGAUGAACGGCGGAAAGUGGUUGCACCAGCACACAACCACACAGAAACUGCAGAAACUUCCAAGAACUCACGCUGUGGAUGGCAAUAGGUUUUACACGACCCCACGGUGGGCGCCUGAUGAUCCUGCCUGUUGACCAAGACGCUGGAGCCUUGCCUCGUCGAACUUGGAUCGACUUCUGCGCCGUGUUAGCUUCCGUCCUUCACCGUGAUUCACCUCAAGAACCUGCAAAAGACAGAACGGCGCCACUGCGACCGAUCACGCUCCGACGCCCAAGUCAGCGACUGAACCACCAAAGACUAAGAGAAAACUCAAGAACUCUAAGGAACCGUGCAAAAUUCUCUCUUAGCGUACUCAGACUCUCGCAAGCGUAAAGAAGCAAUCUAAACGUGCGUACCUCAGAAGUUCGUUAGAAUCUCUUAUAUACCUGUGCACUUUCUCUCUCCUGACAGUUACACAUCUGGACAUGUGGCUCGCAUCCAACUGUACAUGUGUCACCAUCUGGAGCUUCCUUGACUUGGGCGCCACUUCUUAUUCUUCAGGCUUUUGGCUAAGUUACUUCCGCGUGAAACAACUCAGCGCACGACUGCCUUGGAGCGUGAUCCCUUCUGCGUGGCGAGUUCGGGUGCCUUCAUACACACCUUCCCUUUGGUCUCGCCGACCGCCUUCAUGAUCUACUUCACUUGCUUCACCGUGUAUGUUCAGGUAAGCUGUUUCCUGACCUCAACCUCUGGCUAGCUAGGAAAUGACUAUCUGACGAUCUCAACUUUGGCGAUGUCCUUGUUUCGGCGAUCUCUAACCACUAGGUCGUCUGGGUUCGCAUCCGGCGACUUCAUCCUAAACUGGUGACCGGUUUAGGUAUGCUAAAGGUCGGAGCACGCCAACUUAAGGACUGGCGACUACACGAGCCCCCCGACUUCCUUCCCUUCUGCCAGCCAUGGGCCCCACUCAACACGCCUGCAUAACAGCUCGCUGCCACGUCAUCACUUCCGACUACCAGGACGGUACAAUAUUAAAAAAAUGAAGUUUAAUAAGGUAAAGGUUGACUAUUUGGCCCUGAGUUCCUAAUUAACACAACUACCUCAAUCAUAUUCAUGUUCUUUUAUGAUGUAACAAAAAAGUAAAAAUUAAGAAACCACAAUUGACAAUUCAUCAAUAAAACUCUCAAAAUUGUUUAAGGUUAACACACUCACUUGGUUUACAUGGUCUCGUUCCUUUUUGUUUUGUCAUUCUCUGUCCUAAUCAAUCAUCUUGUUAAAUUUUCAUGUGUCACAAUUUCAACUAUAUUUGAAUAGGGAUUCAAUCAUAUUUUCUUUUCUAACCAAUGUCUAAUUCAUCUCACUAUUUAAUAUUUAAACACAAAUUCUUUUUCCACAAUUCAAAAUUAAUAUUCUACGGUUGACUUUUGAAAGAGCAAACCUGCAGGGAAUAACUUAUCAGAUUGUAUAUAUAAUAAUAUAUAUAGUAAAUAUUAAAUAUAGUAAUAUAUUUGGACCACCAUUUAUCUAGAAACAAUCAUCUCUUAAACCACAAAAGACCGAAGCAAAGUCCAAAAAUAGAAACAUAAAGUACGUCAAUUUAAAAAAAUAUAGCAUGAUCUGACAACCCUAAUAAGCAAAAAAAGAGAACUUUGGCUAACUUUGUUUUGCCCCAUUGUAGAACAACUUGCUUUUCUGUUUAACAAAAAAAAAAAGGAAUCCUUGCAUUAGAAAUAUCUGAAAUAAUACACAACAUGCAAGAACACGAAAUAUAUGUAUACCGCCAAUUUUUUUUUACUAAAAUAGAUAUGCUCAUUCUGUAUUUACUAAUUUGACUAAAACAGAAAUCAAAGAACAAAAAAUAUAAAUGAUAAAUAAAAUGAUUAUUAUAAGCUUUUUUUUUUAUGAAAUGUAUAUACCUUAAAUUUGUGAACUAAAAACAUUUAAAAAUUGAAACUUUAAUCAAUAUUUAUGCUCAGAAUGAAAAAAGAUCCAAACUUUAAUUUUUCAUUCCAUGGAUACCUCUACAGUGCGUAUGGUUACCAAGUUCUAUAUUGGGAAAUCACAGUAGAAGAGAAACAGAUUUUAUGUCUUAAAGCUUAAGAAUAGAGAAAUAUUAUUAUAACAACAUUUUUUUUUAUGAAAUGCAUGCACCUUUAAUUAAUAUUUAUUGUCGGAAUGAAAAAAGAUCCAAACUUUAAUUACAUUUUCCGUUCUACAGCGUUUCAGUUGUAUCUCCCAGAAUCAAGCAGAAACAGAGUAAACAAUCUGGUAGAUCUGGUAUCUGAUAUAAUGGACAAAAAGAAGUUGUUGAGACAAAGCAGUUUCUAGACUGUAACAAAUAGAUAUCAGUUGGCUUAUGAAUGUCGAAGAAGAUGAAGAUCAUAAAGGGAAAAUGAGUUUGAACUAAUAUUCGCACACCCAACUUUAUAUGCUUUUCCAGAAACUUCCUCAGUCAUUUAUUAAUGAUUUACUAUGAAAAUUGUCUUAUUAAGUUAUUUUGAAUUUGCACUAAUAUUAGUUUUUUUUUAAUUUGUUUUUCUUUUUAAUUUAACUUCGAAAUUUGUACUCAGUGUGGAAGUAAUGAUUACCUGAAAGUUCUAGAAGUCUUAAAUAUUAUUUUAUAUAACUUUAUUUUAUUUGAAAAUAAUAUAAAUGUCCUUUCUGGGCUACUUUAAUUCUUCUUAACAAUGUUUUUAUACUAUUCAACAUUUUAACUUAUUUUUUUUAUUGCACUUUAAAAUUAUAAUAAGUUUGGCUAAAUAUAAAAUUGUGAAAUUCAGGAAUAUAAAAAUUGUGAAAUUCAGAAGUUGAAAUUUAAUUGAAAUAAAUUAAAUAUAAUUCAAAAAAAUUAACAUUAAAAUUACACAAUUUUACAAUGUUAACGACUUAGAAAUUAUAUGUAAAAGUGAAAGAAUAAUUUUUUUCAUAACUUGGAAAUUACAAUACAUUGAUUUAAACUAAUUUAAAUUAAAUAAAAUGCUUUCUAAUACUAUGUUCCCAUACGAUAUAUACAUGAAAAAUGAAGUAUUAAAGACCAACUUCCUUUUUAAGUUCAACCUGCAAAAAAUACUCCAUAAUAAUUACUGCAAUUAAAAGUAUAAUUCAUUAAAUUAUACCAAGUUAAGUCCUCCAAAAAAAAAUGUGUGUUUCCUCCAUAAACAAAUUGUAGGCAAAUUCAUAUUGAACUAUGAAGUCACCUCUAGAAAUAUAUAAUAACUAUUUUUAAAAUGAAAUAGUACUCAUAAAAAUUACUAAAUCUUAGAAAAAUGAUACAGAAAAACAAACAUAUGUACAUCAAAAGGUUUCAAGAUAAAAAAACAUAGUUAAUACAUUAAUAACUAAUUAAUUAAUAAUUAAUAAUAAACAAUAUAAACAUAAACAAUGUAUAGAAAAUCAAAUUAAUAUACAUGCAUUCCACAAUCUAAAAUAGGUUUAUGAUUUUUUUUAAUAUACUGGCAAUUCUUAUAGCGUUGAACAUAUUUAGAAAUGCCAACACAUUAUUAAUAUGCCAGAUAAAAAACCAAAAUUAAAAGCAGUAUGUAUACAUAUUGCAAAUAUUGGAACCUAAACAAUAAAUACAAAGAAAUAAAAUGAGCUAAUUAAACAUAACCACAAUAAAAUAAAAAUAAAGAGUAAAGCAAAUAAAUUGUUCUUGUUUCCUCAAAUUGGAAACUUGAUGCUUCCCAACAAAAGGAAGCAAUAUAGUAGUAACUUAAAAAAACUAAUAUAGUUCAAAACAAUAACUGAUUAUCCUAAACACCAAAUCUUUUGUAGUGACUCGUCAUCAGUGGUAGAACUCUGAUAUCAGAAGAGGGCUUAUUGUUAUAACAUUCAAAUAUAAUUUUGUCAUCUUCACAAAUAGAAUGAAGACGACAAAAUUGUUUCCACCCACUACAGAGUGUAACGCUUCUGGAAGGAAACCUGGACUUGAAAAUGUUGCAUUCCACAUCUUGUAGCCAUCCAUGUAGAGUAACCUUCUUGAACUUCCCUCUACGAACAUAUUCAGCAAAAGGAGAAGACAGAUCCUUAAACAAUAACAAAAUUAUUAGUUAAUAAUUAGUUAAUAAAAGAAAUAGAAUAUAUCAAUAACCAUUUAAAAAGAAAGGAUGGUAAACUGACCACAUAUCCUCCUCCAUAGAAUUGUUUUGAACUCAACUUUAAGCCAAAAUGUAUAAAAAGGUCAUUGUUGAGUAGCUCCCGCCUUUGAACAUCCUUCAGAAAAUUUCUUAUAACCAUUUCACAUAACUCCCCCAUAAAAACAGUUAUAGUGAAGGAGUUAUUACCCACGUAACGAAACAAUAUACUGUGGUGACCUUUAAACCCAUAAAAAUCACUCAAACUGGACCAUCCAUACAAAAUUUGGGGACAAAGUAUAUCUUUGUUAUAAUAUAUUAUAUGAAUAUUGUUUUGACUGUCGUUGAGGGUCCAUUCCUCAUCCAGUUCAGUUUCAAACUUGAUGACGAAUGCACGAUCCACGUGUCCAUUCUAUCCAUUUUAAAACCAUAAAAAUACUCAAAGAACUAAAAAAACUAUGAAAAAAUAGGAAUUUCAGAAAAAAAAAAAAAAUACCUCCCCACGAAUGUUAACUGUUGUAAAGAAACCUCUAGUAGAAAGUUUUACGAUCUCUUCAGGAAUGACAACCAUGACAGUGAGAAAAAAAAAGAUGAGAAUGAUGGAAGUAGGGAAGAAGUAGAGAAGAAUAAUUUAAGAAGUUACAAAGAAGAAAGCAAUAGGUUUGUGAGUAAUAAAAGGCCCUACGUUACUUAUAUAUAGCAAUCAUACCUUUUCAGUCACAAAUCUACUAUAAGUUUUCUCUGAAGCAACAUGUCCUUUCAGUUCCUAUAUUAAAUAAUAAAAAACAUAAUUAAAAUCCAAUAAUGAUAGUCAAAAAAAUUAAUAAAUAAUAAUAAAUAAUAAAUAAAUAAUAUUAAAGUAAAGACCAAUAAAUACAAAAAGACAAAACUAUAAAAAGCAGAGUAGGUGAGUUGUUACGUGUAAUUAUUCUUUGACGUUUCGAUUUUCCAUUGCCUUAUACAACAGGGUUUUUUUAGUUUAAAUAAGUUAUUAAUAAAUUAACAAAUAAUAAUUAAUAAAAAAUACAACUAUUNNNNNNNNNNNNNNNNNNNNNNNNNNNNNNNNNNNNNNNNNNNNNNNNNNNNNNNNNNNNNNNNNNNNNNNNNNNNNNNNNNNNNNNNNNNNNNNNNNNNNNNNNNNNNNNNNNNNNNNNNNNNNNNNNNNNNNNNNNNNNNNNNNNNNNNNNNNNNNNNNNNNNNNNNNNNNNNNNNNNNNNNNNNNNNNNNNNNNNNNNNNNNNNNNNNNNNNNNNNNNNNNNNNNNNNNNNNNNNNNNNNNNNNNNNNNNNNNNNNNNNNNNNNNNNNNNNNNNNNNNNNNNNNNNNNNNNNNNNNNNNNNNNNNNNNNNNNNNNNNNNNNNNNNNNNNNNNNNNNNNNNNNNNNNNNNNNNNNNAUUGGGGGUAUAUUUGGCAGUUAAUAUUCCAAUAACAUCUGUAAAAACAUAUUCAUUUAAAAGCAUGUCGAAAGAAAUAUGUUCAAGUAAAAGAAUAUUACUAAUCGACUAAGUAAUCCGUAUCAAAAUCAGGCGCCUUUAACACAAAAAUUGGUGUGUAAUGAGGUUUUGCACAUGAAACCAUAUCAUUACCAACAGAGGUUACUUUGGUUCCAAACUGAAAAUUUAUUUUGUAUUGGUGACAGGUAGUGUGAUAAGAUCCUGAAUUAGUAGACACACUAAAGAAAUUGAAGGAAUAAACUUUAUCCUCAAAAAUAUCAUUUUGAAAUUUAUAAAUUAGAGUUCUUCUAACGGAAACAUGAAUUCUAUCACCCUGAAAGAUAGCAACAAACAUUAAGCAUGAUUAAUAAAAAUUUCAUUAAACUCUAGUACGAAAAAAUAUGAAAGAAAAUGAUAAAGUAUUUUACAUCUUUGUCUUGUAUCACCAUUUCCAUGGAGAAUGGAAAAUUUGUUUUCUUGAAAUCAGAAACAAACCACAAACGUAUAACCCUUGUUAUCAGGAUCCAAUUUUCACUUUGUGGAUUAACAUCUUUCACACAAUUUGUAUUUUGUCUUAACAUAGAUAUUGUAAGGGUGACCUUUGAGUAAAAGGAAAAUGUAGAAUGCAAUAGUCAAUGUGAAACACAAAACAUACCCAUAUACGUGUAUAUAUAUAUAUAUAUAUAUAUAUAUAUAUAUAUAUAUAUAUAUAUACUGAGGAGGUGGUACGGAAUUAUUUUCAAAAAUAUUAAAAAAAAUUACAAUUUCAAAGUGAAAUAGCUGGGAAUAGUAAGAAAACAUAAUAAAGUAUAACAGUAUUGUGAGACAAAAACAAACAUUCCAAUUUUCAAAUGGGAUAUAGUUUUUUAGCUAAGAAUAAAGAUGAAUUUAGUUCAAAUAUGUCAUAAGACAAAAAUAAUAAUAAAUAACAUUAAAAAAAUAUAGAGCUAAUGACAAAAAAACUUAAGUUUAAAAAUGUUCAAUGAAUGACAAAAACGAAGUUAAGCAUGUCAUGUUUCAUACAGAAGAGAUUAAGCCUAUAAAAAAUCGAAACUUUAAAACGUGCAAACAAUUCUACUUCCAUCAUUGCAAUUAAUGAACUUGUUGUUUGACUUUUAAAAGUCAGGUUGCAUAAUAAAGAAAACAUUUGAAAAGAAAGUACAAAAUUUUUGAAAUUCCUAGCAUGAUCUGAAAACCCUACUAUGCAAAUAAAUGGAAUUUUAGGUAGGUUUGCUUAGGACAUUUGCAAAAGAGGAUUCUUGUUUAGCACAAAAAAGAACCCUUGCUUUGAAAUUUCUGAAAUAAUACACAGAUUGUCAGAAUACACAGAUGUAGAACAUAGAUAGAAAGGUGGAAACCCUAACAGAGAAAUCUUACCAAUUUCAUAUAACCAUAGAAUCUUGCUUUUCCAUGCGGACAAAAGAAGAAUAAAUCUUUCCUUGGUGCUUGAUAUACUAGGGAAUCAGUUUGAAAACAUGAAAAUCAAGAAACAAAGCUAUAAAAGUAGCGAUGUCGUUCACAGAUUACUGAAACCGUAAAGAAAUCAAAGAGGAGAAAAAGUGAGAUAAUGACUUAACAUAAUCAGGUAAUAAAAACAAAAGAACCAAAUGAAAGAAAGUCGGUAGUAGUAUAAAAUCAAAUCUGUACAAAAUGAUAUUUGAAAAAAUGAUAACUUUUUAAUACUUCCUUUGCAAAACAGGAAAAUGAAGAUACAAACCUCUGAAAGUAGUUGUGGGGUUGACAGAUUCAUGAAAAAGGCAAAGAAAUCAAAGAAGAUAAAAACUUUGAUACAAAGUGAUGGAGAUCAAGCUCAAGUGGACAUGGAGGCCAAUCAUCAAGAGCAAGAAGAGGUUGAGGCUCAAAUGGAGGACGCUCAUGGAGUUCAAAGCCCACCUCAAAGGCUUACAAGGAGCAUGUUCAAGGCUUUAGGAGCUAAUGGAUGUUUGUUUUCUAUUUUUGUAAUUUCUUUGUUUGAAGGUGCUUAGAGGGAAACAUAAGAAACGUCUUUUAAAAGCAUCUUUAGGUUUUUAGUUUAGGAGACUUAGGGGGGUGUGCGUUUAGUAGGGAGGUGUAGAUGUAAUAGGGAGGUGCCAAACUAAGAGAGGAAGUCACACCUUCCUCAUGCUCUAGGAUUGGCUCCACUUUCAUGUAAUUUGGGGGGAAUUUUGAAUUUAAUUAGUUUUGCAUUUCAGCACCUCUAGGCUAUAAGUUAAGGUGCUGCCUUUGUAUUUUUCAGAUUUGAAUUUUGAAUUAGAGAAACUCUACUCAAUUUGAGAGAGAAUUGGAGAGCUUUGUGCCUUCCUCACUUAGUAUUAUCUUAAGUGUUCUUGGUUACCUCAAGUGGCAGCAUAUCACACUCAUCUUGGAGUCUCCAUCCUCUAAGUGGCGUGAUCAUCCAACCAAUUCCUCCAUCUUCAUGAGCUUUCUCUUCUCCUUCCUUCCUUCUCCUUUUAUGUUCAUGUCUUAGCUUGUGUUCUUGCAUUUUCAGUUUGGUAUUUUAGUUCCUUUUCUAUUUUGCUUCGGUUCCUUUUGCUUUUGCCAAUUCUCUUUGCUUCUUCUUCAUUUCUAGUUGUUAUUUUUGAUUCAAUUUGACAAUACAUGGAUCUUCCAUGUGAGUUUGGGUUUUGGUACUAGUCUUGGUGAGUUCUUGAACAUAGAACCUUGAUCAAAUUCUAUCAUAAAUUGCCUAUCUCAUAUCCAACUCAAGUUGAUUCCUAAGAAUGUUAAGAAUCAUUCAUAUUGUGCUAUUGGAAUCAUAUCAUGUGGUAUCAGAGUUGUUUCUUAACUUGUUUGCUGUUUUUUUUGUGUUUGUUGUUUUCAUUUGCAAAUGGUUGGCUAUUCAAGUGGUGAAUCUUACAAGUAGCACUCUCCUUCCAAAGCUUCAGUCCUUGGUGAAUUGCAUGAAGCUCAACGCACCAUUCGGCGUUUGGAAGAAAAAUUGCAAAAGAUUGAGGUGCAACAAGCUAGGCCAUCUCACUUUAUCAAUGAUGGGCAUCAUUCACAUAGACCUUCAUCAAGAGGUUCUUCAAAUGACUUUGGCCGUGCAGAAGACAAUAGGAGAAGGCGAACUCCACCUCAAUUCCAUGGACAUAGACAUCACAACCAAGGGGAGAGACAUCACCGUGGAGAUGGAUACUACCAAGAUGCAAAGGCUAGGCUACCUUCGGUCAAGCUUCCUUGUUUUAAUGGCUCUAGUGAUCCUAAUUUGUAUUUAGAUUGGGAGGCUAAGUGGAACAAAUAUUGAGAUCCUCNNNNNNNNNNNNNNNNNNNNNNNNNNNNNNNNNNNNNNNNNNNNNNNNNNNNNNNNNNNNNNNNNNNNNNNNNNNNNNNNNNNNNNNNNNNNNNNNNNNNNNNNNNNNNNNNNNNNNNNNNNNNNNNNNNNNNNNNNNNNNNNNNNNNNNNNNNNNNNNNNNNNNNNNNNNNNNNNNNNNNNNNNNNNNNNNNNNNNNNNNNNNNNNNNNNNNNNNNNNNNNNNNNNNNNNNNNNNNNNNNNNNNNNNNNNNNNNNNNNNNNNNNNNNNNNNNNNNNNNNNNNNNNNNNNNNNNNNNNNNNNNNNNNNNNNNNNNNNNNNNNNNNNNNNNNNNNNNNNNNNNNNNNNNNNNNNNNNNNNNNNNNNNNNNNNNNNNNNNNNNNNNNNNNNNNNNNNNNNNNNNNNNNNNNNNNNNNNNNNNNNNNNNNNNNNNNNNNNNNNNNNNNNNNNNNNNNNNNNNNNNNNNNNNNNNNNNNNNNNNNNNNNNNNNNNNNNNNNNNNNNNNNNNNNNNNNNNNNNNNNNNNNNNNNNNNNNNNNNNNNNNNNNNNNNNNNNNNNNNNNNNNNNNNNNNNNNNNNNNNNNNNNNNNNNNNNNNNNNNNNNNNNNNNNNNNNNNNNNNNNNNNNNNNNNNNNNNNNNNNNNNNNNNNNNNNNNNNNNNNNNNNNNNNNNNNNNNNNNNNNNNNNNNNNNNNNNNNNNNNNNNNNNNNNNNNNNNNNNNNNNNNNNNNNNNNNNNNNNNNNNNNNNNNNNNNNNNNNNNNNNNNNNNNNNNNNNNNNNNNNNNNNNNNNNNNNNNNNNNNNNNNNNNNNNNNNNNNNNNNNNNNNNNNNNNNNNNNNNNNNNNNNNNNNNNNNNNNNNNNNNNNNNNNNNNNNNNNNNNNNNNNNNNNNNNNNNNNNNNNNNNNNNNNNNNNNNNNNNNNNNNNNNNNNNNNNNNNNNNNNNNNNNNNNNNNNNNNNNNNNNNNNNNNNNNNNNNNNNNNNNNNNNNNNNNNNNNNNNNNNNNNNNNNNNNNNNNNNNNNNNNNNNNNNNNNNNNNNNNNNNNNNNNNNNNNNNNNNNNNNNNNNNNNNNNNNNNNNNNNNNNNNNNNNNNNNNNNNNNNNNNNNNNNNNNNNNNNNNNNNNNNNNNNNNNNNNNNNNNNNNNNNNNNNNNNNNNNNNNNNNNNNNNNNNNNNNNNNNNNNNNNNNNNNNNNNNNNNNNNNNNNNNNNNNNNNNNNNNNNNNNNNNNNNNNNNNNNNNNNNNNNNNNNNNNNNNNNNNNNNNNNNNNNNNNNNNNNNNNNNNNNNNNNNNNNNNNNNNNNNNNNNNNNNNNNNNNNNNNNNNNNNNNNNNNNNNNNNNNNNNNNNNNNNNNNNNNNNNNNNNNNNNNNNNNNNNNNNNNNNNNNNNNNNNNNNNNNNNNNNNNNNNNNNNNNNNNNNNNNNNNNNNNNNNNNNNNNNNNNNNNNNNNNNNNNNNNNNNNNNNNNNNNNNNNNNNNNNNNNNNNNNNNNNNNNNNNNNNNNNNNNNNNNNNNNNNNNNNNNNNNNNNNNNNNNNNNNNNNNNNNNNNNNNNNNNNNNNNNNNNNNNNNNNNNNNNNNNNNNNNNNNNNNNNNNNNNNNNNNNNNNNNNNNNNNNNNNNNNNNNNNNNNNNNNNNNNNNNNNNNNNNNNNNNNNNNNNNNNNNNNNNNNNNNNNNNNNNNNNNNNNNNNNNNNNNNNNNNNNNNNNNNNNNNNNNNNNNNNNNNNNNNNNNNNNNNNNNNNNNNNNNNNNNNNNNNNNNNNNNNNNNNNNNNNNNNNNNNNNNNNNNNNNNNNNNNNNNNNNNNNNNNNNNNNNNNNNNNNNNNNNNNNNNNNNNNNNNNNNNNNNNNNNNNNNNNNNNNNNNNNNNNNNNNNNNNNNNNNNNNNNNNNNNNNNNNNNNNNNNNNNNNNNNNNNNNNNNNNNNNNNNNNNNNNNNNNNNNNNNNNNNNNNNNNNNNNNNNNNNNNNNNNNNNNNNNNNNNNNNNNNNNNNNNNNNNNNNNNNNNNNNNNNNNNNNNNNNNNNNNNNNNNNNNNNNNNNNNNNNNNNNNNNNNNNNNNNNNNNNNNNNNNNNNNNNNNNNNNNNNNNNNNNNNNNNNNNNNNNNNNNNNNNNNNNNNNNNNNNNNNNNNNNNNNNNNNNNNNNNNNNNNNNNNNNNNNNNNNNNNNNNNNNNNNNNNNNNNNNNNNNNNNNNNNNNNNNNNNNNNNNNNNNNNNNNNNNNNNNNNNNNNNNNNNNNNNNNNNNNNNNNNNNNNNNNNNNNNNNNNNNNNNNNNNNNNNNNNNNNNNNNNNNNNNNNNNNNNNNNNNNNNNNNNNNNNNNNNNNNNNNNNNNNNNNNNNNNNNNNNNNNNNNNNNNNNNNNNNNNNNNNNNNNNNNNNNNNNNNNNNNNNNNNNNNNNNNNNNNNNNNNNNNNNNNNNNNNNNNNNNNNNNNNNNNNNNNNNNNNNNNNNNNNNNNNNNNNNNNNNNNNNNNNNNNNNNNNNNNNNNNNNNNNNNNNNNNNNNNNNNNNNNNNNNNNNNNNNNNNNNNNNNNNNNNNNNNNNNNNNNNNNNNNNNNNNNNNNNNNNNNNNNNNNNNNNNNNNNNNNNNNNNNNNNNNNNNNNNNNNNNNNNNNNNNNNNNNNNNNNNNNNNNNNNNNNNNNNNNNNNNNNNNNNNNNNNNNNNNNNNNNNNNNNNNNNNNNNNNNNNNNNNNNNNNNNNNNNNNNNNNNNNNNNNNNNNNNNNNNNNNNNNNNNNNNNNNNNNNNNNNNNNNNNNNNNNNNNNNNNNNNNNNNNNNNNNNNNNNNNNNNNNNNNNNNNNNNNNNNNNNNNNNNNNNNNNNNNNNNNNNNNNNNNNNNNNNNNNNNNNNNNNNNNNNNNNNNNNNNNNNNNNNNNNNNNNNNNNNNNNNNNNNNNNNNNNNNNNNNNNNNNNNNNNNNNNNNNNNNNNNNNNNNNNNNNNNNNNNNNNNNNNNNNNNNNNNNNNNNNNNNNNNNNNNNNNNNNNNNNNNNNNNNNNNNNNNNNNNNNNNNNNNNNNNNNNNNNNNNNNNNNNNNNNNNNNNNNNNNNNNNNNNNNNNNNNNNNNNNNNNNNNNNNNNNNNNNNNNNNNNNNNNNNNNNNNNNNNNNNNNNNNNNNNNNNNNNNNNNNNNNNNNNNNNNNNNNNNNNNNNNNNNNNNNNNNNNNNNNNNNNNNNNNNNNNNNNNNNNNNNNNNNNNNNNNNNNNNNNNNNNNNNNNNNNNNNNNNNNNNNNNNNNNNNNNNNNNNNNNNNNNNNNNNNNNNNNNNNNNNNNNNNNNNNNNNNNNNNNNNNNNNNNNNNNNNNNNNNNNNNNNNNNNNNNNNNNNNNNNNNNNNNNNNNNNNNNNNNNNNNNNNNNNNNNNNNNNNNNNNNNNNNNNNNNNNNNNNNNNNNNNNNNNNNNNNNNNNNNNNNNNNNNNNNNNNNNNNNNNNNNNNNNNNNNNNNNNNNNNNNNNNNNNNNNNNNNNNNNNNNNNNNNNNNNNNNNNNNNNNNNNNNNNNNNNNNNNNNNNNNNNNNNNNNNNNNNNNNNNNNNNNNNNNNNNNNNNNNNNNNNNNNNNNNNNNNNNNNNNNNNNNNNNNNNNNNNNNNNNNNNNNNNNNNNNNNNNNNNNNNNNNNNNNNNNNNNNNNNNNNNNNNNNNNNNNNNNNNNNNNNNNNNNNNNNNNNNNNNNNNNNNNNNNNNNNNNNNNNNNNNNNNNNNNNNNNNNNNNNNNNNNNNNNNNNNNNNNNNNNNNNNNNNNNNNNNNNNNNNNNNNNNNNNNNNNNNNNNNNNNNNNNNNNNNNNNNNNNNNNNNNNNNNNNNNNNNNNNNNNNNNNNNNNNNNNNNNNNNNNNNNNNNNNNNNNNNNNNNNNNNNNNNNNNNNNNNNNNNNNNNNNNNNNNNNNNNNNNNNNNNNNNNNNNNNNNNNNNNNNNNNNNNNNNNNNNNNNNNNNNNNNNNNNNNNNNNNNNNNNNNNNNNNNNNNNNNNNNNNNNNNNNNNNNNNNNNNNNNNNNNNNNNNNNNNNNNNNNNNNNNNNNNNNNNNNNNNNNNNNNNNNNNNNNNNNNNNNNNNNNNNNNNNNNNNNNNNNNNNNNNNNNNNNNNNNNNNNNNNNNNNNNNNNNNNNNNNNNNNNNNNNNNNNNNNNNNNNNNNNNNNNNNNNNNNNNNNNNNNNNNNNNNNNNNNNNNNNNNNNNNNNNNNNNNNNNNNNNNNNNNNNNNNNNNNNNNNNNNNNNNNNNNNNNNNNNNNNNNNNNNNNNNNNNNNNNNNNNNNNNNNNNNNNNNNNNNNNNNNNNNNNNNNNNNNNNNNNNNNNNNNNNNNNNNNNNNNNNNNNNNNNNNNNNNNNNNNNNNNNNNNNNNNNNNNNNNNNNNNNNNNNNNNNNNNNNNNNNNNNNNNNNNNNNNNNNNNNNNNNNNNNNNNNNNNNNNNNNNNNNNNNNNNNNNNNNNNNNNNNNNNNNNNNNNNNNNNNNNNNNNNNNNNNNNNNNNNNNNNNNNNNNNNNNNNNNNNNNNNNNNNNNNNNNNNNNNNNNNNNNNNNNNNNNNNNNNNNNNNNNNNNNNNNNNNNNNNNNNNNNNNNNNNNNNNNNNNNNNNNNNNNNNNNNNNNNNNNNNNNNNNNNNNNNNNNNNNNNNNNNNNNNNNNNNNNNNNNNNNNNNNNNNNNNNNNGGUUUACAUAUUAGGGUUUUAGGGUUAAUGAUUUGAGGUUUAUGAUUUUAAAUUUAAGAUUUUUAGAUUUACAGCUUUUACUAUUUAUGCUUUAUGAGUUAUGAUUUACAUUUACAUGUCAUUUAGGGUUACAUUAGGGUAUUAGAGUUUAUGCUUUAUGUUUUACAAGUUUUAGGAUGUAGGUUUACUGUUCAUAGUUUUGAUAUUAAGGUUUGUAGGUUUACGACUUAGGUUUAGGAUUUCCAUAUUAGGGUUUAGGUGUGAUGUUUUCAGUUACAAUAUAUCUUUUACUAUGUAUGGAAAACCAAAAAAGAUAUCAUUUUUAUGCUAUGGAACAAAGAAAUCGUAAAUGAGAUCAACAUAAUCCACAUAACAAAAGCAAUAAUCACCUGGAGAAGGAGAAAGCCGAAAUGAAAUGAAGAAGGCAGAAAUGAAGAACCAUACAGGAAACCUAGAGAAGAAGAAACCAAAAGGCAACGAAAAAGAAAGAGAUACCGGGGAAGUUGAGAAAUAGGAGAGAGAGAAACGUUGAAAGUAUAUAAAGAAGGGAAAUAUUUAAAAAAAAUGGGGUUUUGCACACGUGUAAGUUCUACAGAGUGCCACUUGUCACUCCCAGAAUGAGUUUCAACUUGCUAUUUUUAGUUAAAAUUUUAAAUUUGUUCUUUUAGAAUUUUUUUAAACGUGCCUUCUAUUUAUAUUAUAGAUAGAUUUGAUUACCUUGUAACAAGCUUAUCGAUAAUUUUAACAGUAAAUCAUUUACAAGUUUCUUCAAAAGUAUUUCAACAAGGUUUAUUACGUUGUUUUUUUUUAUUUAGUUGUUUUAAAAAAAUCUCUUUAAAAUUUAGAAAAUCGAUAUCUUUAAAAUAAUUUUAUAAAAUUAAUAAACGAAAUUCUCUAAUUAUAAUUUUCAAAUCAAGUGGGAAUGUUCCGAUAUAAUAUGUUUUUUUAUAAUUCCUAUAUAAGCAUAAACAUUUGUUAAAUUAAAACUCUUUAAGGUUAAUAGUCGAAAUAAAAAGAAUUUACAAAAAAAAAAUUUUGAUAUAUAAAUUUCCUCGAUCAAAAUAUCGUCUAAAACACGCAGUAACGUGAAAGAAAAAGAAUCAAGAUUAUUAGGUUAACAAUAUUUAGGUAAGUCAACUGCUCUUUAAUCGCACUUUAAGAUUUUAUUAUUAUUUGAACUUUGAAAAUCUCAUUUUAAACACCAACAUUUUUUAAUUGGAUAAAGCAAAUAUAAUAUAUAAUUAGUAGUGCCUUUAGAUUAAUAAUAAUAAUAAUAAAUUGAUAACUAGAGGCUCUUCUAUCAAACGGAACCAUGACUAUAAAAUGGUGUCCCAAUUGCCCUUAUUAGUUAUCACCUUUUUGGAAAAUUAUUACAAUUAAUUAAUCUCAUUCUACAAAUCCAAAAUGAAGUUGAGAAGAAUGUGUGUAUUAUCAUUAUUAUUAUAAUUGUGACCGAGUAAGACAUUACUCAUCUUUCCACUAGGAAGUUCCCAGAAAUCAUGAUUAUUAGCACAUCAUCACAUGGACAAAAGUAUGUGGGAAGAAAAGCAAAUUCUUGUGUUUGUUUUUAUAUUACCUUUUUUGAAAUUGAAACAGAGAGAGAGAGGGAGAAGUGAAAGGUGCAGAAGUGAGCAAUCAGUGUCGGUGAAGAUCCGAUUGCGUAAGGGUAAGCUUCGUCAUCCUUUUGAGUGUGAUCAACGUGGCAAACUUAAUGCUUUCUUGUGGUUAGGUCAUUAUCAUAAGUGUGCUGAAAAAUAACUCGGUAUAAUUGCAAAGAUAUAAUAUUAUUAUGGACAAUGAUUUUUAAAUUGAACUUAUUACCCAACCAUUAAGGACCUAUUUGCAUUAACUCUUUAUUUUAAAAAAAAAUAUUUGGCAUUUUCUAUGAAAUUAACUCAAGUUUAUGUAUUUUUUACAUCGAUUAUAAAUAUAAUUAAUGUAAAAAGGUUUUUUUUCAAAUAAUAUAACAUGUCGGCUGGUGAGACAAUUGAUAUAAUAUUGUUAGAGUUGAUUCUGGUCCUAAUUUCACUAGUCCUCCCUCAAUCACUUUAAUAGUUUAGUUCUCAUCCCGGUGUUCACUCACACACAUGAACGUAUUUUCUCACAACACAAAUAUUGGUUGGAUAGAAGUAAAAUUGUUUAUUAUUUAUUCAAAGCACCCCUUGAAGGAGUUAUAAACACACGUUUGGAUACAACAUAGUUGUUCUGUUUGAAAACAUAACCAAACCUAAUAACUAACUUUGUUUUAAAAGAGUUAUAUAACAAAUAUCUCCCAUCAACAAGGACUUUACAACAAGGCCUGACCCCCACCCAUUGAAAGUCUGGAAAUUUUUGUUGCAUUUCAGUAAGGUUUUUCCAUACUGCAUCUUCUGGAUUUGUCUCAGUCCACUGCACCAACACUUCAAUUAUAGAUUUAUUGUUUUGUUUCUUCAUUCUAUGAGCUACAAUCACUAAUAGUUGAGGAACAAAAUCCAUCAUUGCCAACAAAAGGUAAAUUUGUAGAUAGUGGUUUAUCUCCAUGUGAUGGUUUGAGUAAGGAAACAUGGAAAACAUGAUGAAUAUUAGACAGUAGGUAAAUCUAGUUGAUAAGCCACAUUGUCAAUCCUUUCUAACACUUUGUAGGGACCGCAUAUAGGGAAACUAACUUGUGUAAAUGUGUAUUGGAUAAAGUUGUUUGCCUGUAUAGUUGAAUCUUUAAAAAAACCAAAUCUUCAACCUUGUACUGCUUGUCAGUUCUCUUUAAAUCCGCAUAAAACAUCAUAUGUUGUUGUGCCUUAACCAAAUUUGCUUGUAAUACCUGAUUAAUUUCAUCUCAUGUAUUUAUAAUAUAGGCUACCGCUUCUAUUAAUCAGUUUGUAUUUUGUAUAGUAGUGGGAAUAGAAGGAGGAUAGCCAUAAAGAGCUUCAAAUGGAGUCAAUUGUAUAGUUGUAUGAAAUUUGGGGUUGUACCACAAUUCCGCAAAAGGUAAAUACUUAGUCCACUUGGAAGAAGAGUCCCUGGAAACACAACGUAGAUAAGCCUUGAUGGAUUUGUUUACAACCUUUGUUUGACCAUUUGUCUGUGGAUGAAAAUUCGUUGAUCGCAGCAGCUUGACACCAUUCUUGUGCAUCAACUCAGUCCAAAAGUGACUCAUGAAAGUAGAGUCCCUAUCCGAUAUAAUGUCAUGUGGUUAGCCAUGAAGCUUGACGAUAUUGUCCAUGAAAAUGGUUGCCACCUUAGCCGCUCCAAAAGCAUUUGCAAGCAGCAAAAAAUGAUUAAAUGGUGCAUAACAACAAAAAUCACAGUCAUAGAACAAGAUACAGGCAGACCAACAAUAAAGUCCAUGGAUAUAGAUUUUCAGGGUCUAUCAGGAAUAUAUAAUAGUUGUAACAUAGCUGACAAUUUUUUACAUAUAUGACAAUUUUGGACCCACUUUUUGACCACUUUCGGCAUACCCAUCCAAUAAAAGUGAUCUUUAAUUCUUCUAUAAGUCAUCUCAUAUCCUGAAUGACCUCCGAUUGCUGAAUCAUGAAAGGGUUGGAGAAUUUGUGUUCGCAAUUUUGCAUUGUUUCCAACCACUAACUUAGCUUUUCUUCUCAAUACAUCAUUCUCAAAAGUAUAAUAUUUACGGGGAUUUUGAUUCAUGCGAAUACUAUCAAUAAAUUUUUGUAAUUUAUGAUCCACUCUGCAAGAAUCGUUAACUCUCUGAAUUAAUUCAGAAGUUAUUACAAACACUGAAGCUGACUUAAAUUGGGUAGGGUUUCGGGACAACACAUUUGUUACCACAUUGUCUUUACCUUUUUUGUAUUUAAUGCGAAAAUCCAAACGCAUUAGCUUUUCCAAACCCCAAUUUUGUAAAAUUGUAGUAGGUGGUUACUCCAACAAAUGCUUCAAAGCCUUUUGAUUUGUUUUUAUUGAUCUAAAAAUUAAUGUUGUCACUUUUUAGUGCAAAUGGAAUAACAAAAUUUCUUUUCCAUAUGCAGAUAACAAUUGAUAUUUAGGUCUCAUUGUCUUACUUCAUUAGGCAAUAGGGUGGUUAGGUUGCAUGAGCACCGCUCCAAUCCCUAUUCCUGAAGCAUCAAUUUCAAUAGUAAAACAUUGAGAAAAAUCUGGUAAUAUUAAAACUGGAGCAGUGGUUAAUGCCUUUUUUAACUUGUGAAAGGCUUUAUCAGCUCCGACACCCUGAUAAGUGUCAUAUUUCAAUAAUAUUUCAUAUUAAAAGAUAGGCAUUUAUGGAUGUUUAUUCAUAAAAUAUCUAUAAUUCAACCCCUAAUUUAGGAAUUUAAACUUUUGUACAUAUUUUGUGAUUAUAAUAUGAAUAGGAAUGAUUUAUUCACAAAUUUGUGUUAAUUUCAGGAUUCUAAAGAAAAAUGGAGAUCAAAGGGCUAAAGGAGAAUAUACAAGGUGAAAAGGGAAACAUGGAACAUUGGAAGCUAGAUCAAAACUCGACCAAACUCACCCAAGCAAGAACACUCCAAAGAAACUCGCCCAAGGCACACCUAGGUGAGCACUGCGGUGAAGUUCGGCAAGAUGUCACUUAGUCCAACCCAACUAGGUUAAAUAGGAGGCGUGAGGCAUAACCCUGAACAUCAUUGGGAGAAUAAAAAGAGAUAGAAAACCCUAGAGGAGGCAUUCGUCAAGGAGAAACAUCCUGUAUCUUCUUUUCUUGCUAUCCAUGCUUGUAAUGGUCAACAUUAGUGGUUAAUUCUUCCCUUUGGGAUUUGGAGUAAUUUUUUCAAUAUCUUAUGUAUUGAGGUGAUAUUUAUCUAUAAUAUUUCAGUUCUUGAUUGAUGAUUCAUAUUAUCAUUUUAUUCUCAAAGCUUGAAUUAUUCAUGAUUUUGAUCCUUAAAUUUGGCUGGAAAGUACUUUUAAGAAUUUGGCCUAAAUGAUGAUGUUUAACAUAUUUAAAUGCUAGGAAUAGAUUUAAAAUUUUAACUUCUUUACAACAUAUGUUCGUAAUGAUAAGGAUUUUUUUUAUAAAUAUGCGAAAAAUCGAUAUUUAGGAGACUCUCUUAAAAAAUUUGUAUACGUAGAAUUGAUAUGAAUGAUUUUUAUAUGUGCAUCAAUAUCAAUCAAGACCGAAUAUUAUAAUCUUUUGUACAAAUACAGACGAGUGUGAAGGAUGAACCCCAAGCCUACUUUUCCCAAUUGAAUCACACAAAUAUUUUACUUUGCUUUAUUUAAAUUCUUGCAAAUUCAUCAUACACAACAAUUUUUCCAACCUUUUACAUAUUGUUUUCUAUUUAGUGAAUAUUAUACUUGAGAAUUCAACUGUUCCUUAUGGGUUUGCUAUUUGUCCUCAGGGACAAAUUUAUUACUUCCGGCACGGUACACUUGUUGUAAAAUAGUCAUCAUGUUUUUGGUCCCGUUGUCGGGGAACAAUUUUAAUUCUAGAGUACGAAUUCCUAUAUAUUGUGAAUAUUUUAAUUAUUUUUUGUUUAUUAUUUUUAAUUUUGUUUUAUUCUAUUUUAUUUUCAUAUUUGAUUUCAAUUUUAAUUUUAAAAGUUUAUUUUUUAUUGGUAUUUACGCCUUGUGCUAAUCCUUGAGUGAGUUGUCUUGUAUGAUAUUAAGAGGUCAGGUUUCCAAACACCAAUUACAAUUUGAAUCAAAAAUUUAAAAGGAAACUCAGAAGAACAGGGUAAAAAAGAGAAAAGAAAAACAGGGAGAAAUUAGAGAACAAUCCUUAACUACUUCUUCCCUUCCUAUUGAAUUUAUUUAAGAAAGCAUUAUGGUUGAAGAGCAACCACCACAGCCUACAAGAACACUUGGAGAUUAUGCUAUGUUGUAGCGGCCAAGGCAUUUUUCUAGUAUUGCAAUACCUGCUACCCUCAAGACCUGGGAGAUGAAACCUGCAUUCCUCAAUGUGAUCAAUACCCAUCAAUUUACAGCAAUGAAUCAUGAGGAUCCAUAUACACAUUUGUCUAUAUUCUAUGAAUUGGUGGGAACAAUGAGAUUUCAAUCAGGUGAUAUUGAAAUUGUUUAUUAGUGUUUGUUUCCUUUCUCAUUGGCAGUAAAAGCUAAAGAAUGGCUCAAAUCACACUCGAAUCAGAGCCUUAACAUCAAAGUUAAGUUUGAUAUUUCUAUGUUCAGACAAGGGUGAGAUGAAGCUUUCUGUGAAACAUGGGAGAGAUUCUAAGUGUUGUUAGAAAAUGCCCAAAUUAUGGGUUUGAAUACAUUGCUCAAUUGAGUAUUUUCCAUAAUGGUCCCAUAUCUGAUACCAAAAUGCUUCUAGAAGCUGCAGCUGGUGACACAUUAAUGGUUCUUGAUGUAGAAUAGGAAACAAAGGUUGUUGAUGCAUUGGCAUCAACAAAUUAUCAAGCUCAACAUAAUAGACAAGGUAUUUAGAAGAAAGGGUAGUUAGAGCUGAAUACUUCAGAUGCAAUUCUGGCUUAGAAUAAAAUUCUGACCUAAUAGUUUGAGGCAUUAAUUGUAGAAAUGGUUAAAUGGUCACAACAAUUACAGGUUAUGCAUUCUUCUUAGAGUCAGAAUCAACAAUUAAGGUGUGAUUUAUGCGAAGGUGAUCAUCCUAAUAUCCUCAUCCUCCUUCGAGAAAAGAUAAAAAGAGGAAAUUUUCAUGAAUUAAACAAUUUUUGGAUAAUUUGCAUCUUGAUAUUCCUUUUUCAGAGGCUUCGGAGCAAAUGCCAACUUAUGAAGAAUUUAUGAAGGAGUUGGAAACAAAAAAGAGAAGAUUCAUUGAUGAAAAGAAUAUAGAGCUAGAGGCUGGAUACAAUACUAUCAUUCAGAAAAACUUGCCCCUAAAAUCUAAAGAUCCAAGAAGUUUUACUACCUAGUAGCCAUAGGUGUUUUAUCUAUGCAUAAAAUUUUGUUGGAUUUAGGGGAAAGUAAAUAUGUAAUACCUUUGGGUAUGCUGAAGAAAAUAGACAAUUUGUAGAAUAAACCCACCAGGAUGACAUUACAGUUAAAUGAUAGAGCAAUGAAGUAUUUGUAUGGUUUUGUUGAAGUUGUUCUUAUUCAAGUGGAUAUAUUCAUAUUUCAUGUGAAUUUUGUUGUGAUGGACAUAGAAGAAGACAAGGGGGGUUCUUAUGAUACUUGGCAGGUCUUUCAUGAAAACAGUUGGAGUUGUUAUCGAUAUUAAUGAGGUAAAGCUAAAAGUAAGAGCUCAAAAUGAUGAGGUAACUUUUGAUAUUUUUUAUGGUUUAGAAAUUUCUAAUACAGGGAAAGAUUGCUUACAAAUAGAUGCAGCAAAGGAAGUUUUUCUUGAAACUAAAGAGCAGUUGGACCUUUCAAAUGUAUUUGACAAACUUAUACAUCAUUGUAUUUCAACAGCAGAGGAAAAGAAAAAAGAGCUUGUACCAGAUUUCGUAAAACAAUAAACUCCCUAAUAAAGGGCCAUCUACGGCAGGUACAAAAGAGGAAGAUCAAGUUCCACAAGAGGCAAUUAUAGUGAAAUAUGAACUUAGACAUAGGCAACCAAUAAUGCUUAGAAGUUGAUAAAGACUUGGGAUAUAGAGCAUCCCCUGACCAAGCUCAACCUUUCAGAAGGAUGACCCGGAGCAUGACACAGAAUCCAGGGCUAAGUUAGAACCAUCCACUAACCAGUGUCUCAAAGCCUAUCAUUCCUCAGAUGAUGACUAGGAGCAGAGCCCAUGUGAUGGGAGUUGAGAACUAAUUAGUUUUUUUAUUUGUAAUUUUAGUAGAUUAGGUUCACAUAGCUAGAAUAGGGUGUGCUUAGCAUUUGGGCUUGUGCCAAACCCAUUUUCUCUUCAUGAGCACCUAGGUUUAGGUCUUUGGUAUCCCUAGCUUCUAGAAGUUAUGCUUAAGGGCAAACUUAACUACAGUGAAUGUUAGGGCUGCCCGUCCUCCAUUCCUUUUCUACCCCUCCCUCAUCUUGUUCUCCAAAUCACUCCUCCCUAUAUAAAAAGUGUCCUUCCCCAUGUAAUCACACAUUGAAUUUUGAAAUAGAAAAGAAACUCUUUCAGAGUAUUCAGUAAGCCGAGUUUCUUAUCCUUGAGUCUUAUCUUGAGUGAACAACACCUCAAGUGGGGGCUCUUCACCACUUAUCUUGGAGUAGGCCAUCCACAAAGUGGAGUGAUUCAUUGCGUCACUCCAUACAGUUGCGGGUUGCGCAAUCACCCGGGGAGUCGUGAAGCAGAGGACCGCGAGUGAUGGAAGAGGCCCAAGCACAAGCCCACAUGCAAGCCCACCAAAGGGUAUAUUUGGGCCAACCAUAGAGUUAUGGCCAAGAGGAUCCAAGAAGACAUUCUUUUACAUGUUCAAAUGCCAUAAACUCUAGUGUAGAGUAGACUUUAAUUUCUUGUCAAAAUUAGCAUAGGAACUUUANNNNNNNNNNNNNNNNNNNNNNNNNNNNNNNNNNNNNNNNNNNNNNNNNNNNNNNNNNNNNNNNNNNNNNNNNNNNNNNNNNNNNNNNNNNNNNNNNNNNCCUUCACCUUCCUUGGGCUGGCCGAACCUCCCUAUGUUCAUACUAAUCAUGCACCUUCAAGAUCAACAUCACUCUUAGGAGGAUCUUGCACACACACCUCCAUAGCUUCCGCACAUUUUCUUACAUGAUUCAAGAAGACCUUCAUGAAAAUGCCAUCAUUUGGUAUCAUGAGCUUGGGUUCUUCAAGAUGAGUUGCUUUUGGUCUUUUCAUUUCUAGUUCUUCUUUAUUUCAUGUUGUUCAUCUUAUUUCCAUAAUUGUCUUGCUGUUUUUUGCAUUUUAAUUUGUUUUGGUGUGCUUUGUAGAAGAUCCAACCGAAGCACUUUUGUUCAAUUGAUCUUGAACAAUUUCUUGUGCAAUUUGUGAUAGGAUUCCAUACACCUUUGAGUUGCUGUUUUCUUUUAGGCUUUUGAGUCUUUAUUGCUUUCUUAUUUGGUUCAUACUAUGCUUUUGAGUCUUUAAUUUCUGAAUCUUAUAUGUUUUGUCAAGUCAUGUUCAUCCACAAUGUCAACAAUUCUUAGUAGUCCUUUAUUUGGCUUGAUUGUUUCUUGAUUUUGGGUAUCUUUAAUUGCUUUGAAUCUGCUGUUCUUUGAUCUUUUGGUGCCUUUUUAAUUUUAGUUUGAGUUCACAUUGUGUUUAGAUCCUACACAAUUCUAUUUCACAAAUUCCAUUGUGUUUAAAUUUUGGUAUCUUGCUGUUUUUUGUUUCCAGUUUCCAGAAUCCCCUGUUUCACAUUUUCUGUGCUGGCUGUUUUGUUCCAGAAAAAUAUUUUCACUCAUAGGAAAAUUUUUGAUUCUCUGGAAUAUGCAAUUUUUAAGUGUUAUAGAAAGGACAAAAAAAGAAUUAGUUCAAAAGAAUCAACAGAAAAAAAAAAUGAUAAAUAUUUUAAAAUCAGUGUGCAAAUCUGAGGCGCUACUGCUGGCGUAACUGAACACCAAAAUUGCAAAAUUUAUUACAAAAAAUUGGUGCAUGCGUUUUGAGUGAUUCCAAAGCCAGAUUUUAGCUAAGAUCUUGAAUAUCUUGCAUAUCAAAUUUCAGAAUCAUAUCUUAAAAACACAGCUCAGCAUAAAUUGGGGAAAAACACGUUUCUGGCCCACAACAUUUUCCACUGGUGCUGUUUUUUUUAUUUGGUCAUCUAAUUCUAGUGCCAUUCUUAGGAUUCUUUUGUGUGCCUACCUUUAUUUUGGUACCUUUUAUUUGCUUGCUUAAUAUUUCUUGGACCUCUUUCUAGUUGUCAUAAUCUAACUCCUUUUGGUGGUACUGUUUUAUUCAAUUAAAUUGUUUCUUGCUUUUGUUCUUUGACCUCUAAUUUGGUGCUGGAAUUUAUUUCUCCUUUGGUGCUUAAAUGAAUGGAAACUUGACUUGGGUAAGGUCUAGUCUUUUGAUAGGUGCUGGAAUUGGAGAAUUAAAACCUUCAUUCUAAGGGAAAACAAAGCCAAGGCCGAAACAAACAUUCUUGAAAAACACUAGAAACACUUGGAGGAUCAACAAGCAAAGACAACAAGGAAGUGCAUUUAGCAAAAAGAGGAUCAACAAAGGGAGUUUUUCUUAAUUUCCUUACAACUUAAUUUGUGUUAAUUACCUCUUAAUUACGUUUUAGACGGUGAGUGUGUCUUCAAGGGCUCCAAGUGUCCAAGAAGCCUCACCUAGGGCCGACUAGUAUAGAAUUCUUAAUUAGCAAUUGUUAAUUGUUUGUAAUUGCCUUUUCUUUUGCUUAGUUAGUAACGCUUUGUAUGUGUGGUUGUUUUAAGCUUUGUUAAAACCGUCUAGCUUUGUUAAUUAGUUAGCAUACAUUGGUUUCUUGCAUUGAAAAAAAAAAUUGAUUUCUCAACUUAAUUGUGUUCUAAGUAGUUUACUAAGAGAAAGCUUUGUGUGAAGACAUUGGGGGAUAGUUUUUGGCUAAGGCAAAGGCUUGGUAUUUAAGUAGUCUUUUGUGACUCACCUCCCUUACCUGGAAAAAUACCUUCUUUGACUUUCCUAAGUUUUCUCAAGGUAAAAUACUUGUAUACACAAAGCUUUAGCCAUGUCUUCUUCUUCUCAUUCUACAAAGUCUAUUGGAAGUGAAUUAAAAUCUUUAAAAACUCUUUUGAAAGAAGUUUCACAAACUGUGCAAUCAAUUGCAUAUAGACAAUUGGAGAGUGAGACUAAACUUAAUGUUUUGACUAAAGCAAAGGAUGAGAAGUCUCACAUUCUAAAAAAAUUACCUUCUCAUGCAUAUAUCUCUAAAGAUCAUGAUUCUUUUGGGGAGGGAAGCAUUAGAGUAAAUGAUUAUUAUCAAGCACCCCCUAGAAGACAUAGAGGAGAUAGAAAAGAACAAGAAAACCCAAGAGAGGUUAGGGUAUUGGUUGAACAAUAAUUGAAAGAUGUUAAUAAAUUGGAUGGUUGAUUAAGUUCAAAUUGCUCAUUACAUUCAUUUUUAGGAGUGUCCAUCAAGUAUUUGAUAAAACAAGAGUGCAACUGCAACUUCAACAAUAUGAUAUAUUUGUAAAUUGGUUGUAGAGAAGAGAUUUAGUGAAACUGGCAUAACCACUAAGUAUAUAUGAUCCAGAGGUAGUCUAUGAAUUUUGUGCUAAUGCUUGGACAGGAGAAGAAGGGACUCAGGAGAUGAGGUCCAGAGUUAGAGGAAAAUGAGUACUUUUUGAUAGACUUUAUCAGUGCUUUUCUAGGGGAUCCAUUAGAACUAAGAGGUGAUGAUGACUGCACUUAUCACCUGUUGAGUGUCAAAACCUAUGGUAUUAAUGAUGAUGUCGUAGCUAAAGAAAUUUGUUUAGCUAAUCAUUCCUAUCAAGUAGGACCAGCUACGAAACCAUGCAGAAUAUUACGAAACAAAUAUGAAGACUUUAUCUUAAGUCUGGAUAGUGUUCAUGUUGGCACACAUUAUGCCCAUUAGUCAUGUGUCAGACUUGAAUAUUCUCACGUGUCAUCUUCUCUAUUGCCUCUCGAAAGAUGAUUAUUCUAUUGAUGUAGCAAAAAUUAUUUUUUAUUAGAUAUAUAAAUUUUUUAUAUUAGAAGUAAAUUAGAAUAAUCAUAUGGCGAAAGGUUCCUUAGAGUUCCAUGCUUCAAUUAUUCCUCUCUAUGCAACUCAUGGGGUUGAGGUAAACCCCACAAUAAAAUUAGACCAACCAUUAAUCUGAAAUUUAUUGAGCAUAAUUGUAAUAAUACAUAGGAAUAUCCUCCACAAGUUGGUGAUGCUCCUAUCCAUCAUUCACCAAUCCACCAACCUGGCUUAACAUUUUCUAUAGAGGCCCUAAUGUUAGAGCAGAUGGCAGUUCUCCAUACUACUAUGGAGAGAAUGCAAUUAGACCAAAGAGACACAUGGGAGCAGAUGCAAAUGGACUGAAGAGCCACAUGGGAACAUGUGCAAAUGAAACAAAGUGUUAGUAAUAGAGGAAUGAUGCAUCUGCAUCGAGUAGCUUACAACAUCUUUCCUCAAGGGCAACCCAAUCCUUGUAUGCCUCCAGAUCAGUUUCGAGCUUAUAUAGCAUAGCCUGGGACAAGUACCACUUUUCCAGGGGGGUAGGUCAAGUAGAUGAAGCAGACUAUCUACGGCUGUAGAUAAGGAAUUUAAUAUAGAGUUGGAUGAAUGGCUAAGACGAGAAGAUUGAGCAUAAAAGUAAAACAAAAAAUAUGGUUUUAUAUUUCUAGUUAUUUCUUUUCAGUUGUUUAAAUUGCUUAUAUUUUCAAUUGUUUAUUUUGUUUGCUUAUUUUGUUAUUUCCUUUCAAUUAUUUAAUUUGCUUAAAUUUUUAUUGUGAGUCUUUUUCAAUUUUAAUUUAAUUGUUGAGUUAUUUCUAGUUUAAUUUUAUUUUUAAAUAAUAUCACAAGAACUGCAGUAAUAAUUUGAAUUUUGCAAAAAGUAUUAAUCAGACUUUGUGUUUAAAUAUUAGAACAAUUAAAUGAAUUAGACACGGUUUGGAAAAGAAAAUGUGUUGAAUCUAUAUUCAAAUAUGGUUGAAAUUAUGAUACAUGAAAAUUUAAUUGGAUGAUUAAUUGGAAUAGAGAAUGAGAGACAAUAAGGAAUUAGACUAAUUAAGCCAAGUGAAUGUGUGAAUCUUAAACAGUUUGAGAGUUUCAUUGAUGAAUUAACAGUUGGAAUUGAUUAAUUUGUGUUACAUCAUAAAAGAGCAUGAAAAUGAUUAAGGCAUUUGUGUUAAAUAGAAACCGAGAGCCAAAUAGUCAACCUUUAUGUAAAUUGAAUUCAUUUUUGUUGAUAACCCUUUUAAGCCAAGAAUUUUUGUUAUUAUUAUUGCACCCUGAAAGUUACUGAUAUUUUCCUACUCAUUAGAAUGUUUAAGGUAGGAGAACAUAGAUGCAAUAUAUAGAAAAGGGAAUGGUUGAAUUUAGUUGUUUUUAAGUUUAAAUAAUUCAGUUGGUUGAAAAUAGGUAUAAUUUAUUCCUAUUAUUGAAAAAAAAAAUCAUGUUGAAUUCAUCAAAAAGUAAAAAGAAAAUGAGGAAAAUUGUUGAAUUUAAAGAAAAUGGUGAUUGGAUAGCAGAUAUGUACUAUAACAUGAUUGUAGGUAUGUUCUUCUUUUAAAUGUGCAUUUUUUAUCUUAAAAAAAUAUUUUUUGGAAGUUCAACCUCAUUAUAACCCUGUAAAAGACCUUAAGAUUCAUGUUUCUAAUAUGAUUGUGAUAUGGAAAUGAAAUGAAAAAGGAACUGUGAUUUGUUAGGAUUGAAUGAAAAUAGAGAGAAACACUUACCUGUGAGAAUAUGAGAAGAGAUUCCUUGAUGAAUUUUCAUUUUUAUUGUUUUAGUUCGAUCCUGGAAGUUUAUUGUGUCUAUAUUUUGCUCUAUUUGAAAUUGGAAGCAUCAUAAGUUUCUAAUUUAAGUUGUUGUUUAGUAAAUAAAGCUAUUUUGAUAUUUGAAUUCAAAUAUGAUUUAUUUAUAUUCAUUUACUUUGCUUGAGGACAAGCAAGAUUCUAGGUUCGGGGGAGAUGAUAAAUGUCAUAAUUAAGUAAUAUUUCAUAUUAAAAUAUAAACAUUUAUGGAUGUUUAUUGAUAAAAUAGCUAUAGUUAAAUCCCUAGUUUACAUAUUUUGUGAUUAUAAUAUAAAUAAGAGUGAUUUAUUUCCAAAUUUGUGUUAAUUUCAGGAAUCUAGGGGAAAAUGAAGAUGAAAAGGGAAAGUUGGAACAUUGGAAACUCGCUCAAAACUUGCCCAAGAAAGAUCACUCCAUAGGAACUCACCCAAGACUCGUCCAAGGCUCGCCCAAGAAAGUUCACUCUAGUGAAGUUGGGUUUUUUCUCGUCAAACUCACCCAAGCAAGUAAUGACUCGCUUAGGCUAGAUGUCACUUAGCCCAAGGCCAACUAGGUUAAAUAAGAGGCGUGAGGCAUAACCCUAGUCAUCAUUAGGAGAAUAGAAAGAGAUACAAAACCCUAAAGGAGGCAGUCGUCAAGGACAAACAUUCUGGAUAUUGUUUUCUUGCUUUCCAUGCCUGAAAUGGCCAACAUAAGUGGCUAAUUCUCUCAUUUGAGACUGAGAGUAAUCUUAUCAAACUCUUAUGUAUUGAGGUGAUAUUUAUCUAUAAUAUUUCAGAUCUUGAUUGAUGAUUGUUAUUAUCAUUUUAUGCUCAAAGCUUGAAUUAUUCAUGAUUUUGAUCCUUAGAUUUGACUAGAAAGUACUUAUAAGAAUAUAACCUAAAUAAUAAUGCUUAACAUAUUUGAAUGUUAGGAAUAGAUUUGAAACUUUAAUUUCUUUACAACAUUUGUUCGUAAUGAUAAGGAGUUUUUAUAAAUAUGCGAGGAAUCAAUAUUUAGGAAACUCUCUUAAAAAAUUUGUAUGUGAGGAAUUGAUAUGAAUGAUUUUUAUAUGUGAAUCCAUUUCAAUCAGAGUUUCUACAAUAGCAUACUAAACCAGUUUAAACCAGAUUAAAACAUAUAUGUUGCAGCAUACAAACCAGAUAAUUCUCCCCUAUUUGUCUUCACAAAUAGAGUAGAAGAACGAAUUAAAAAAAAUUGUUCAGCAGAUUAGCACAAAAUAAGAAAGUAAAGCACUAAAAGACUUCAGUCAUCUCUGUCGUAUUGUAGCUCAAAAAUCUGAUUUUAAACAACUUCAAUCUGCUCAUCAAGCUUUUGAAAACGUGCCACACAAGUAAAGUUAUCCAUCCUUCUCAAUAUCAAUCUUUCAAAUGGAGACAUAGAGGUGAUGUGUUCUCCCAUGAUCCAGCACUUGGACCAAGAUCAUCAUCUCCAGCUUGGAAUCCAGCAUCAACAUCACCCCCACCACCACCAAUAUCAGCUUGCUCUUCUCCACCAUCUUUAGCAGGAGCUCCACUUGAGGAUCCAGCUUGAUCACGAUCCUUGCUAACCCACUUUCCAUCAAUUUUUGUUAAACCCAUCUUGCUAAGGGAUCCAUUGUUGACUUCAUGUGAUGUUUUGACCACUUCAUAUUGCUCCUCCCCAAGAUCAACUUCAAAGUAAUGCAUAAAUUUAGAAAUAAGGAUAGCAUAUGGAUAGUGGUAAUCACUUAACCUCAAGGAUUUUAGCAUAUGUUCUUUGAUGAUGUGGAUCCAUUUUAUCUUGACCUUGUUCAUGAUCCAAUAAAUGAAAACAAGAUCUUCCUCGAUCAACACAGAGUGAUUUCUUCCUCAUGGAGUUAACAUCCAUGUAACAAUGAAAGUCGUAAACCUCUCAUUUAGCCUCAAGCCUCCCAUAGAGAAGUUUCUUACUUUGGAUUGUGGAUUAUUCAAACAGCUUCUAUAGAACUGCAUUUUGUUGAAUUCCUCAACCACUCCAAUUUUCCCUUUAUAUAUCCUCAAUCCAGCAUACUUCUGUUCAGAAAUGGCAGUUCAAACUUCAUGAGUAAUCUCCAAAUCAACCCCUUUCACAUGUGAGCAGAGGUUGUCACCAACAAUUUGAAAAUUAGUAUAGAAUACUCUCACAAGGUCUGGGUAGAUAUUUCCAGACAUUUCUAGGAACCUUUUCAUUUCUUGUUGUUUCAAGAGAUCUCUCACUUCAGACAGUUUUUUAUCUUUCAAUCAGUUGAGUGAAUUGAGCUUUGGAUUGUUGAUAGUCUUCCUACUUCUUUCAUGUAGGCAUUUUUCAAUAUUUUCUUCUCAAGAAAACCAUCUUUCAAGGCGCCCACCCUUUUCACUCCACGGGUUUUCAUUCUUUUGGAGGAAGGAGGUGUUGAAUCCAUGGAGAAAUGAGGAAAUUUCACAGAGGUAGAAGAAGACAGCAGUUUCAGAAUGAGUGGAGAGAAUAAUGGGUUGAUUCUAUGAGAAAACAACUUAAACAGGCAUACUUAUAUAAGUUGUAAAAGUAGUUAACAAAAUUGGCUUUUAGAGGUUGUUUUUCAAAGCAAAAAGAAUCAGUUCAGAAAGAAUACUGGCACACAUUAGCUUUCAAACAGAAUGCACAGAACCAGCACAUGCACAUUUGACUAGUCAUUAAAUUUCUUAAAUUUUCAAGAAGAUAUGGAAUAUAUUCUAUUAAUGAUGAAAAUGACUUCCAAGCAACCCGAAUUCAAGGCCAUAAUAAAAGCAAUUUUGACUCAUAACAACUUUGAGAAAGAGUCAGCAACUAAAACAAGGCACGGAGACUUAAAACAGCUUUAAUGAAAUGUUGUCAAGGAUGAAACAAUUGGUUGUUUCGUGAAAACAAUCGGUUGUUUUUCUGUGACAGUAAUUAUGAUUUUUCACAAUUCAAAAGCUUUCACAUAGAUGAAAAUAUAGAAUGCUACACACAUAUAUUUUUGUGUGAAAAUGAAAAAAGAGUUUAUUUAACAAAAAUGAAUAAACUGCACAAAAUUAAAGAAAUAAGUUCAUAGCUUUUUUUUCUAAGAAUGUUUUCAAUUAAAGAACCAUAGUACAUGAGUCAAGAAUAAAUUUUGCAAGACCCUCAAGAACAGUGUGCAAUUAAGAGUUGUACUCCUAAAUCCAAUUCUAGUCAUUCCCUUUAUGAUUUGAUCCUUUAAUCCAGUGAUUUUUGGUCUCUAAGAGUACCUGCAGAAAAACAAUAUCAAGUAGUAAGAUUUGGUCCCCUUAAUUGGAUCAUUUGAAUCCUUAGUUAGGAACCCUUUUAAGAAAACCUUUGGGAACAUAAAACUUUCUAAAUUUUACAGAAUGUAACAAAUGACCUUUUUUCAUACAGUAAAAGCAUCAAACAACUGGUUGUUUCGACUUUUCAAUCGGUUGUUUUUUCCUGAUGGUUGAAUAAAGGCUUUGAAGCACCACUUUUCUUACUCUGUGGAUUAAAACCCAAUCUAGAUUUUCGAAAAACACAAUUUUGAAAUGUCAGAACAGUCUCAAAGUUUGAUUUUUCGUUAGAAAGUUUAACCACAAUUUUCACAAGAUAGUGAACCUUCUUUUCAAGAGAUUCACAAUUUUCACAAACACUUAAGUCACACUUGCAAGAAGAGUUUAUUUAAAUCAAUUCUAGAUUUUCAAAAUCAUUUUUUGAAUUUUCUAGCUCUUUUUCUAGUGUUUUGACUCUAUUUCUAGCAAAUUAUUCAAAGCAUUUCAAUUGGUUGUUCAAAAGAGCCAAUCUAUUAGCUUCUUCAUUUGUUUCUUUGAAAGCAUCAAGAAGUUGGAUAUAGUUUUCAAAAUUAAUUGAAGUGCUAGAACUUACACUGCUCAUGACAAAUUCUCCCUUAGCCAUUAAACAGAGAUUAGCUUCUUCACCUCCUGAAGAUGAACUAGAUGACGAAACUUCAUUAUCUUCCCAAGCAAUGUAGGCUUUCUUAGCUUUGCCUUUCUUUCACCUUCCUUUCUUGUUGCUCUUUAUUUGCUCUCAUUAUUGGGGCAAUUAGAUUUAAUAUGUCCCUGUUCACCACAACCAAAGCAAGUAUAUUUGUUAGAGUUAAAAUCAUUGAGUUUCUUACUAUUAUACUUGUUGAAGAUUGAUUCUUGUUGUUGUUUUUCUUCAGGAAUUUGCUGAAUUUCCUGGUCAGCAAGCUUAGUGUUUCUCCUUCACUGUCAUCACUUGAGUCUUGACAGUUUUUGUGUCCAGCAGCCUUUAGGGCACCUCACAUGCUUAUCCUCAUUUUCUUGAACAUUCAGCCUGUUCAUCUUUAACUCAUGUUCAUUGAGCUUCUCGAACAGUGAGGCAGUGGUCAUAGAGGUUAAAUCCUUAGACUCAGAGAUAGCAGUGACCUUGGGCUGCCAAGAUCUGUACAGUCACUUGAGGAUUUUGUUGUUGAGUUCCUCUUUAUCAAACAUCUUCCCAAGACUCAUGAGGUGGUUGACAAUAUGGGUAAACCUCUUUUGUACCUCAACAAUUGUCCCCCCUUUGGGCAUCCUAAACAUCUCAUAUUCUUGGAUGAGAGCAUGCUUCCUUGCUCUCUUCACGUCAUUUGUUCCUUCAUGAGUGACUUCUAGAGUAUCCCACAUUUCCUUUGUUGAUUCACAUUGAGACACCCUGAAAAACUCAUCAGAACUUAAUGCAGAUGUAAUAAUGUUCUUUGCAAUACAUCAUAUUGAGCCUGUUUGCUUUCAUGCUCAGUCCAUUGGGACCAAGGUUUUUCAAAGAUCACUUUGUCAUUUUUAAGCAUAGGAACAAAAGAACCAUUUUUAAUUGCAUCCCAAAUUCCUUUAUCAAUUGAUUCUACAAAGAUUUUCCUCCUUACCUUCCAAAACUGGUAAUUUACACCACAAAACAUAGGUGGUCUAUUAAUAGAUGCACCUUCUCCAAAAGGUAGUUUAUCAACCAUGAAAACAUAUUUAUGGGUCAAACUUGAAUGACUUUCAAGAACCUACCUCUUGAUGCCAAUUGUUAGAAUUGUAGGCCUUAAACAAGAGGGGGGUGAAUUGUUUAUAAAAUAUUUUCGCAAACUUUGAAGGUAUAGAGAAAGCCAAUGAAGAAUCAAAGAGAAAGGAAUCGAGUUAGCCAAGAAACAAAUAUAUUUUAUUAUGUUUCCAGAAAUUUAACUGGUUGUUUAUGCGAUUCAACCGGUUGUUUUUAUCAGCAGUUAAUAAAAACAAGCUAAAACAGAUUUAAAUGAGAUUAAGGAUAGAAAGAAUCACAUAGCAGAUUUAUACAAAUUCACUCUUACACCAAGAGCUACAUCCAGUCCCCAGAAACCAUUAGGUAUUCCACUAAGCAAUCAACAACCUUGAUUAGAAACCACACACCAAAGAGGUGAUCUUGAACUCUUCAAGAACACACACCUCCUUUGGCAAACAACACACUACAGAUCACAGAACACCCUCUAGACCUUCACCUUUAUAGAAUUGCAGUAUUCAAGAGAGAAAAAGGAUUGAUCACAUCUUAUACAAAUUGAAUUCAAAAGUUACAAAGCAGUCUUAUUCCACUCUUAGACAAAUCAAUCCAAAGCUUGAAAUAAAUCUUGGAGAAAACCGAUUUAAAAGAUUUUAAUUUGAUAUCUAACUACCAGGAGCGUAAAACUAAUUAUUUAAACUCCAAAAGACUGUUAAAAACAUUUAAUGAAUGAGCCAAAUCAAUUUUGAAUCAAUUAAAACAGAUUUACCAAAUUUAACAAAUUUUGUUAAGGAUUUUUAAAAAACAUUCGGUUGAAAUGUAGAAACAACCGAUUGAAUUGGUUUGACAGCAAAGUCAACCAAUUUCAAGCUUUAUCAAAACCUGUUUCAAAAACACUAAGUGUAAAACAACCGAUUGAAACGAUAAAACAAUUGGUUAUUUUUUCACUUCUUUGUAAAACACUCUUUUUCAAAAGGAUUUGAUUCAAACCAACUUUGGAUCCUAACUAAGAGUGGAUUUACAAAUUCAAACUACCCAGAACUCACACACACAAGCAGCAGCAAGGCCUUCAAGCAAUCCACACAGAUUUGGAGACAUCAAAACUCUUGUUCAACAAUCUCUUAGAGCUCGUUAGCAAUGGCAUUAUUACCUUUCUUUGUGACUUUUCCUUCAUUGGUCACAACGAUAUUGGUGGAUGAAAACUUGUCAUGAUAUAAUCGAUAUUUUGGAGGAAACCCAUGUUUCGUAUAACACACAUCAAUAGUAUGUCCACUCUUACCACAAUGAGUGCAUGUUUUACCAUUAUGAGACACACCCUUAUUGUUCUCAGUAUGCCCAGUUCAUCCACAAAAAUUGCAAUUUCAACCUGAGCCAACAACAUUGAUAGAACUAUAUUAUGUUUCAUACUGACAUUACUGGUUAAAGUCUCAUUCACUGAUAAUUUCCUUUCUCGCUGAGCAACAUAUGAAAAUAUUUUUGUAAUAGGAGACAAUGGAUCCAUCAAGAGAACAUGAGAUCGAACAUUUUUAUUGAUUAAUAAGCCCUCGUAGAAAUUAAAUUGCUUGGUCCUUAAAUUUUCUUUGAUCAAUCAUGGAUGCAACCUUAUAAGUACAUUUAACAACACAGAUACAAAUUGGAUACGGUCGAAAACUCUCCAAAUCAUCCCACAUCAUCCAAAGUUUAGUAAAGAAAUUUAUGAUAGAAAAAUCAUCUUGUGUAUAGAAGAUGCCUUUAAUUGUAGAUUUGAAAUAGAAAAUAGACCUCCUUGUGAAUAACAAGCUUGGAGAUUGCUCCAAAUUAUGAUUGUUUGAUCCAUCCAAAGCAUACUUUGAUGUAUUUAUUGAUGAUGAAAUGGAAUGGAUAAGCCAAGAAACAACCAUAUUGUUACAUCACUUCUAAGCUCCAUAAGUGUGAUCAUUUGACAAUGGUUGUGGAGGGUUUCCAUCAAUGAAUUCCACUUUAUUAUUUGUAAUGGGAUAGAUAGUCAUUGACCUACUCCAAUAAUGAUAAUUUGUUGAAGAAGGGGAAAGAGAAACGAGAGCCAAAGAAGAAUUCUUGUUUGGAUGUAAGUACAAGUGACUAUAAAUGUUGAGGAAAGGAUCUGGCUACAAAAACAAAACCAAAAAAACAAAGGAGUGUGGUGUGGGUGAUGAUGGAAAAAAAUUAUGUUCUUGAUAUCAUAAUAAAAUAAACAUAAAUAUGAAAAAAUGAAUUGAAAAAGAAAUAAGAGAAUGAAUCUUAAGAAAGAAAAAAUAAUAAUAAUAAUAAUAAUAAUAAUUAUUAUUAUUAUUAUAAUUGAAUAAACUUCGUUAUUGUGAAGAGUAUGAAUAUACAUAGAAUAAGAUUUCCAAACUGGGUAUAACAGAAAAAAAAAACUAAAAACUACAAAAAAAAAAAAAAAAUAUAUAUAUAUAUAUAAACAAAUUACUAAAUAUAGUUGACAUAAAAUUUGCUAUGGAGGAUAUGGCAUUAAUACCUAGAUAACUCAAAAGAGUAUUUAAAUAAUAACAGUAAUGAAAGGGGAAAUAAAAUAGCACAUAAACAUAUUUACUCGAUGUGAACACUAUUACACUAUUAGUGUUGUAUUAUUUCAAAUGUUGAUUAUUGGGUUUAUUAUAUUUCAAAAUUUCUGGACAUUUUUUUAGUUAAAAUAGAACACUUUGUCAUAAUUCAGAAUCCUAUCAUCGAUAUGUUCUUAUUUUUUUAUGGGAAAAAACGCAUGCGAAAGCAACACACAUAAUCACGAAUCAACUGCAGCAAAUAAACAAUAUAGGAUUUAACAUGGUUCAGUCGCCAACUGCAACCUACAUCCACACGGGCAACUAUUAGAUUUUAUUUUUGUCUUGUUGCACACCAAUUACAAGUACAAUGAUCUCUUCAAAUAAAAAUUAUAAAGGGGACACAAUGCUUAAGUCCACUCACCAAACAUGGUGUCUAGUCAGCCCAACCCAAUUGGUUUUGGCUUCAUACCCAACAAUCUCCCACUUGAAGCCACGAAACAAUGUUCACAUGCGCUUCAACUGUGUACAUGUACUUCUGUAAUCUGUCGACGGAACUCAAUGUUUCACCUCUAGUUGCCACCACCCUUCUUAAUCAUUGUUAAGACUUUGUUAAAACUCCUCUGAGUUUCAACACGUCAUUCACUGACCCAUUCUUUGUUCCUACCUGCUACCACUUACAGGAACUUCCAGAUCCUGGAAUAGCUUGAGAACAAGCAUACUCCAUACUCAACAAGAAACUUUCUAGAGAUGUUUCAACAGCUGGAAUACUGGUUCUCCUAACUCACUAUCAUCUAGGAACCUCAGCUGAAGCACGACCUGUGCUUCCACUGCCAUAAGUACCUUUGACUGGUCUACCUGAACCUUUCCAUGCUCGUUCAUCCUGAAUCUGACAUGUGGCUCUGAGUCGCAGUUGCACGCGCCAGCAGUGAGUCGCAGGUCAAGGCUGUCGCGAAUCCUGGGCCGCCGUGAAACCCUAGCUUUGGGACGCCGCUGCAACCCCUGUGAAACCCUAGCUUUGAGACGUUGUUGCCGCCUCUGCGAAACCCUAGCUUUGAGAUGUUACUGCAGCUCAUGCGAAACCCUAGCUUUGGGACGUUGUUGCAGUCGCAAUUUUCACGUCUCGUCGAUUAAUUUCUGCUGAUCGGAUCUCUAGUGUGUAAACGAACCAAGCUCUUAUGCCACUUGAUGGGAAAAAACGUACGGAAGCAACACACAUAAUCACGAAUCAACUGCAGAAAAUAAACAACACAGGAUUUAAUGUGGUUCGGUCGUCAGCUGCAAUCUACAUCCACACCGGAAACUAUUAAGUUUUAUUUUUGUCAUGUUGCACACCAAUUACAAUUACAAUGAUCUCUUUAAAUAUAAAUUAUAAAGGGACACAAUGAUUAAGCCCACUCACUAAACAUGGUGGGUAGUUAGCCCAACCCAAUUGGUCCUGACUUCAUACCGAACAAUUUUUUACACUAGAUUUUGAAAAUAUAUUUUCUUUAGUGUUUUAUUCUUUUUUAAAUUUUCAAUAAAUAUUUAUAUGAAGAAGAAAAAAAAUAGCAUGAAUAAUUUUUUUCCAUAAAUUAAAAUCAAUUUAUGCUCUUGGUUUCUAGAAAAACUCUUUCAUGUUUAACUUCUGUCAAAAUUGUGGUGCAUGAGUUUGUUUUAAAAUCUAUUUUAUUUAUUAAUUUUACUUUUGAGUUUAUUUAACAUGAGAAAUUAGUGUUUCAUUCGAAAUAAACAAAAAUGUAUAUCUCUCUAUCUAUUUAACUAGGGUUAAUCAAUCAGAAGUCUUGGAUGUCAAUUUAGUGCAAAUGAUUGAAGAUUGUUAACAAAUUUAUAAUUUCAUUCUUUUGUUGAAAUUCAAUGAAAUCAAUACCUAACAUUUGUGUUUUCUUAAUCAUUGUGUUUGUUCCUUUUUAUUCCGUUGUUACACAUAAUAAGAGUUACAUGAUUUUAAAAGUCCUCUUUGCAAAAGUCUUAUAUGCAAACAAUAUCAUAGUUUCAAUCAUUUUACUUAUGUGACUGAUAUACCAAUCAAAUUGCGUGGUUGUUGUGUACAUCAUUUUACCUUUUUUGUUUAGACAUUUUUCAUGUUUAAAUAAUUCUCCUAUUUUAAGAAGAAAAAAAUUAUCAUACUUUUUAAUUGACUUACUAGUGAAGUUGACCAACAUUGACUUAUUAAGUUUUUCUAACUCUGACUACAUGUAGAAAAAUCUACUCCAAAAUCAUUAUAGUUGAUAAUUCUUAUUUCUUUGAAAAAAAAAUAUGAAGGAAUGAUCACUUGUUAUACUAAAAGUCAUCUAAGAAAAAAAGUGAGCAUAAAUUAAUAUUUCAACUCUGUUUUAUUAGCAAUUUUUCGUAUUUUGUAUGAUUUCUCUUGUGAAUAUUUUUGUGGUAUUGUUUCUACGAAUAUUUAGUCAUACCUACAUAUAUUUUAUGAAAUUCUAUAAAAUCUAUAGAAAAAUGAUAAGAAAAUAAUUUGUUAAAAAAAUUUAUCAAAGAUUUACAAAAAGAAGUCAUAUGAAAAAUUCUAACAAUGAUUAAUUUAUUUAUUUUUAAAUAAAUCAAUAUGCUAUUGAAAAAAGUUCUAAUUAGUAUAAAGUAAAAACAAAUUUAUGUUAUUAGUAUUAAUUUAAUGAAAUUUAAAUUAUAAGGAUAUGAUGAUUACAAGCAUUUAAAAAAAUAUGGAUUUAUGAGUAAUGUAUGAAGUAUUUAUAUUGAAUAUGUUGACAUUCAAUUUUCUUUUAUGAAUUAAUCAACGAUUUAGUUUAAAUAGUAAUAUUUGUUUGAGUAGAAUAAAUACAUAAAAAUUACAGAGUUGAUUGCCCCUAUCGAGUAUAAAAAAGGUUUAGUAAUACAAUCCAACAUAUUAGGUUUUUUCAAUUUCAUGUUGUUAGAUUAGUUUCAUCAAUGGAAAAAAAUCAAAAUAAUGUUUCUUAUUCCAUUUUAAGUUUAAAAGAGUGAAACGAAGAAAACUUUGAAGAGUGAAAAUUUGGAAGAAUUUAUAUCACAUCAAGAAUGAAAUUAAAUUUAAUUGAUGAAAUAAUCUUAAAGUUAUUAUAUUUUGUUUUGUAACUAUUUUACAUUAUAUGAUUAAUUUAAUAUUUAAAGCACUGCAAUUGGAAUUUAAAUUUUUUAUUUGAUUUAGUUUAAUUUAAGAAACACUUAAUGUAUCUUCUUUGAAGUAUAUUAAAAUUAUUUUUAACUAUAUUUUUAUGAGUGAAAAGUGUCAAUAUAAUCCACAGAUUUUUGCAAGAUAGGUGCGGCCUAUUAAAAUUGAACUCUGUUUAAGACACAAGCUAUUGUGGGUGCGAGUUUAAACGGAUGGGUUCAAACCGCAUACCCAACUCUAAUUACAAUAUUUUUCAUUUAAAUAAACUUAAUAUUGUGUUAAUUAUAAUUAUAUUUUGUUAGUUAUUUAAAAUAAAUGUUAUACAAAACAUGCGAAAGGCUAGUUUGAGAAUACAAUAACAAAAACAUUUUAUUCUUCGUUUAAUCAAAACUCAUGUCAAAACCUUUUACCUUUCUCUACUUUUUUCCAUAAAUAUUUAAUUCUUUCUGUACAAUAGAAAAAAGUCACCAACUAUUAAAGUGAAAAAAAUAGAUUAUAUUUUAUCAAUUAAAAUUUUAAUUUUAUUUUUUUUUAUUUUCUCUCAAUUUUUUUAUUUUAUGUUUUUUUAUAUUCUUAUAUGUAUUAUUUGUUAAAAGUCUAGUCGAUACGAUUAGGUUGUCUUUUAAGUCUUGUGAUGGUUUGUUGAGAUCAUGGAUAGUAUAUAUCACACUAGAGAGUCUAAUGACCAUAAGAUUAUAUGUGGAGUUUAUGUUGUGAUGAUAACACAAAAUGAAUGGUUUAUUUUUAUUUUGAGUUCUCUAACAAUGUUUCGUACAAUUGCAGUACAUAGUAGACUCUCUGAGCGUCUACAACGUGUGUUUGUAAAAGAGAGUUUGAUAAGACUUGUUAAUUGCAUAACAAAAUUUACAUUGAAUGUUUUAUUUGUGAUUUGAAUGAUCUAAUAGUAUUUUGUAUAGUUAUAGUAUGUAGUAGACUAAGUAAGCAUCUAUAGUUUUUGUUCAUGACAGAUGAUCUAAUAGUUUUCUGACGAUAAACGGUUUGAUGAACAAAUUGAACGUGUAACAUAAUUUUUUAAAAUAAUUAAUUGUGAAUAAUAAAAUCUUCUAAAUACAUAUAUAUUCUAAACACUUUCAACCAAAGAGAUAUUAUAUCCAAAAAUGAAAAUAUUUAAAUAUGUGUUUUGUGGAACUAACUUUGUUUGACCCUUUUUUUUGUCGUAUAUAUCUAAAACUAUCUCAUAUGCAAUCCAUGCAAUAAUAAAUGCCCUUUUCUUCUUUAUAUGAUAUCCUAAAAAUUGAAUGUAAUUAUCUCUUUUUGAGUAAUUUUUUUUCCUAAAAUUUGUCUAAAUAGUGUAGUGUCGUUUAGAAUAAAUAGUCUUUACAAAGUUGACAAUGUAUAACUUGGGAAUUUAUAAAAGAAAAAACAACUUUGCCUCUUUGUCUAAGAUAUAUUAUUAUGUGACUUGUCCUUUAUUAACAAAACUCUUUGGCAAACAAAAGUAAUAUAUGUUCCUACAACAUAGAAUAAAUAUUUAUAUGUUUUUUAGUAGUACGAGGUUAGCUUAAUUAUAUGUGUUCAUCAUCUGAGCAUGUGCAUGCUUUGUCAGGUGAAAGAUAGGACUUCCUAGUGUUAUAUCACCUGUGAGAUGAAACACUUGUGUCUUUGCAUGAUUUGUUGUUGAGUUACAUUAUCAUCAUCUUACAGACGAAGUUUGACCAUGUUUGUACUUAGUUAUUUUCAACACUUAAUCAAAAUCAUAGGGUGUUAUUCUUUUGCUUCAACAAAUUCUUUGUAUAAAACUCGUAGAGAGUUUAUUAUUUGAUACCUUAAGUAAAAAAAUGUUUUUCUUUACUUUGAUCUAAAAUUGAUAUGAUUUAUGGUAUAACUACCUUAAUUUAUGUUUUAUGGUAUCUAUGAUGUCAUAUAACUUUGCUGAUCAAAAAUAAAAAUGAUGUCAUAUAACUUUGUCAUAAGAUGUUUUGCUCUAAUUAUAAAUCAAGUGCAUCACUCAAGUGUUACAAGAUGCUUAAUUGAUGAGUGUUCAAGUGAGCAAUGAGUGUUUGAGUAUGGAGAGAUAAAAUCAAUUUUGUUCUCUAGAAUUGUAUCUCUUAAGUAGUACAAAAUCAUUCAAGCUACGAAUUAUUCUUCCUCUUUAGGAAUCAAGGUCCCUCAAGCAAGACGAGAUUGUCCAAGCAACAGGAGUUCAAUCAAGUGAAACCUAACUUAUGAAGGUGAUGAUAUGGAUACCUUAUAAGUUAAUUAUGUGUGUGUAUUUUAUUAACAUAUGAUUGAGAUGUAUAUUUUCCAUGUGAUGAUAAUGAUGAGAUGUAUGCAUCAAUAUUUUUUAUGUAUGUAUAUUAUGUUACCCUUUAUGGAUGUGACCUUUAUGGCUAUGUUGUCCCUAGUUGUUGUGUCUGUGAUGAAAAUAACUAAGAUGGAAUAAGAUCCUAAGGUUAUAGUGUUAAGCACAAAAUUCAUUGAGUGUGAGAAAUUAUACUAUUUGAUUUAGAUUUGGUUGAAGAUUUUUGCAUCUUGGUGUAAAGUGAAUUAAUUGUAAUUUUUUUUUGAGUGUGUUAUGUUGAUUAUGUUAUGUGAUGGAAUUGAUACUAGUAUAUGUUAUGUGAUAUAUAUAUAUAUAUAUAAUUGUAUGACAAUUUUUUUUAAAUUAAAUAAAUUUGGUGUGUUAUAUGAAUUGUUAUAAUUAUACUAAGCAUAAUCAUGUGACAUUAUAUGUGAUACCCAAUAAACUAUCCUAUAAUAGAUUUAUGCUUUAAAUUUACUAGAUUAAUUGUAUAUAAUGUAUUGAAAACUCAAUGUUCAUUAUGGUAUAAUGUAUAUUCUAUAUAUACCAUUAUAAAAAUAGUAUAUUUGUAUUUAUAUUAUUAAUUCUCUAGUAUUUUAGAGUAACUGUAAUAUAGUAUAAAAUUAUAAAUUUAAUGAUUACAUUAAAAAAUCAUUUUAUAAAGUUAUCAACAAUAUAAUAUUAAUGUAAUUUAACUUAUUAUUGGGGACUUUAUCACUGACUAUUCUUCAUAAAAAAUCUUAACCAAAUUUUAACAUGAUGUUCAUUUUCAAUCGCAAUUUAUUUUAUUUAUAAAACUCAAGUUGGAGACCUUAUUUAAGAGUAUCAAUGUCAUUAUAUCUUAAAAUACAUUUAAAUUUUUUAAAAUAUAUAUUUAAAAAUCAAAUUUUAGAGUAAAAAGAGGAUAAUUGAUUAUUUUUAAAUUUAAAAAGUUAAAAAUACUUGUAAGAAAAUCAACUGAAAAUUUAUGAAUUUAAGUUUAUACUCAUUUACAUUAACUUUUAUAUUUUCAAACAUUCUUAAAGGGGGUGUAUCUAUUAGAAAUAAAAAUUGUAAUCUCCCUUCUCGAAAAGCACUCCCCACGUACACAUAAGGAAAGAGUAAGGCAACAAAAUAACCAAUACUCGAUGCCAAAUUCUAUUUAUCAUUUAUUAUAAUAUUGUUCACAAUCUAUUAUUCAAUAUGCUCUAUGAUAGAGUACAAAAAUCACUUAUACCUAGGAAUAGUGGUCCUUGUCCCUCAUUUAAUGUAAAUAGUUGAUAACAUUUAACUCUUCUUCAGUAUAAUUUCCCAAUCUCUUAAGUUCUUUGUCACUAGGGAGAAAUAUUCUUUCCUAUCAGGCAAGAAAAUCAAUAUAUUUUUUAAAAAAAUGUGUUAAGAAGUCUUUUUAAGAAGAAAUGAUUUUUGGAUUCUUGUUUUGUAUAGGUGUUGUUUUCAUACGUAAGUGUUGGUUUAGUUUUAUUAUUUGUCUUUUAGUUUUUUUUGGGAUUUUUCAUAACUGAUAAAAUACUUUUAUCUUUCGAUUGAUUUAAGUUUUGACAUGAUUUUUAUAUUUAUUUAUAUUUUUCUCUUAUUUAAUAAUAUUUUUUUAUGUAAUGAUAAGAUGUGUAGCAUGAAGAUUUAUAAAAAGAAUCAAUAUAUUUUCUAGUAACCAUGGGAAACAUAUCUCUGUUUUUCAUCACGAGAUGGGGGUUCUAGUGAAAAUCUUGAAUGAGGUAGUUUGUACCAAACAAAAAAUGCAUAACCCAUGGUCCUACAAUGUUACAUGCUAUUUACAAUGUCGUCUUCAUUGUAGACGUGGAGCAAGAGUGCCCUUUUCUUUUGAUCUACCUAAAUAUGCACGACCCAAUGGUAACUUUUCCUUGGUUUCAAUUUUGACUUUAUAAGUCUAUUUUUGUGGACUAUUUUUGUUUUUUUGUAUAUGGAGUGAAUUGGCAUCCUUUUUCUUUUCUUUAAGAAAACAUUAGAAACUAUUGGAAAAUCAAUUUCAUACCUUUUCAAUGAAAGACACUUUUUCCAAUGUAAAUAUAUAUUAAUAUAGUUUCUGUACCGCCCUGGUAAUCGGGUGUGAUGACGUGGCAUCCUGCUACAGUGUAGGCGUGUUGACAAGGCGCCAGGUUGGCAGAAGGCAAGGAAGUCGGGGGCCCGUGUAAUCGCCAGUUGUUAAGUUGGCGUGUUCCGAUUUCCAGCUUACCAGGAUAGGCGAUCGCCAAGUUAAAGAUCAAGUCGCCAGAUGUAGAUUCAGGCGACCUAGGCGUUGGAGAUCACCAGAGCAAGCUCAUCGCCGAAGAUAGAGAAGAAGCAGAUUAUGAAGGCGGCCGGCGAGACCACAGGGAAGGUGUAUGAAAGCCCUAACUCGCCAGUUCCAGUAGAGAUCGCACUCCUAAGUUAGCUAUGCACUGGGCAGUACCAUGCAUAAGUAACUUAGCCAAAAUGAGAGUAGAAGCUGCGCCAAGUCAGGGAGCCUCCAGAUGAUGGCACGUGUACAGUCGGAAGCGAGCCACGUGUCCAAGUCUGUAACUGCCAGGAGAGAGAAAGUCACCAGGUAUAUAAGAGCUCUUAACAAACUUUCUGAGGUACGCACGUUCAGUUCAUACACUUUACGCUUGCGAGUGACAGAGCUGAUUGUGAGAGAGGAUUUGCACGGUUCUCGUUCUUAGUAUUUGGUGAUACCGUCACUGACUUGAGCGUCGGAGUGCGAUCGGCCGCAGCGGCGCCGUGUUGUUUCUUUGCAGGUUCUUGAAGCAGAUCCCGGAAAGGAACGGAGGUGAGAAGCGGUGCGCACGUCGAUCCCUUGACGAGGCAUUCUCCAGCGUUCCGGUCAACAGGCAGGAUCAUCAGGCGCCCACCGUGGGGCCGUGUAAAACUUGCUCCCAUCCACAGCGUGGGUUCUUGGAGGUUUACGAAGUUUUCUGCGUGGUUGUGUGCUGGUGCAACCAUCGUGCACGGUUUGGUUGAAUUUCGUUCGGUAAGUUUGCGUUCGUACCGUUUGUUUGGCUUUCGAUCGGUGGAGUGAGGUCUUCUGUUGCUUGCGCGCAAUCUUUUCGGUGGAAGUUUGAGUUUUUUCGCUUGUUUGGUUGUCCGCGGGAAAACGGUGGUUUCUGUCGAAGUUGGUUCUCUUUGAAGGUUUGCGGUGUUCUUGAGAGUUCUUGCGCAGUUUCUUGAGUUUUCUCCGGUUGAUCGCUGAUUCGAUCGUGGUUGAAGGGUUGUUUGCUGUAUUCCUGUGGUUCGCUGAAGUUAAUGAGAAAAAUGAGAAGCAAUCGUUCCAGUCCCGUGGCUCCUGUCGCUGCUGAAGGCGACGCCACCAUGACCAUGGCGCAGAUGGCAGAGAUGAUGCGCUCGUUGCAGGCAACUGUGGAAGCCUCGCGCGUAGAGCAGGCAAGGAUACAUGAGGACCUGGUCGCCUCUCGCGCCAGAAACGAGGAGCUCAGCAAAGUGGCUGAGGAGCUGCGUCGAGCUCUUCAGGAGCAGCAGGGACGUUCUUCUGCUGAAGAGGUGGCACCGUCGACGCCACCACGUGUUUUCCUAAUGCCUUUCAUUCAGGCGAUUACCGACACGCCUAUUCCCACGAGCGUGGUUCCGGUUAAGGCUGUCUUUACCGGCGUGGAGGAUCCAGAGGCUCAUCUGACCACGUUCCAUAUGCAGAUGAUGCUGUCGGGAGGGUCAGACGCCGUCUACUUCAAGAUGUUCGUGAGUAUGCUCCAGGGAACGGCGAUGGAGUGGUUUGUGAGCCUGCCUAACGGCCACAUAACCAAUUUUCAACAAUUCUCAAAAAUCUUUGUCGAGCAGUACAUUGUGAAUAAGGCACCGCCCAGGGUGUCCUAUGAUCUGUUUGAUAUAAGGCAGUACCAUGGGGAGUCCCUCAGAGACUACCUCAAUCGCUUCGGAGCGCAGAUGGUCAGGUCGCCGGCCAAGGAUGAAGAAAUGCUGGUCUAUGCCUUCAAGAAGGGCGUGCAGCCAGAGCUAUUCUGCGAGGCCUUGAUCAAGGCUCAUCCAGCGACGUUUGCUGAAGUCAGGCGACUUGCGGUGGCCCAUAUCGCUGACGAGAAUGAAGUCGCCGAGAAGAGGGGCAGCGUGGCUCCCGCCAGGCCACGCGCCCAGACGAGGAUCCAGCCGCAGAGAGUGCUGGAAACGGCGGCGGCGGCCAGAAAAGACCAGAGGACUCGCCAUCCUUACGACAGGAGAAACAAGGGAAGAAGCCAAGCGCGCCAACAGCCAGCACGCCGGGAGUACAAUCGCCCGCCUAAGCACAAAUUUGCCAUGGGACUAGCGGACCUGAUCGCCAUCCCUAAUAUAUCUGCUAGGUUGAAGGCGCCUGAGAAGGUAGGCGACAAGGUGCUGGGGUCAAAGCCGGACGCCUGGUGCGAGUUCCACCAAUGUUUUGGCCACACCUUGGACUCGUGUUUGUCUUUGGGGUAUCAGCUCGACGAUCUAGUUAAGAGCGGGUUCCUAAAUGACUAUCUGCUGGAUAGAAGGACGGGGGGAGCGUCGAGUUCCCAGCCAGUAGGUGGAGAAGCCCAGCAACACGAGAUGCCCAUCCACGGGGAGAUCCACACCAUUGCAGGGGGUUUUUCAGGUGGUGGAUGCACCGCAUCGCAGAGGAAAAAGUAUGCGCGAUCGGUGAUGACAGUGGACAUGUUUGAAGAUCACUCGCCGGAAGUGGACAUUACGUUCACCAAGCAGGAUCUUCGGGACGUUGUGCCUCAUGACAACGAUCCCAUAGUAAUUUCCUUGAUAACAGCAGGGAGGAAGGUCCACAGAGUUCUGGUGGACCAAGGAAGCUCAGCAGACGUGAUGUUCUGGUCGACUUUCACGCAGCUGGAAUUGCCCCUUGACCAGCUAAGGCCCUAUGGAGGGUGCUUAUAUGGGUUCGCUGGUGACCAGGUGGAGGUCAGGGGGUACAUUGAGCUGAGAACCACGUUUACAGAUGAGGCUAGGUCGAGGACGGAGAAAAUCAAGUACCUCAUCGUAAACGCCCCUUCAGCAUAUAACAUCCUGUUGGGAAGGCCCACUCUUAACAGGAUAAGCGCCAUUCCAUCGACUCGGCACAUGAAGGUGAAGCUGCCGUCCAUGGAAGGGGUGGUUAUCACGAUCAAGUCUGAUCAGAAAGAAGCGAAAAGGUGCUAUGAGAAUAGCCUGAAAAACAAAAGAUCAGUGAGUUAUGUAACAACCACCCCACCUCCCGGUGUGAAGCCCAGACCGCCGGUAGCAGAGGAGGCCGCCGGAAGGGAUGUAGAGAUGGUAGACGCUGGGCUAGGGGAGAGGAAUACUGGCCUGGAGGAGGAAGAGGCGCGGAAUCGCCCCGAGGAAGCAAGGGAACAGGGAAUCGCCAGGGCGGUGAUCGCUGGAGAAUCCAGGCCCAAACCCGUCGAGCAGUGGCUCGAGAAGGAGAUCGGAGGGAAAAUCUUCAAGCUCGGAAGAUCUCUGGAGGUCGAUCUCCAGGACCAGAUCGCCAAGGUAAUUGAGCGGCAUCUGGACGCGUUUGCUUGGUCCGCUUCGGACAUGCCCGGGAUCGAUCCCGACUUCUUGUGCCAUCAUCUGGCGAUGGACAACAUGGUGAGACCAGUGCGACAAAGGAGAAGAAAAUUCAAUGAAGAGAGGAGGCAGGCGAUCAGGGACGAAACACAGAAACUCCUCGCUGCAGGCCACAUCAGGGAAGUCCAGUACCCUGAAUGGUUGGCAAAUGUCGUGCUGGUGAAGAAGGGUAACGGGAAAUGGCGCAUGUGCGUCGAUUUCACCGAUCUGAACAAAGCUUGCCCAAAGGAUUCGUAUCCUUUACCAAGCAUCGAUGCCCUGGUUGAUAGUGCUGCAGGGUGCAAGCUGCUGAGUUUCCUGGAUGCCUUCUCGGGCUAUAAUCAGAUCAAGAUGCAUCCCAUGGAUGAGGAAAAAACAGCCUUCAUGACGGAGAGAUCGUGCUAUUGCUAUAAGGUGAUGCCGUUUGGGCUGAAGAACGCAGGGGCCACGUACCAGAGGUUGAUGGAUCGAGUACUUGCACCAAUGUUGGGAAGGAAUGUGCAAGCCUACAUCGAUGACAUGGUCGUGACCUCGCAGGAGAAGAGCAAGCACGUUGCAGACUUGGAAGAAUUGUUCACGACGAUCGCCAAGUUCAAGUUAAAGCUCAACCCGGAGAAAUGCAUUUUCAGCGUGGAGGCUGGAAAGUUCUUGGGUUUUCUCUUGACUGAAAGGGGGAUAGAAGCUAACCCAGACAAGUGUGCCGCCAUCUUGGCGAUGAGAAGCCCGGCUACAGUGAAGGAGGUCCAGCAGCUGACAGGUCGAAUGGCAGCCCUAUCUCGCUUCGUGUCAGCUAGCGGAGAAAAGGGACAUCCCUAUUUUCAAUGUCUGCGGCGCAAUAACAAGUUCGUUUGGACGAAAGAGUGCGAGGAGGCUUUCGUCAAACUAAAAGAGUAUCUGGCGAGCCCGCCGGUUCUGUGCAAACCGCUGGCGGGAAUCCCUCUCAGGUUGUACUUCGCUGUGACUGAGAGGGCGGUGAGUGCGGUGCUCGCCCAGGAUCAAGAUCAGGCUCAGAAGCCUAUUUAUUUUGUGAGCAAAGUGUUGCAGGGCCCAGAAACGAGAUAUCAGGCCCUGGAGAAGGCUGCGCUAGCUGUGGUGUUUUCGGCGAGGAGGUUGCGCCACUACUUCCACAGUUUCACAAUACUGGUGAUGACUGACCUGCCCAUCCAGAAGGUCUUGAAGAAACCUGACGUUGCGGGAAGAAUGGUGAAGUGGGCAGUGGAGUUGUCAGAGUUUGAUAUUAAAUAUGAACCUCGAGGCCCGGUCAAGGGGCAAAUCUUUGCAGAUUUCGUGGUCGAGCUCUCAUCAGAAGCGGCGCGAGUUGAAGGAGACGAUUUCCGUUGGGUACUCUCGGUGGAUGGAUCGUCGAACCAGCAGGGUAGCGGUGCUGGAGUCAUUUUGGAAGGGCCCAACGGCGUGCUGAUUGAACAAUCUUUGAGGUUUGCCUUCAAAGCCAGCAACAAUCAAGCAGAGUAUGAGGCGCUGAUCGCCGGGAUUUUGCUGGCCAAGGAGAUGGGAGCUAGGGUGCUGAUGGCUAAGAGUGACUCGCUGCUAGUCACAGGCCAAGUAACAGGCGAGUUUCAGGCUAAAGAUCCACAAAUGGCGGCUUACUUGGCGUAUGUGCAGGAAUUGAAGAGUUCCUUUGCCUCCUUUGAAGUAGUGCAUGUGCCCAGGGAGCAGAAUGCCCGAGCUGACUUGCUUGCUAAGCUCGCCAGCUCAGGCAAGGGGGGUAGGCAGAGGACGGUGAUUCAAGAAACUCUGAAGACGCCAAGAGCAUUUGUAGCAGAUCACCUGGUCCUUCAGAUAAGCAAGUCAACGGAGAGAGCAGCGAGAAGCCAUAAGUCUUUGACGCAAGAAACCCUGAGAUCGUCGAGAGUUAGAGCAUGCCGAGGAGAGAAGUUAGACGUGAUGCAGGUCUGCGCCGCCCAAGAGCCAGACACUUGGAUAACGCAAUACAAACGGUACCUGGCAGAUGGCCUCCUCCCGUUGGAUCCGACGGAAGCUAGGAAGGUAAAGAAAAAUUCCAGCAAGUAUACGUUGAUUGAUGGCGAUCUGUACAGGUUUGGGUUCACUCACCCGCUCCUAGAAUGUAUACUCGGCGAGAAGUGCACUAGAAUUAUGGCAGAGCUCCACGAAGGUAUAUGCGGAAGCCACGUCGGGGGUCGAGCUCUGGCCGCAAGGACUCUCCGUGCAGGCUACUACUGGCCAUCCAUGAGAGAGGAUUGCAAGAAAUAUGCCCAAUGUUGUAAACAAUGCCAGCAGCACGCCGAUUGGCACAAGGCACCUCCCGAGGAGUUGAAGUCGAUCUAUAGCCCUUGGCCGUUUCAUACUUGGGGAAUCGACAUCCUGGGACCUUUCCCGCUGGCGAUCAGGCAGAUGAAGUACUUGGUGGUGGCGAUUGAGUAUUUCACCAAGUGGAUUGAAGCAGAACCAGUGGCCCAGAUCACCGCACACAAGAUCGAAGGUUUUGUAUGGAAGAACAUCGUGUGCCGGUUUGGAGUGCCUAAGCGCCUGGUGUCAGAUAAUGGGACGCAGUUUGCAAGCCACCUGUUGAAGAAGCUUUGCGAAGGGGUGGGAAUUCAACAAGUGUUUGCAUCCGUCGAGCACCCUCAAACGAAUGGCCAGGUGGAGUCAGCUAAUCGGGUGUUGUUGAGGGGUUUGAAGAGAAGGCUUGAGAAAGCCAAGGGAAGUUGGGCUGAGGAGGUGCCCCGUAUAGUCUGGGCGUACCACACCACCGAGCAGUCAGGAACCCACGAGACCCCGUUCAGCUUGGUCUAUGGGUGUGAUGCCAUGAUUCCCGUGGAGAUCCAGAAGAGCUCGUCGAGAUUCCAGAACUUCGUAGAGGAGGACUCGAAUGAAGAGAGAAGGCUGAACCUGGAUCUGCUGGAUGAGGUCAGGGAAGAGGCGAGGUUGAAGGCUGAGGCCGUGAAGAGAAGGGUCGAGCGAAGAUACAACUCGAAGGUGAUGCCAAGGCAGUUUAGAGAAGGCGAUCUGGUGAUGAGGAAGGCCCACCGGUAUGAGAUGGAGAACAAACUAUCACUCAAGUGGACCGGACCGUUCAGAAUAACCGAGGCGCUCGGGAACGGGGCCUACCGCCUAGAGACGCUGGAAGGAGGGGCGAUCCCUCGCACCUGGAACGCCACACACCUGAAGUUGUACUAUAGUUAAGAGCUUUGUAAGUAAAGACAAACACAAUGUUAUAUUACAAUGUCUCUGUUGAAACAGUUGAAGGGGGCACUCUUUUUUCCCUAAGGAGGGUUUUUAAUGAGGCCACCCAAUAAAAGAAGAGUUUUCGAAGUAUAAGGUGUUUUCAAAUUGCAUGUGUGCCAUUUUCAAAAGUUUUGGAGAAAGACCUUGUCAAGAAAAGUUAUAUCACGUGCUUUCUAAAAGGUUUUAAGUCCCCAUCGUUUUUCGGCGAUUGGAGGCACCAGUUAAGUUUUAAGUCCUCAUCGUUUUUCGGCGAUUGGAGGCACCAGUUAAGUUUUAAAGUCCUCAUCGUCUGUCGGCGAUCAGAGGCACCAGAUGAAAGACCUCAACGCUCUCGCGCGUCCUGAGGCAAGUAAAGACCUCCUCGCCGUCGAGCGAGUGCAGGCGAGAAAGCAAAGGUCCUCAGUGCAUCCAGGGGGGAGGAGAUGUACACCCUGGGCAAGUUGAGGCACCAGAUAAAGUCCUUAUCGCCGUUGUGCGAGCUAAGGCCAGUAAAGACCUCCUCGCCGUCGAGCGAGUGCAGGCGAGAAAGAAAAGGUCCUCAGUGCAUCCAGGGGGGAGGAGAUGUACACCCUGGGCAAGUUGAGGCACCAGAUAAAGUCCUUAUCGCCGUUGUGCGAGCUAAGGCCAGUUAAAGACCUCCUCGCCGUCGAGCGAGUGCAGGCGAGAAAGAAAAGGUCCUCAGUGCAUCCAGGGGGGAGGAGAUGUACACCCUGGGCAAGUUGAGGCACCAGAGAAAGUCCUUCUCGCCGUUGAGCGAGUUCAGGCGAGUUAAAGACCUUCUCGCUUAUGUGCGAGCAUAGGCAAGAUAAAAUCCUUCUCGUCUCGAAUGAGUUCAGGUAUGGCGCAGAGGGCGGAAGAAGUUGGAAGGUGGCUAAGGUAGGUUCGAAGAGAACGCCUAGUCAGCCAGUCUUUUGCUCUGAAGUUCAGGGGGGCAAAGAGAGAUCCCAAAAGGCGUUUCUACCCCAGAUAAAGAAACGAUUGCCAAAGCAUGAGGUUAGGAGAAGCUGGUGUUUGCAAGAGUUCUUGGCGAUCGGGAAAAGUUCAAACACGGCGAGAAGGUUAAAAGACUUGUUUGAUAAAGCAGGUCGA